rnacentral:lncRNA from 1 species
CUCACAAUUAAUCCGACUACACACGAGCUUCUCUCCCUGGCCAAGACACAAUCAUAGUAUGAUGAAGAACAUGGCACUAGCCGGCAAUGGUAUGAAGAAGUUAAUCCUCGCUGUUCUCUUACUCUGUCUAGUUAUAGGGCAGAUACAAGUGGAAGCUAAGAGCUGCUGCCCAUCCACCACUGCAAGAAAUAUCUACAAUACCUGCCGUUUCGGGGGUGCAUCCCGUUCAAUGUGUGCAAAACUGUCAGGCUGCAAAAUUAUCAGUGGGAACAAAUGCAAGCCCCCUAACGACCACCUCACCCUUGACCCGGACACUGGUAAAUAAUAAAUUUAUCUCACUUGAUUUCUUCGUGAUUUGAGUCGUUAAUGUAUUUUCCAUCUGAUGAAACGUAUUGGUUUUGCAUUGAAGAGGAAGUUAAUGUGCUUAACUUCUGCAAGUUGGGGUGUGCGUCGUCUGUGUGCAACAACAUCAACGCUGGUAAGCACCUUUUGCUCAGACGGAGAAAACAAUAAUCAUUAAUUAGCGGCAGCUAGAAUCCUAUAAUCUAAUAUAUUUAUAUAUAUAUAUAAUUUUAUCAGCUCUGGGAAAUGAAGAGGCGAACGAUGCCGUUGAGAGUUGCGACCAAGCCUGCUCUAGCUUCUGCAGCGUGCAUGUUGGCAGCGCCACCGUGGUUGCUUAAGCAAAUGCAUGCAACUAGAUCGUCCUUGUGCUGAAUAAUUGGAUAUCGUAUCCACUUAAAGCUGCCUUGUGUAGUACGUCUUUGUUUGUGUCUCUCUUUAUAUUCCACUAAGGUCGGUGAUCUUGAUGCCACACACACUCAGAUGUGUGUUCAUCUCCAGAUACUACUCCAUGCUACCUGCCCUUUUUGUUUUGUUCAAUAACUGGGUAUCAUAUCCCGGCCAGUGUGCCAUCUAUUUUGUGUUUGUUUCCUUCUAGUUCCAAAGGGGUCAUCAUGAUGUUACCUUCUUUCGAUAUGGUGCUUUGCAUGACAACUGUUGUAUGGUACCAUCUUGUUGGCCAAUAAAUACAUCUUAUCCUAUGACCCUUUGCUAUGACCCUUUGCAAAUAAGUACAAGAUUGUUAUAAGCGUCAAUACUCAGUAUAAUUGAUCGCUGCUGUGAGUUCCCUUUCAGCUUAUCGUAGGCACACAUUAUUGCUAGCACGGUAAAGACAACCAACACGAAUGAUGAAGUAAACGUAGCGGUACUUUUGUAUACCAACACCCUUACUUAAAUGUACUGGUGUCAUUCCCUACUGGCACAUAUAUUCUUAUAUGCUAGCCAGAUUGGAAAAUUAACCAAUUAAAAUAAUUAUUUCAAGAUAGAAAUAACUUAUCGGCUUCUCGAAGCAUGUGUAAUUUUAAUUCAAGGACUCAAUGGAAGUUGAAUCACUUCAUCUAGAUUGCCUUCUGGAUUUUGGUUAACUAAAUUUAACAUUUGUGUCGGGGGGAAAUAUUAACGAUUUUCUUACGCUCUCUAAUUAACGGAUACAAGGGCUAGGGCCCACCCCUAAUACCCAUAAUCUCCGCUAACAACACAUCCCAGAGGCACUCCGCUCCGCCUCGCCCGACUUCAGGGUCGCAGGGUCGGACGUGCCCGACCCCCCAAGGCCUCGCCUCGUCUCAGCCGAUGGAGUUCCGCCUCGCCCGACCCUGAGCCCAACGGAUCGGACGCGCCCGACCCCUCGAAGCAGGACUCCGCCUCGCCCGACCCUGAGCGCAAGCGGUCGGACGUGUCCGGUCCCACCUGACAGAGCUCCGCCUACCCGAAGGUACGAGCAGGUCAUCAGACGGAAGCGCGGGCUCUGUGAGUCCCCCUGGGCUCACCCAACCGAUGGGACCGCGCAAGCUUCCAGAUACAGUUCUGACACAUGGAGAGGCGCCCGCGUUCCUCGACAUGACCUGUCAAAAUGUUGGUCUGCGCACUGCUGCCACGACUGCACAGGGCUACACCUGCACCGUCCUACCCCACUGUGACAUCUGUCAUAGGGCACUCAUCGCUCAUACCAUCUAAUGGAGGAGGGAAAACCGCCUAGUUUUCCACGUGGGCUAGCAAGAAGAGCACGUCAGCCACGCCGCCCCGUCAGGGUGCAUGGCUACAGUGGUUGACCAUCACCCGCGACGUGCACAGUCACAGUGGCCAGUCGUCACCACCAACUUGCACAGCUACAGUGGUCGGCCGCCAUGCACGACUCGCGUGUCCGGCUACAGUGACCGACCGCCGAGUCACCGAUGGGACCCAACGGCAACCCCUAUCCCUUAGUAGCAGUACCGACAAGACGCAGAGACAAGAAGGGAAGACGACGUCUCUAGUAGCCCCACUUGCUUCCCUUUUUACCUUUCUACCUGUUUACCUUCCUUACUCCCGGCUCAUUUGUAACCUCUGUAUCCUCCUUGCACUAUAAAAGGAGACCAGGGGGUCUGAGGGCAAGGGACCCUCGGAGACCGAACCCCGAAUUCACCCAAGUACAAACCAACCGAACCACCAGACGAGAAAGACUCACAGAGAUCUGGGAACCAGCUUCCCUCUCUCACCUAUUUGUAGCCUCUACUCCAGACUUGGUACGAGUAACACGAGCAGCCACCCGCACUGGACUCCUCCGCCAGAAACUGGUCCAACCAGUCGGGUCCCUCCCCCUGCUCUUCGUCCUCAUCAUCCUCAUCAUCGUCGUCCUCAUCCGUUGCCGUGUCUGGCCCCUCCGCAGCCUUCAGAACUCCGCUGCAGCUUUCUUUUUCUUCCUCACCGUCUCCUUGUCCUUCCUCUUCUUCUGUGCUUCGUCGAGGAGGCGGUUCCGCUGCCUCUGCACCACGUCCUCUGGCACCGGUGGACGGGAGGCUGUGACAUGGUUUAAGUUACCCUGCAGAUUCGAAGACUCCGCGUCAGAAUAGCAAACCAGGAAAUGCAGGAAAGAAGAACGAGAGUGCAAAUUUCUAACCAGCAGGACAUAGGCCUCGUCCGGGCGCAUCGGAGGGUGCCCCGGCACCGGGAACACGACAUCCCUGUCACCCAAUGCAUCCCGGACACGCUGCUCGAUCUCGGCGUCGGCAAUUGCACCCGUCGCAAGGACGGUGCUGUGGUACGCCCCAACAACUCCGGCCCCGGUCAGGCCCUCCUCCUUCAGAAGGUUGAUGGCUUCGAGGAGACCCCGGAUAUUCUUCUUCUCCUUCUCAACAGGGCCAUAUGUCCACGUUCCCGGUGCCUCCACGAUGACGCGGCCAGUGAACUCCGUCAAGAGGACAUCGGGGCGGUUCUUCACAUAGAGCCACUGCUGAUGCCACCCUUUGUGGGAUGACGGGGUCUUCAUCGAUGUAUACUCCUUGGGCCGAUGGCCACAGAGGUGGAUGCCGGCACACCCCAUCAGCAUCGGAAUCGUCCGCGUCUGGUUUCCUCUCUUCUCGGUCCUCUGAUGAAGAGUGACAGCGAAGAAGUACUUCCACAGGGCGAAGUUGGGCUCGAUCCCCAGGUAUCCCUCCCAAAGCACGACGAACGCCGCGAUGUGCUGGAUUCCGUUGGGGUUGAGGUGCUCCAGCUCAAUGCUAUAGUAGUGCAGCAGCCCCCGGAAGAAGCGACUUGGGGGAACCGCGAACCCCCUCUCGUGGAAGUGCGCGAAGGAGACGAUGUACCCGUCCUCCGGCUGUAGCACGGCCUUGUUCCCGGGAUACCGCCACUCGUUCUCGGCGAUCCUAUCGCGAAGAAGGCCCUUCUUCACGAGACCGAUCACGCGCGCGGUGUUGAAGAUUGACCAAGACCUUGAAUCCAUCGCCGAGGAAGGGGAAGGCUCGACGGCGGUGGUGGAAAGGUGAAUGCUCUGGCUCGAAAGAGGAUGAAAAGUGAACAAGGAGGCGAGAAAGGCUGAAGACGAGUGCGGAGCGGAGCAAGCAAGGUAAGCUCUCUCGUUUUACAGGGGGCGUGCGAGAAACGAAAGGCGAACCGAACGCAUUUAUUGCGACGUCAGGUAUGCCCCAUCGCCUCCGCCUUUCUUCGGAAACCGUACGCAUGAUUUCUUUUUAACCGCAGGGAACGCUACGCCCCCUCGCCCCACGAGCCCGGUGUUUUUUGCCGCUUCGUCUCCUGGAGGUCAUGCGCACAACUUCCUCCACAAGCGGCCCAGGGCCCGCUUCAGGUAAAAAAGGGAUACAGAGCUGAAAACACUCUAACGGCCCAUUACGGUCCAGGGGUUCGAAGGCUGGCCCUCUAGAGGGUUCGACAUCCACCCCAGGACAUUUCUUGAGCAAGGGGUGAGAAGGGACGGGUCCGCUAGCGACCACUACCCUGGUGAACAAAAGCCAAGGGCGUCCCGACCUCACAUUUGAGUCUCGAUUGGCGUUUAAGUUCAUGGUUUUUCCCCGAAGAAAGGCAAAGUGCCCCCGGAUCCGGUUGAACAGACCUGGGAACUAUAUGAACUGGCCGUCCGAAAUCUGGAGUACGCCACCAGCUUGGCCCAAGCCGGACCCGCCCGAACAGGGACCGGGACUCCACUCGAACUGACCCGUUAGCAGCUCACCGAGCACCAUGGUUCGUCCGAUGAGGAUAACAUGGCACGGCUCACCCCCUCCGUCCCAACGAACGGACGCUGAGGGGUAACGACUAAAAGACGAUCCGACCUCUCGAUCGGUCCCCUGCAAUGCGCGGGGGCUCGAGGGCUGGAAUCACAACGAAACGACCAUGCGCAUGGUUACGACUCGGAAUUUUGAGGCAGGAAUGGUCAUUGAAACAAUAGGGAAUCUUCCCAAACCGUACCAUCCUCAGAACACUCUGGCUACCCAAAACUCCCCGGCCAGGCCAAACAAGCAAAACUUUUCUCCUGAUCAAAUCAAGGUACAUGUUAAACAAGACCCCUGACAAACACUCUGCCGAGAGCCAAUCACAGCCUCUGGAGGAGCACCUUGCUCCACCAAAGGCUCGGGGCCUACUGUCAGGGGGAAAUAUUAACAAUUUUCUUACGCUCCCUAAUUAAUGGACACAAGGGCCAAGGCCCACCCCUGACACCCGUAAUCUCCACCAACAACACAUCCCAGAGGCACUCCGCUCCGCCUCGCCCGACUACAGGGUCACAGGGUCGGACACGCCCGACCCCCCGAGGUCUCGCCUCAUCUCAGCUGAUGGAGUUCCGCCUCACCCGACCCCAGGCGUAAGGGGUUGGACGCGCCCAACCCCUCAAAGCAGGACUCCGCCUCGCCCGACCCCGAGCGCAAGGGGUUGGACACAUCGGAUCCCACUAGACAGAGCUCCGCCUCGCCCGAAGGUAUGAGUAGGUCAUCAGACGGAAGCGCGGGCUUUAUGAGUCCCCCCAGGCUCACCUAACCGAUGGGACGCGCACAAUUCUAGAUACAGUUCUGACACGUGGAGAGGUGCCCGCGUUCCUCGACAUGACCUGUCGGAAUGUUGGUCUGCACACUACUGCCACGACUGCACAGGGCUACAACUGCACCGUCCUACCCCACUGUGACAUCUAUCAUAGGGCACUUAUCGCCCAUGCCGUCUAACGGAGGAGGGCAAACCGCUUGGUUUUCCGCGCAGCCUAGCAACUACAGCACGUCAGCCACGCUGCCCCGUCAGGAUGCAUGGCUACAGUGGUUGACCGUCGUCCGCGACGUGCACAGCUACAAUGGCCAGUCGUCACCACCAACUUGCACAGCUACAGUGGUCGGCCGCCAUGCACGACCCGCGUGUCCGGCUACAGUGGCCGACUGCCGAGUCACCAAUGGGAUCCAACGGCAACCCCCAUCCCUCAGUAGCAGUACCGACAAGACGCAAAGACAAUAAGGGAAGACGGUGUCUCCAGUAGCCCUACUUGCUUCGCUUUUUACCUUUCUACCUUUUUACCUUCCUUACUCCUGGCUCAUUUGUAACCCCUGUGUCCUCCUUGCACUAUAAAAGGAGACCAGGGGGCCCGAGGGCAGGGGACCCCCGGAGACCGAACCCCGAAUUCACCCAAGUACGAACCAACCGGACCACCAGACGAGAAACACUCACAAAGAUCUGGGAACCAGCUUCCCUCUCUUGCCUGUUUGUAGCCCCUACUAUAGACUUGGUACGAGUAACACGAGCAGCCACCCGCACUGGACGUAGGGCUAUUCCUGCCCGAACCAGUAUAAACCUCGCGCCCUCUCGUACAACCAUCCAAGCCUUACGCGUAGAGAAACAAAUUUACUAAGCCGGUAGUCUUGACCCGUGAUUCGUGAGACCGACAAUUUGCACAUACAAAUGUUAAAGUACAAAUGUUAAAUCUAGUUACCAAGCAGAAUACGAAAUAGCGGGCUAUAGUGAGGCUAUAGCGGCGCUAACUGCUGCAACAACAGUGUUGUACUAAUUAGCAGGCUAUAGCGGAGCUAUAGCGGUUGAGCACAGCUCUACGCUAAAUAUCAUAGCCCUCAAUUUUGUACAUUGUAUAUACUAUAUAAAUCUAGUUAACAUUUAGUCUAAAUGUUAAAUCGAGUUACCUAAAAUCCUGAAAGCAAAAUGUAUAAAUAUAUAUCUUUUAGGGUAGUAUAAGCUUCGAUUCCUUUUGCUGCUCUGUUAAAUCUCAUCUUUCGUUGUAGCCCAACACUCUAGUAUUGAUUUUGCACCAAGCUUCUUUGAGCCGCUCUGCCCUCUGAUUUUGCUGCGUAGGGGAAUCUUUAUCAGGUUGGGCUACUUCCAGUCGUGCGAUGUAUACCUUUGUAUCUUCUAGAAGGUAGACAGAAAACCCGCGUUCUCUUAAGGCAACAACCAGAAGAUUCUGCAGCGCACGGGGCAUAUCAUUGUUGUAGAAACGACCUUUAGUAUCGAUCUCCAACCCCUUAUAGUACUGGUUUUGCAACCAGUACCGUUAUGUCGGACCUUUAGUACCAGAUCAAAUAACCGGUUCUAAAGGGACUCCUUUAGUACCGGUUGGUAACCAGUAUCAACUUGUUUUGCGGCCAAAAAAAUAAAGAAAAAAAUAGCCAGAAGGCUAGCACACACACACAUCCCACGAAAUAUGCGCGUGCGCGGUCCAUGGGAUUCGAACCCAUGAAAUCAAGCUGCGCGCAACCCUUCGUUACCAUCUCACCUUCAGUACCGGGUCAUAACACCACCCGGUACUAGUAUCGGAUGCUGUAAUGACUCGAUACUAAAAGGCCUCUAGGGACCCUCAAAUUUGGACCCGAUACUAAUGCUAACAUUAGUACCGGGUCAAAGUGCAGCCAGUACUAAAGCAUGGGACGAAAGGUCAUAUUUCUAGUAGUGUAUAGUUGUUGUGUAGGACUGACUUGGCUGUCCUCUCUCUUCUCCAUCCCAUUGGUCUUACGCCGCCGCUCGCACGCGAGCCGGCACCCAACCAGAGGAGUGAGAGCUAGGGGCGGGUUGGGAGGUGGGGGUAGCGACUGGUGGCUAGGGUGAUGGUUGAUGUUGGCGGGGUUAGGGUUUCAUGGUUUUCAAGCUACCUACGGCCGGCGAACCUAGAGGAGGAGGUCGACAUCAGCUGCAACCCGCGGUGGUGGUGGUUUGGCCGGCGCCCCAGGCGAGGCAGCGUGGGAGUGCUGCUGGCGGGUUGGUGUUGGCGCUCAUUAUUGACACAUUUUUAGUACUAUUUUGUUCAUGGAAUAACACUCAAACGUGCUGGUGCUGCUGCCGCCAUCGCCGCCCUAGCCAUAAUAUAAAGGCAAAAUUUGCUAGAGGACAUGCAAAAUGAUGCUAGUUUGCUGGAGGGCACCGUUGACCAUGUAAUAUGCUACAAGACACUCUAGUUGUUCUAGAGUGUAUCAAUUUGCUGAAAGACAUUGCUACGACUAAAAUAAUGUUUCUGGACUGAGUUGGAGAGAGAGAUGGAGUGAAAUGUCUGUUUUGCCCAUGACCCCACUGAUCAGAUCCUUCUUCUUCCACCCUCCUUUCUUCUUUCUUCAACCAUUACCCAGCUCUAGUGUGUUGCAGAUCUACGAGGGUGGCGGCCCGGGGCGAGGGGCAUCGCUUGCCCUCAGACGAGCGCCGCGAGCGACGGCGCGGGGGCAGCAACGGCGCGUCGGAACCUGACCGUUCGUUAGCUCCUCUCGCUGCUGGGGAAGGAGGGGGAGGGGCCAUGGACGGGGUUCCCUCGAAAACCUUAGCCUCGAGCUCAGGCGGCUACGCGCAGGCAGCACUAGGCUCUUCGCGGGGAGGGGGCGCGGCCAAUCAUUGGCACCCCACUGGUCCAAUGCUGAUGAAGAUGGUGCCAGCGUCGUGAAGAUGGUGCCAGCGUCGUGUGAGGACCUCUCAUCUCCUCGAGUUCCAUGGCCAGCACAGGUGAGCGUCCGCUACCACAAAACAGAGGUGUCGUGAGAGUCAAAAAAACUCAUGAAAAUAGCUAAAACCAUCAUGAAAAUAAUCCAUGACACGACACUCUAACGAAAAUCCUCUCACAAAUAUGGUGCCAUCAAAAUACCAUUUUCAUGAGAGUGAACUGUCAUGAUUUUAUUUCGUGAGAGUAUUUCCUAUCAAUGACCUCCACGAAAUACUUUGUGCCACCAGGUCUUCAAGAUCAUUUUCAUGAGAGCCGAACGUCACGAAAGGUCCGCCACAAAUGUUUUUCCUGGGAGCCUCUAACUCUCAUCAAAAGCAUGUGGGCCGCCGCGAAAAACAGCCUGACCAAAUGACAAUUUUCAUUUUCAUGUGCUCUUACCGCCAUGAAAAUGGUCAUUUUCAUGAGAGUUGAUGAAACAAAAAAAUAGUGCCAUUUUCAUGAGAGUUCAAGCAACCAGGAAAAGGCACUAAUAAACAUCCAGAUCCCAUCCAGCACACAUCCAUGCACAUAUAUAACCCACAUAUUGCUCCAGCAACAUCCAUGCAUAUACAAGAUCCAAAUGUCUUGGUAUGAACCUACAUGCAUGUGAUGAACCAGUAACCUGCAAAAAGAGCUCAUAGGAUCUUGUCCUCAUAUUGUAGCUGUGAAAUUCUUGCAAGUAGUGUUGCAAUCAGUUCACUUUGAACCAAAAGAGCUCAAAGGAUCAUGUCCUCAAAGUUCCUCUUAAAGCUUAUGGGUUUGCUGGUGGAACUGGAAGGGCUUGAUGCAGCAUGCCAUUCUGCAAUAGAGAAAAAUUUAGAAAGCUGUACUAGUUAAAAUUGGAUGCAGCAGAGACACAUGAAACUAGUAUUUAUACAAUUCUAUAUAUAUAAUAAUUUGUCCCCUAAAUUUUUAGGAUCCUCUCGACGGUGGUGAGUCUUCCAGUAAGGCAAUUGAAUGUCCAUCGUGAUAAAAUUCUCCUUUGGAUUUAUCAUCUUCUCAACCAGAAAUCCUAGGAGUUCAUCCUUAAGCCUUACCAGUUGUAAUUUGGAAAUAUGUGAAAGUUAAACGAACAAUUAAAAUCUAAGGAUCCUUAUCAUCAUUUCCAUACGUUUGCGAAUUAAAAUAAUGAAGGAUACAAUGUUAGGUGAAAAUUCAAGAAACAAAAUUUUGUAUAGAGAUAAUGGUCCGACAUUAUUACAAGUUAAAGUUGUUUUAAAUAUCCUUGUAAUCUUCCUUUGGUUUCCUCGACGAUUCCAAGACAGUAACCUUGCUUCUAUCAAUGAUAAUUAUAAGGAGAACCCAAUGAAAACUGUGUAUUCAUAUUAGAACUAACUAAGGUUAAUUCGGAUAGGAAAGGAAAUCAAAAAUAGAUGGUACCCACACUUACUUAAAGUUGUAGGGUAGUAGUAUGUAAUGCUUGUAAUUCUGUUGCUCCAAGAAUUUGUAUAUGUGGUUCAAUGUAGACUUUGGUUGAUCCUGUAUCUGCUGUUGGUUGAAUAAGUGUUUCUAACCAUUUCUAGCCGUUAGAACUGGGACUAAAGGGAGCUCUUAGUGCUGGUUGAUAUUACUAGUCGGGACUAAAGAGCCCCCGUUAGAGUUGGUUUUCGGACGUGGAACUAACCACUCCUUUAGUCUCAAGUCCAAAAAUGAUUGAGACAUUUGUUGCUGGAUGGAACACUAGUAGAGAAUUGGCUUUCGAUGCGCCCCCUUUUGUCCCGGUUUAAAGUUGGACUGGGACAAAAGAGGGUGCGCCACGGUAGGUAAAAAUGGAGGGGGGAGUUAGUCCCGGUUGGUAAUUGCAACCGGGACUAGAGGCCCCCCUUUAGUCCCGGUUGCAAUGGCUAGCUGGGGGGCGUCGGUGGCGGCACCUUUUUGUCCCGGUUGGAGUCUCCAACCGGGAUAAAAGGUCCACCCUUUUAUCCCGGUUGGAGGCUCCAACCGGGACAAAAAGUUUAGUCCCGGUUGGAGCUUCCAACCGGGAUAAAAGGGUGUCCCUUUUGUCCUAGUUGGAGCCUCCAACCGGGACUAAACUUUCAACCGGGACAAAAGGUGUGGUUGGAGUUUUUAACUGGGAUAAAAACUCAUCCCCCAUUAUAUACCAAGACAGAGGACUUUCUUCCUCCUCCAGCCCGAGCCAGUCCAGCACAUUCACAGAGAGUUGACCUUCACCUACUCUCCGGUGGUGCCGAAGCAAGGAGGUGCUGCCCGAAGUUUUUUCCCUCAUUUUCGUGGGAAUUUCACUCAGCUAACACAAGUGUUGUGAAGGUUUGCUACUUCAUCCUCGUUUAUGCUUUGAUUUAUGCUUUGGAGAUGGAAAGAUUAUUUGUUAGAAUGUGAUGAAGUAGAAAAUGGAGAGAAUAUUUUGAGCUAGAAUGUGAGGGAGAUUGAUGUGUCAUAUAUAGUAUGCAUUCUUGCAGUGGUUUAAGAAUGAUGCUACCUUGUCCAGACAAUUUAUCUUAUCAAAUUCAAUAUAGUUUUUCAAAUCCAUACUUGUUGAACUUGCAUACCGUGUUCAUCUCUACGAGGAUAUUCUCUGCCGAGCAGCAACGUAUGUCAAGAAGGAGGUUCGAUUCUACGAGGAAGAGUGGAUACGGACAUCGUGACCGUGUCCCCUUUUCCGUAGCAUCUAACCUCUUUCAUGAUGAAGUGCGGUGCCGCCCAGUUGAGAACAUGCUCGCGAGAUGAACACAGUAUGCAAGUUCAACAACUUCUGCAGUAGUAAGGAAAGAAUUUUUGUACAUAGAUGACUUCUGCUACUUGUUGAACUUAUCAAAUUCAAGAAGGUUUUUCAAAUCCAUACUUGUUGAACUUGCAUACCGUGGUCAUCUCGCAGAGGAUGUUCUCCGCCGAGCAGCAACGUAUGUCAAGAAGGAGGUUCGAUUCUACGAGGAAGAGUGGAUACAGACAUCGUGACCGUGUCCCCUUUUCCGUAGAAUCGAACCUCUUUCAUGACGAAGUGCGGUGCCGCCCAGUUGAGGACAUGCUCGCGAGAUGAUCACGGUCUUUAAGUUUAACAACUUAUGCAGUGUUAAGGUAAUAAUUUUUGUACAUAGAUGGCUUCUGCUACUGGAGAAAGUGGCGAUGGUGGGGGUGAUCGUGGUUCCUCUUUCGGCAAGGGGAAAAUCAUAGUUGGCCCUCAGCAUAAGCCAAAGAAAAAGAGCGCACUGGAAAAAGCAAUGCUUCGUUAUUUGCAGCAACGUCAUGAAGAAGUUGUUGCCGCGGGUCAGGAACCUCCUUUUGGUCGUCGUUAUGCUCCACCCUUAGUCCCGGGUGUUUCACAUCCACUUAGUACUACCGUUUCAGGCGGCACAAAUAAACCUAAGGAUGAGGCUAGGUCAGCGGAACUUUCGUCUUCACUGUCCAAGGAUGCUUAAAGUCCUCCUAGAUAAUAACCAGUGGAUGGCUUGUUGUAUUGUAUCAUGUUGUUUGGAUCUUUAAUUUAAAUAUGUGUAUUUGGAUCUUCAUGUUGUUGUAUUGUACCAUGUUGUUUGGAUCUUUAAUCAAUUUUCACACGUAAUCCAUUGUCAAGUGUAAUCCAUUUUCAUGCAUAAUAAGAUGCAGAUGGACCGGCAAUGGAUGUAUAAUGCAGACAGGCAGAGCAAGGUGUUUAUUGAUGGCUUGCAUUAUUGUCUCGAAGUGGCCAAAGCGAACAAGCCAGAGAAUGGGUUCGUAUGUUGUCCAUGCUUCCAAUGCAAUAACAAGAAGGAGUAUUCAUAGGAUUCCUGGGGGACUAUUCACAGCCACUUGUUUAAAUACGGUUUCAUACUUAACUAUUUGGUUUGGACCAAGCACGGUGAACGAGGGGUCGUAAUGGAAGAUGGCGAGAAGGAGGAGGAAGAUGACACCAUUCCAGACUGGGUUGUAGGCCAAGCUUUUGCAGGUACUACAAUGGGCGAGGCUCAUGAAGAUGAGUUUGCAGAAAAUGGCCCUAUUGAUGACUUUGGUCAGGUGAUACGAGAUGCAUACAGAGAUUGCGAAAUUGAGAAGGAAGCAGCAAAGUUGCAGCGCAUGAUAGAUGAUCACCAAAAAUUAUUGUACCCAGGUUGCCAGCUGGGCCAUAAAAAACUAGGUACGACACUAGAAUUUGUGCAAUGGAAGGCAAAAAAUGGUGUGUCCGAUAAGGCAUUUCAGGGGAUGUUGACCAUUGUCAAGAAGAUUCUUCCCGAGAAUAAUGAAUUACCGUCCACAACAUAUGAAGCUAAACAGAUUAUUUGCCCUCUCGGAUUGGAUGUUCAGAAGAUACACGCAUGCCCUAAUGACUGUAUCCUCUAUCGUGGUGAUGACUACGAGAAAUUGGAUGCUUGUCCCGUGUGCGAAGCCCUGCGGUAUAAGAUUAGGUGAGAUGAUCCUUGUGAUGUCGAGGGGCAGUCUCCCAAUAAGAGAGUUCCCGUGAAGGUGAUGUGGUAUUUCCCUAUAAUACCACGCUUGAAGCGCUUGUUCAGGAAAAAGGCGAAUGCUAAGUUGAUGUGAUGGCACAAAGAAGACCGUAAGGAAGAUGAGAUGCUGAGACACCCCGCAGAUGGGGCACAGUGGAGAUCAAUUGAUAGAGCAUUCUCGGACUUUGAAAGUGAAGCAAGGACAUAAGGUUUGGUUUAAGUACUGAUGGAUUCAAUCCAUUCGGUGAGUUGAGUAGUGGCCAUAGUACUUGGCCUAUGACCCUAUUUAUGUUGAACCUUCCUCCUUGGCUAUGCAUGAAGUGGAAGUUCAUUAUGAUGCCGGCGCUUAUCCAAAGUUCAAAACAACCCGACAACGACAUUGACGUGUACCUAAGACUGUUGGUUGAUGACCUUUUACAGCUCUGGAAGGAAGAAGGUGUACGUGUGUGGGAUGAGGAUAGACAAGAGAUCUUUAAUCUACGAGUAUUGUUGUUUGUAACCAUCAAUGAUUGGCCUGCACUGAGUAACCUUUCGGGACAGACAAAUAAGGGAUAUCGGGCAUGCACCCACUGUUUAGACGACACAGACAGCAUGUAUUUGAAGCAUUGUAAGAAGGUCGUCUACAUGGGUCAUCGUCGAUUUCUCCCUGCUCACCACCAGCUGAGAAAGAGCAGGAUGCAUUUCAAAGGGGCGCCAGACCAUCGUAAAAAACCUGCACACCAUAAUGGAAAGUGUGUCUUCAAGAUGAUGAAGGAUGUAAAUGUAGUCUUUGGAAAGGGUCUUGGUAGCCAACCUAUUCCAAACGACAAUAACGGACAUGCACCCAUGUGGAAGAAAAAGUCAAUAUUUUGGGAGCUACCUUAUUGGGAAAUCCUAGAGGUUCGCAAUGCAAUAGACGUGAUGCACCUGACGAAGAAUAUUUGCAUGAACGUGCUAGGCUUCAUGGGUUUUUAUGGGACCUCAAAAGACACAUUGGAAGCACGACAGGACCUGAAAGCCAUGGGGCAACGAGAUGACCUACAUCCGAAAAAGAGAGAUAAUGGAUAGCACUACUUACGUCCUGCCAGUUACACUCUGAGCAAGGAAGAGAAGGAUAGCAUGUUUGAAUGCUUGAAUAGUAUGAAGGUCCCGUCUAGGUACUCCUCGAAUAUAAAGGGAAUAAUAAAUAUGAAAAAAAAGAAGUUUAUAAAUCUCAAGGCCCAUGACUGUCACAUGUUGAUGACCCAGUUGCUUCCGGUUGCACUGAGGGGUGUUCUACUAGAAAAUAUCCAGUUGCCGCUCGUAAAGCUAUGUGCGUUUCUAAAUGCGAUUUCACAGAAGGCAAUCGAUCCAUCCAAGCUAUCAAAGCUACAGAACGAUGUGGUGCAAUGUCUUGUCAGUUUUGAGUUGUUAUUUCCACCAUCCUUCUUCAAUAUUAUGACGCACUUACUGGUUGACCUAGUAAAAGAGAUUGGUAUUCUCGGACUUGUAUACCUGCACAAUAUGUGGCCUUUCAAGUGUUCAUGGCAGUCCUAAAAAACUAUGCUCUUAAUCGUGCCCAUCCAGAAGGAAGCAUCGCCAAGGGAUAUGGAACAGAGGAGGUGAUCGAGUUUUGUGUUGAUUUUAUUGAUUCAAUUGACUCGAUUGGGGUUCCAACUUCACGCCAUGAGGGGAGGCUCCGAGGAAUGGGCACCCUUGGAAGGAAAUCAAGUUUGAGCAAUGAUACUGAUUUGUUCGACAAGGCACACUACACGGUUCUACAACAGUCAUCCUUUGUGUCUCCAUAUAUUGAGCAGCACAGGCAGAUGGUAGUUUCCAAAAACCCGACCAAAUCCGAUGCUUGGCUUACCCGUCUUCACAUGGAAACUUUUCCCUCCUGGUUGCGCCAACAACUUAUGGGUAACUCUGAGAUUCACCCACAGCUUGCCUGGUUAGCCAGGGGACCUGCUAGCACAAUUGUGAAAUUUCAAGGCUAUGAGAUAAAUGGUUAUACAUUUUACACGAGAGCCCAGGACCAGAAAAGCACGAAACCAGAAUAGUGGUGUCCGCAUACAUGCCAUGGACAGAAAUAAUAGCAAGGAGUCGUAUUAUGGUUUCAUAUAGGAGAUAUGGGAACUUGAAUACGGACCGUUGUACAUCCCUCUAUUUCUUUGUAAUUGGGUGAAGCAAACUGCCGUAACCAAAGAUCAGUACGGAAUGACAAUAGUAGAUCUGAGCAAGACUGGAUACAGUGAUGACCCAUUCGUACUUGCCAACAAUGUGCAACAGGUGUUCUAUGUGAAGGACAUGUGUAGCAAACCCAAGAGAAAUCCAGAAGAGACAUGGGAGCCAAAGUGCCACAUAGUUUUUCCAGGUAGAAGAAAAAUCGUGGGAGUCGAGGAUAAAACAAACCAAUCAGAUGAUUAUGAUUAGUUUGAUGGCAUGCCUCCAUUCGCCGUUGAAGUUGAUCCAAGCAUCCUGCUAUCCAAAGAAGAGGCUCCGUACUUACGCCGCGAUCAUGAUCAAGGAACUUUCGUGAAGAAGAAAUUCUACAACGUUGUAUUGUAAUGCGCUAAAUUUACAUGACCUUUGUGUAGUAAUUGAUACAAUUUUUAAUUUACCCUAUGUAUGAUUUGAUGUGUUCUUAAAUUUGUUAGGUGAAGAUUUAUUAGAUAAACAUGAACAAUGUUAACCACAUACAUACAUGGAUUUUUCUGCGCAUUGAAAUUAUUUAAUGGAAUAAUUUCUUGAUCACAGCGAUGUAGUAAAAUAAAUAUUUUAGAGCCUAAAUGAACUGGUAUAGAAUUAAUGACUAACUCACACUUAUUGUCAAUUUACUCGCUAAUUAAAUAUAUUUUUGCAUGUACAAAAUAUGUGAAGGUUUUUGUUUUUCAUCCUGAAUUGCAGUGAAAAGAUAAAUAAAAUCCAUUUCCAAAAAACAGGCGGGAGAAGAAAACUGGGAAAAGGACCUUUUGUCCCGGGUGCCAACAGAAACCGGGACAAAAAGCCCCCCCCCUUUUAUCCCGGUUGGUGGUGGCACCCGAGAUAAAAGGGUAGGCUCCAAGCCCCACUUGGCGGACGCACCCUUUUGUCCCGGGUCCCGUCACCAACCGGGAUAAAAGGGGGGGCCUUUUAUCCCGGUUGGUGAGGGGACCCAGGACAAAAGGCCCUUUAGUCCCGGGUGUCAUUACGAACCGGGAUAAAAGGGGGGUUAAAAGGCACUAUAGCCCCUUCUACCCCCCACGCCAGUUACAGUUAGCAAAAUUUUCACCAAGAUCCCGCGCGCACUCUGCUCCGUCGCUGCCCGUCCGCCUUCCUCGCCAGCCGUCAUCGUCGUCGUCCCCCAUUGCCCCGGCCGUCGUCGUCCCGCCGGCUGACCGUGCCCAGAUAGCCUCCUCCUCCAUCGCCCCGGCCCGCCUCGAUCCUCCUGCGUCGUGCCCGGCCCCUACCUCAUCGACGCCGGCCACCUCCAUCGCGGGGCCUCAUCGCCGCCUCCAUCCUCGUCGCCACCUCGACGCCCUGGGUCGCCGCCUCGUCGCCCCUCGUCGCUGCCUCGUCGCCGUCCUGCCUCCGCCGUCUCGCCGUCCCGCGCGCCUUCGCUCCGUCGUCGCCUCCGCCGUCCCACCGCCCCAGCCACCGCCAUCCCGCCACCCCGGCCACCUCGUCGCCCCGACCACCGUCGACCGCGCGUGAGGUCCGCCGCACCGGCACUGGCGCCGGGAGUACCGCCUUGCUGACGCAAGCCCACCGGCUUGCGUCAACAAGGGCCUUUUUUAAGUUAGAAAAUAAAUAGAAAGGAGUAGUAAUUAGGUAGAAAUUCAAUAGAUUUUUGUAUAUGUGUUACAAAAUCAAAUUAGUGUAAAUUAGUUGUAAUUAGGUUCGUCGCUCUGCCUAGGUUAGAAAUGAAUCGUGUUUCGUCGUGGUUCCGUCCCCGCCUCCGCCGUCCCGCCACCCUGACCGUCGCCGUCCCAACCUAGGCACCGUCUGUGGUUCCGUCCCCGCCUCCGCCGUUCCGCCUCCAUCGCAAAUUCAUGUUAUUGCUAGAAAUUCCAAUAAAUAUGAACAAAUUAGUAGAAAUUUGGUAGAAAUUAAUCAUUGCUGCGGCCACCUCGCUCCACAAAUUCAUGUUAUUGCUAGAAAUUCAUAAAAAUUCAUGUUAUCACUAGAAAUUCGUACAAAAUUCAUGUUAUUGCUAGAAAUUCGUAAAAAUUCAUGUUAUUGCUAGAAAUUCGUACAAAAUUCAUGUUAUUGCUAGAAAUUCGUACAAAUUCAUGUUAUUGCUAGAAAUUCGUCACAAAGUACUACUAAUUUGCAAAAAUUUGUAUAAAUAUUCCGGACUUUGUGGGAUUCAUGUUAUUUUCUGAUUUCAUGUAUAUACCCUUAUGUACAUAUAACUAAGGAGAUUUCUAUGACUUUCAUGUAUGUUUCAAUCAAUAGUUGAAAUGGCAGACGAUGAGACCGCAAGGUAUCUCAUGGAGCAGAUAAUCGCUGGUGAUGGUAGUGGCGACAACCUUCCACUAUCGUACACCGAUGAAGAGGGCACCCAGGCGGACAUGUUCCUCAACAUGUCCGCCGAUGGGAAUGAAGAGCAAAAGCCCCAGCAACACCUUGCCGGGGCGGAAGGUUCCGGCGAGGUAUAUAUAACGAUUCUUGUAUUGUUUCACACCACCGUUACUACUACGUACUAAUUAACGAAUCAUGAACCGUUAGCCCUCUGGAUCGACGCAAGGGCAGAAGACACGAGGUCGUACAAAGGUGAUGGAAGGGAGGCUUGUCAUCACGGAAGUGAUAGAAGAGGGCAGGCCGGUUGCUCCCGAGAAAGUAGCAAAGAAGUACGUGAGUCAGAUCGGGGCAAUCGUCCGGGACAACGUGCCUAUCAGCAUCAGAGAAUGGAAGGGCAGAAGCACUAAUCCGUACGCCCUCCUGGAGACAGAAAGAAUAUGCUGUGGGAAGAUGUCAAGAGACAUUUCACAUUCACCGAAGGAUAUAUUGAGAAGGAUGUGAAAGCGUGGACGCUUAAGAAGAUGGCUACACAAUUUCCAGACAUUUAAGAAGAUGCUAGAUACCCACUACAUUAAGAAGGGCCGAACUCCAGACUUCAACGCGUGGUCAAAGUUGAGGGACCACUAGGAUGCAUUUGUUGAAUAUAAGAGGAGUGAAUACGAUGUGAAAAAGAUCACGACCAACACAACAAAUGCUAGUCAGAAGGGCUACCAUCAUCAUCUGGGGCGAGAUGGUUAUGGCUCAGCAAUUCCCAAGUCGAGGAAGAUGGAACAAGAUCUGAUUGAACGGGGAAUCGUACCGGCAACUAUUGAAUGGCCCGAACGAUCAAAAAAUUGGUACUACGCUCAUGGAGGCUCCCUGUGCCAAGAGGAUGGGACGUUGAUUUUCAAUAACACAAUACGUUAGAAGGCCAAACAUCUUGUGAAGAACAUUGAAGAUUCUAAGGCUGGGAGGUUGAAGGUGGACCGAGAAAAUGAUGAGCUCACAUUGGCCCUUGGUAAUCCAGAGCACCCAGGAUGUUGCCGAGGGUUCGGGGUCGUUCCGUGGAAGUUUGUUUUCCGAGGCGACAGCGCCUCGUACAGAAGCCGGAAGCGAAGAAAGGAACAGAUCGAGGAGAGCUGGUGGCAGAUGCUAGAAUCCAAAGUGCAGGCACAAGAACAAAGAAUGAUGGAGGAAAUCAAUCGUCGAGUGGCCCACGCAGUUGUGGAGUUGGCCCAAUCUGGAGCAUUGCCGAAUCCUAACAACGCCAGCCCUUCUCAAUGCCUCUUGAGCAGUUAUGCUUCUACAGGGGUCCCCGAUGCGCACACGCCCAGGUUACCCGUGGAGGAGCAACGGUUCCCCGUGGAUGCCAUCACGCAACACACCACAUGUGAGCUGCAUGCACCGGUCGGCAACCUCACUAUUAAGGUAUACUUAUACAUAAUAUUUAUGCAAUCUUGUCAAUUGAUCCACGCCUCGAUAUCGGAGUUUAACUUGUUUACUUCUACUAUAUGUACAGGUAGCGUACGGGAGUGCGUUAGCAACCCUGGCGGGGCAGAGCAGUCAUGGCAUGAAGAUUCCACCUGGCUACGCUAGCGUCCGCGUAGAGCAAAUAGUUGAUAGCCAAUAUGAAGGUCUAGAGCUCGACCUCCCGGGAGGUGACAGGGAAAGAACACUGGCAGAUGCGCUUCAUGGGAUCAUUCUAUGGCGAAAACGCUACAUCAUUAUUCCCGGCACGGAGCCAUCUCCUCAGAGCUCAAGACCACUCCCCGUAGAUCCCCAGCAGCGACCUUCUCCUCAUAGCUCGAGACCGUCAUCUCCUGCACAACCUGCUCCAGGACCGUCCCUUCCAUCUAUAUCAAGGUCUCCAUCUCCACCACAUCCUGGUGGUGGGAGCGACGACGACAAUAACAACACCCCUUCCUGAUCACCAUCGCCGGCACCAAGAGCGGCCCCCAUGAAGGAACCUGCACCACCACUAAAAAAGUCACGAGCACCGCCUCCCAAGCAAAGACAGAGAAAGAAGAAAACAAAGGAGCCUGAAGUGACUCGUAAGGAACGCUGGGAGACAAUGUCUCAUGCGGAACAGUGGGCAGAAAUCCAACAAGAGGCCAGUGAGUGGUUCAAGAAACAAGCCGAAGAAAAAAAAGCAACGGAGAUGCAGCCACCGCCAGUAAAUCGAAGAGAUUUAAACUUUUUUAUCAGGAUGGAAGAAGGAGCCAAGAAAAGGAUACCACUCUUAUCAAACUAUGAACGGGCUUUAGUAAAGGCUGAUGAAAAGGAUAAAAGGAAAGGAAAGUCAUCUUCCAGCGGUGCUGUCCCCGACCUCAGCCAUUUAUCAAAAAAAGAUGCUCAACGGGUAAAAGCAAUGCCCUUGGAUCAACAAGCAGAAGUAUUGAAGUUCAUGCAAGAAACAGGUCUGGGACUUGAUGAAUGCCUAGGGCAAGUUGAGACGCCAACUGCACCGCCCCCUGAGCCGAGAUGGCCUUAUGAGCUAGGCAAACCUCUAGUAAAGCCUUCAUUGGUACGAAAGCUAUCAACAAAGAUGUACGCAUUCCAUCAAUGGUACAUGAUGGCAUCCGCUGACUCAAGGGAGAUGCUCGGCCUGAAGGUAAAACCGAUGGAUUUUCACGACAGAGGCGAGAAAGUGCUGUGGCUAGACUUCAAGGAUAUAUACGAAGUGUACCAUCAUGAUGCCAUAGACGUCUCUCUGAUCCGCGCUUGGGUUCUGUAAGUGUCCGUUUAUCUCUACAUGUAAAUUUUGGCGUGCGUCACCGUACUAACUUCGUCUUCCAUUUCAUGUAGGAUGCUAAUUCAGACAUGCCGCCGAGAGGCGUACCUACAUAUAGGCUUCAUGGAUCCAUCUGUAGUUAACCAACAGCAGAUACAAUUAGCAUCGGAGAAAACCUUGGUGGAAGUAUACAAUUUCCUAGACAAACAAACAUUCAAGGAUUUCAUACUAUUUCCAUACAACUUCAAGUAAGUGUGUGUAUACCGUCUACUUUCGAUGUCUUUUUCCUUAUCUCUACAUGUUAGUUAGCUCUAAUAUGCAUGAACAUUUUACGCACGCAGCUUCCACUGGAUCCUUAUUAUAAUUGAGCCUCAAAGAAGCCACGUCACUGUCUUCAAUUCGUUGAGGAAAGAUCCAGUGGAGCACCAAGAAAUGCAACACAUGCUAGGCUUGUAAUAAUUCUGGACCUUUAUCUCUAUGCAAAAGUUUGUUUCCUAAAUUCUAUCCCUGUUACACUAUAUCAUUCAUUAUUCUAAUCCACAGCGUAUGGAAACAAUUCAUAAGGACACAAAAAGGUCCAUUCAAAGAAAAACUUACAUGGAACACAGACUUCCCGGUACAUAUGAAGUCUGCACAUUUAUUACAUUGUAUAACACGAAUAUUUCAUAACUUAUUUUUUUCCGUAUUGAAGUGCUUAAGACAGGAACUCGGAAAUAAUCUAUGUGGCUACUACAUCUGUGAGCACAUGCACAGUUUUAUGGGACCCAAGGGACUAAAGAUGACGCCGCACAACUUUAAAGUACGUAAAAUAAAACUAUUACUAGUUAAUUAUUUUCUAGCUCCUUAUAUGUAUUUGUUCACGUAACAUUCACAAAUUUCCAAAUUAUAGAUGUUAAAUAUUCAACAAGGACUCUUGAAGGAAGAAAGAGUAGCGGCAAUAUGUGAAGGUCUCAUUGGAUUCCUAAUGGACAAGGUGGUAGAUCCAAAAGGAGAAUUUUAUUUUGAUGGACGACAAUUAGACACUCUGAUCAGCAACACCUCGAUGGGAAGAUUGUAGAUAGAUACUUUGAUUUAUUUGUAUAUAUAAUACGCGCUAAUUAUGAUCGAUUUGUACUAGUUGAAUUCUGUAUAUGAAUUGUGUAUAAGAAUUGUGUAUAUAUAUAGUAACUGUAUAAUUACAAAUCCCAUUCGUUUAAAUACUAGUUAAUUUCAUUCUAAAAAAAUCUCAACUACUUAAGGUUAACAAAAGGGCUGCGGUACUACGUACGUGAUGCAUGCAUGAAAAAUUCAGGCGCCAGGCAGGUGCCAUGCAGGGCAUCAUUUAGUCCCGUUUGGAAUCCAGCCGGGACUAAAGGGUAACCCUUUACUCCCGGUUGGGAAACCCAACCGGGACUAAAGGGGGACCGUUACUCCCGGUUAAAAGACCCGGGACUAAAACCCCCCCUUUUGUCCCGGUUGGCUUAUCCCGGAUAAAUUUUCGGGAGAUAUGCACCCUACCAACCGGGACUAAAGGCCAAUUCUCCACUAGUGGAAGGUCCUUUCUCUACCAUGAAUAUUGCCAGAAAGAAUUGAAAGAGACCGCUUGCUAAAAACAUGUCAUAGAUGCGGACCAAGCUACCAAGGAGGUAGACCAAACAUGAUACACACCAUGCGUACCUUGCUGUGCAGACUAUGCAUGGACAAGAUACCCGACCACAUGUUGGCUUUGGUCACAUCAAAAGAAUCAUGUAGGCCAUUAAUAAACUACUUGAAGCGUCAUUCCGUAUCUUAUAUCCAUCAUCUGCAUUACAUUACAUUAAAUAUUAUUAACUAUUUGAAUAAAAUGAACCAAUUUAAAAAUAAUGAAUUGUACAUUACUACAAAAAGCCCUAGCACUGCCAGUUCCAAAAACAUCAUUGUUGACGGCCGUUAAGUACCAAAUAUGACGGUCAAUAUCCUAAAGAAUAAAGGACAAUUGGCAUUUCUUACACACAUAUUUGGUUUCGAAUAAUGUAGUUCUACAUGUCCUUGGAGAUUAUUUGGGUGUGGGUGAAAUAAUACAAAAAGAAGGAGAAAACACACUCCCAUGGCAAAGAAACAUAACUCCGACCAAUGAGAGAUAGCCACAGGGGCAGCACAUGGAUCCAUGGGCCCACAAACUGCAUCAAACCAUCUUACAAGGCGGGUAGCACCCACAACUGUCAUUAGGACCCACCUGGAAGUCUAGCAAAGAAGAAGGUUGUGAGUGGGGCCACGAGGGGUUCGGUUGAAUCAUCUCUAGCUCCCUUCAUCCCCAGCUGGCGCGUGGCGGUGGUUCAUGGUGUCCCGACAUCGGUUAGAGGACAUUCCCCCAAAUAUUCCUCCUGUAAACCAGCUCUAUGAACCUAUAAAUAGAGGGGUGUGCUCUCCAUUCCAACACACACCACAAGUUGAAGCACUCUCUCCCUCUUUAGUUUCCAAGUUUACGGAGAUAGGCUGGAGUAGCUCUGCUAAAGGUUCCAAGUCCACUUGGAGUUAAGCGUAUGUCUCUUGUAUCAUUAUUUCCUAGAGAGACUUUAUGCUAUUCAAGUUAUUUAUCUUCUUCAUAUAGUGUUAUGCUUAGUUCUUAUAUGCAUGAGUUAGUCUAAUACCCUUGCUCUAUUGAUAUGCUCAGCUUAUGUGCUCGUAUGCUAGUCAUGUACCCUUGCUGUCAUAGUAUAGGGUUAUAUGCUGUCAUGUGUGCCUAUAGACCUUGCUACAGUAUAUACUUGUUGUGUAUACAUACCAUUUGUAUAUACAUUAUUACAAGUUAAGGUAGUUUUAAAUAUCCUUGUGUUGACAACCAAAGCUUGAUCUUUUGUUUCCAUUGCCAGCGGAUUCAUCGGCUCAGAGUAGGAUCAAGACAUCAAGUUGAUGGAGUUCUUUAUAUUUCAAGAGGAGUCAUGGAGUUCUUUAUAUUUCAAGAGGAGUUGAUGGUGCUUUCAAUAUUGCAACCAGACAUCAUUGGCUCUGAAGACACCGAAUCAUCGGAGUUCUAUGAUCAGUUUCGGAACAUGAAGCCUUCAUACUCCGAAACUGGGGGGCCUGUGUUGACACCGAAUUAUCGGACUUCUAUAAUUAGUUUCGGAACAUGAAGCCUUCAUACUUCGAAACUGGGGGGUAUGUGUUUACACCAAAAUUUAGAAAUGUGCUCUGAAAGGAAGGACCUGGGAGAUCUAUUGGCUGAAAUACAAAUCCAUCGAAACUAGCCUUAUGCUAAGAGAUCAGAAUAUUGUACAAAGUCUAGAAAGUUCUAUUUACAUCUAAGUAACUCGAUAACUAGCCUUACGCUAAGAGAUCAGAAUAUUGGACAAAGCCUACAAAGUUCUAAUAUAGGUAACGUAAUGACCAGGUGAGGAUAGUUACAAGCUCGCUUGAGAUCGAAGCCGAUGUAGCCCUGCGCGCAAGAAGAAACUCACCUAUUUCUACUCUACUCUUACUCCUAGGGUUUGAUGGCGUGGCGUCAAAAGAUUGUAUUGAUUGAUUGAUUAUUUGAUACAAAGCUCAUGGGCCUAUAUUUAUACCCUUGAGAAAGCUAAAAUCCUAAUCAGUUAUGACAUGAAUCGUGACAGAAAAUCUAACUAAAGAUAGAUCUCCAUGCUUUCCCUUAUUUGGUGGAGUCGAUUUCACUUCAUAUCGGAUCCCUCCCGAUCUUCUAUCGGCUUCUAGCAUCCGGUCAUCUGCGACUGGCCUUGGUCAACAUCAGGUGUCAACAGACUUAUUUCUUCUACAAGUUCAUCGGCUGUCAGAGCCUUGUCUUAGUCAGUUGACUCUAGUAAAAAAUCGAUGUCAAUACAUGCCCCCCAAUUUUUGAAUAAAAUAUUAUAUUUCAAAAUUCUCUUCUCUUGUCAACAGCUUUUGAAAGAAAAAGAGUCACUGCUGCAAUCAUAAUCUUUUUCCCCGGGUUUUGUGAUAGCACCCUCCUCAUUUUAAGGGAUUCACCAUGUGGAAAUUAUAAUAUAACUGCUUCACCCAUUUCGUUUUCUUCACCAAACCAACUAUUGUCAGCCGCUACAACCAAAAAUCAAUUAUUCCCUUCACAUGCCUAGCGACUGCAUCCAUCACUCAUCGUCACCAUUAGUCUCCAUGUGUCAAGGCUUCUUCAACCAGCAAUGGCGACAUUAUCUUCCAUUCCACAGGUACCAUGUAUCCUAGCCAUUCCUUUCCCCUUUCAACCUGAAAUCCAAUCUAGUCACUAUAUAUCAAACCUGUGUUCUUAAUCAAUACUUGCCCCCUUGUACUUAGAAACACCCUUUUGAUCCCCAUAUCCGAUACGCAAGCAGAAUACUUUCUAGGCCCCAUGGGUAGUGAAGACCCAAUAGAAUCUAUUAAUGCUGAAAUACUUGGACAAAGUCUAGAAAGUUCUAUUUACAUCUAAGUAACUCGAUAACUAGCCUUACGCUAAGAGAUUUAAAUAUUGGAUAAAGCCUAGAAAGUUCUUAUAUAGGUAACUGAAAAGUGUGUUGACGCAAAAAUUGGAUGGUUGACUCCUGCGUACUAACACACGGAACCAGGGAGAAUCUGCUUAGCUACUGUUCGGGUUAUAGCCCUCUCGAUCCGUAGCGUGCCAGUUAAUCUGACCUGCUGAUUGACAAGUAAAAAUGUCAAAUUAAGAGCAAAUCAGCUGGUGUUCCGAAUCGCUCCACGGGACGUAUCAGUAGACAGCCGAUACGGGCAAACGACAAUCAGCUAGAUCAGCCGAUUUGCUCUUGUAUUUGACGUUUUACUUGUCCUUCUCAAUCAGCAGGUCAGAUUGACUCGCACGACGCAGAUCGAGAGGGCUAUAACCUAAACAAGAGCUAAGCAGAUUCUCCCGGGUUUCAUGUCUUAGUACACAGAAGUCAACCGUCUGAUUUUAUCAUCAACACGCUUUUUGGCACGCUCAGUGGGACCCGAUUCAUAUCUUAAUGGUAAUUGGUGAUCAAGUUUCAAACAACGUAUCCACUGGUAGAAAACUGAGCAUUAGUCCCGGUUGGUAAGGGUCAUAUCUCUCGGAUAUCCAUCCGGGAUAAACCAACCGGGACAAAAGGGGGGGGUCUUUAGUCCCGGGUAUUUUAACCGGGAGUAAAGGACCCCCUUUAGUCCCGGUUGGUGUCACCAACCGGGACUAAAGGGCCUGCCACGCCAGGCGCGGGACAGGCCCUUUAGUCCCGGUUGGUGACACCAACCGGGACUAAAGGGGGUCCCUUUAGUCCCGGUUGGAUUUCCCAACCGGGACUAAAGGGGUCCCCUUUAGUCCCGGCUCAAUUCCAACCGGGACUAAAUUGCGCUUGCAUGGCACUGGUGACGCCUGAAUUUUUCAUGCAUGCAUCACGUAUACGUAUAGUAGUACCGCGGCCCUUUUAAUUUGUUAACCUUGUAGUUGAGAUUUUUUUAGAAUGAAUUAAAUCAACUAGUAUUUAAACGAAUGGGAUUUGUAAUUACACAACUACUAUAUAUAUACACAAUCCUUAUACACAAUUCAUAUACACAAUUCAACUAGCUUAAUUAGUACAAAUCGAUCAUAUAUACAAAUAAAUCAAAGUAUCUUCCUACGAUCUUCCCGUCGUGGUGUUGCUGAGAGGAGUGUCUAAUUGUCGUCCAUCGUAAUAAAAUUCUCCUCUUGGAUUUACCACCUCGUCCAUUAUGAAUCCAAUGAGACCUUCACAUAUUGCCGCUACUCUUUCUUCCUUCAAGAGUCCUUGUUGAAUAUUUAACAUCUAUAAUUUGGAAAUUUGUGAAUGUUACAUGAACAAAUACAUAUAAGGAGCUAGAAAAUAAUUAACUAGUAAUAUAUUUAUUUUACGUACUUUAAAGUUGUGCGGCGUCAUCUUCGGUCCCUUGGGUCCCAAAAAACUGUGCAUGUGCUCACAGAUGUAGUAGCCACAUAGGUUAUUCCCGGGUUCCUGUCUUAAGCACUUCAGUGCGGAAAAAAAAUAAGUUAUGAAAUAUUCGUGUUAUACAAUGUAAUAAAUGUGCAGACUUCAUACGUACCGGGAAGUCUGUGUUCCAUGUAAGAUCUUCUUUGAAUGGACCUUUGUGUGUCCUUAUGAAUUGUUUCCAUACGCUGCGGAUUAGAAUAAUGAAUGACAUAGUGUAACAGGGAUAAAAUUUAGGAAAUAAAUUUUUGCAUAGAGAUAAAGGUCCAGAAUUAUUACAAGCCUAGCAUGUCUUGCAAUUCUUGGUAGUCCACCGGAUCUUUCCGUAACGAAUCAAAGACAGUGACGUGGCUUCUUUCAGGCUCAAUUAUAAUAAGGAUCCAGUGGAAGCUGCGUGCGUAAAAUGUUCAUGCAUAUUAGAGCUAACUAACAUGUAGAGAUAAGGAAAAAGACAUCGAAAGUAGACGGUAUACACACACUUACUUGAAGUUGUAUGGAAGUAGUAUGAAAUCCUUGAAUGUUUGUUUGUGUAGGAAAUUGUAUAUUUCGGCAAAGGUUUUUUCCGGCGCUAAUUGUAUCUGUUGUUGGUUAACUACAGAUGGAUCCAUGAAGCCUACAUGUAGGUACGCCUCUCGGCGGCAUGUCUGAAUUAGCAUCCUACAUGAAAUGGAAGAUGAAGUUAGUACGGUGACGCACGCCAAAAUUUACAUGUAGAGAUAAUAAACGGACACUUACAGAAUCCAAGCGCUGAUCAGAGAGACGUCCAGGGCAUCAUGAUGGUACACUUCGUAUAUAUCCUUGAAGUCUAGCCACAGCACUUUCUCCCCUUCACCGUGAAAAUCUAUCGGUUUUACCUUCAUGCCGAUCAUCUCCCUCGAUUUGGCGGAUGCCGUCAUGUACCAUUGAUGGAAUUCGUACAUCUUUGUUGACAGCUUCCGUACCAUUGCCGGCUUCACUAGAGGCUUGCCUAGCUCAUAAGGCCAUCUCGGCUCAGGGGGCGGUGCAGUUGGCGUCUCGACUUGCCCUAUGCAUUCUUCAAGUCCCAGACCUGUUUCUUCCAUGAACUUCAAUAUAUUUUCUUGUUGAUCCAAGGGCAUUGCUUUUACCCGUUGAGCAUCUUUCUUUGAUAAAUGGCUGAGGUCGGGGACUGAACCGCUGGAGGAUGAUUUUCCUUUUCUUUUAUCCUUUUCAUCAGCCUUUACUAGAGCCCGUUCAUAGUUUGACAAGAGUGGUAUCCUUUUCUUGGCUCCUUCCUCCAUCCUGAUAAAAAAGUUUAAAUCCCGCCGACUUACUGGCGGUGGCUCCAUCUCCCUUGCCCUUUUUAAUUCGGCUUGUUUCUUGAACCACUCACUGGCCUCUCGUUGGAUUUCUGCCCACUGUUCCGCAUGAGACAUUGCCUCAAAGCGUUCCUUGCGAGCCACUUCAGGGUCGACCUUUGUUUUCUUCUUUCGAGGCUGUCUUUGCUUGGGAGGCGGUGCUCGUGACUUCUUGAGUGGUGCUGCAGGUUCCUUCGAGGGGGCCGCUCUUGGUGCCAGCGACGGUGAUCGGGGAGGGGUGUUGUUAUUGUCGUCGUCGCUCCCAGCACCAGGAUGUGGUGGAGAUGGAGACCUUGAUAUAGAUGGAAGCGACGGUCCUGGAGCAGGAGAUGCCGGUCUCGAGGUAUGAGGAGAAGGUCGCUGCUCGGGAUCUACGGGGAGCGGUCUUGAGGUCUGAGGAGAUGGCUCCGUGCGGGAAAUAAUGAUGUAGCGUUUCUUCCAUAGAAUGAUCCCAUGAAGCGCAUCUGCCAAUGUCUUUUCCCCGUCGCCUCCCGGGAAGUCGAGCUCUAGACCUUCAUACUGGGCAUCUACUAUUUGCUCGACGCAGACGCUGGCGUAGCCUGUUGGAAUGUCCAUGCCAUGACUGCUCUGCCCUGCCAGCGUUGGUAACGCACUCCCAUACGCUACCUGUACAUAUAGCAGAAGUAAACAAGUUGAACUCCGAUCUCGAGGCCUGGAUCAAUUGACAAGAUUGCAUAAAUAUUAUGUAUAAGUAUACCUUAAUAGUGAGGUUGCCGACCGGUGCAUGCAGCUCACAUGAGGUCCGUUGCGUGAUGGCAUCCACGGGGAACCGUUGCUCCUCCACGGGUAACCUGGGCGUCUGCGCAUCGGGGACCCCUGUAGAAGCACAACUGCUCCCGAGGCGUUGAGAAGGGCUGGCGGUGUGAGGAUUCGGCAGUGCUCCAGAUUGCGCCAACUCCGCAACUGCGUCGGCCACCCGCCGAUUGAUUUCAUCCAUCAUUCGUUGUUCUAGCAUCUGCCGCCAGCUCUCCUCCAUCUGUUCCUUUCUUCGCUUCCGGCUUCUGUAAGAGGCGCUGUCGCCUCGGAAAGCGAACUUCCACGGAACCACCCCGAACCCCCGGCAACGUCCUGGGUGCUCUGGAUUACCGAGGGCCAAUGUGAGCUCAUCAUUUUCUCGGUCCACCCUCAACCUCCCAGCCUUGGAAUCUUCAAUGUUCUUCAUGAGAUGUUCGGCCUUCUCACGUAUUCUGUCAUUGAAAAUCAGCGUCCCAUCCUCUUGGCUUAGGGAGCCUCCAUGAGCGUAGUACCAGUUCUUUGAUCGUUCGGGCCAUUCAAUAGUUGCAGGUAUGAUUCCCCGUUCGAUCAGAUCUUGUUCCAUCUUUCUCCACUUGGGAAUUGCUGAGCCAUACCCACCUCGCCCCAAAUGAUGGUGGUAGCCCUUCUGACUAGCAUUUGCAACGUUGGUCGUGAUCUUUUUCACACCUUCUUCACUCCUCUUGUAUUCAACAAAUGCAUCCCAGUGGUCCCUCAACUUGGGCCACGCGUUGAAGUCUGGAGUUUUGCCCUUCUUGAUGUAGUGGGUGUCCAGCAUCUUCUUGAAUGUCUGGAAUUGAGUAGCCAUCUUCUUAAGUGUCCACGCUUUGACAUCCUUCUCGCUAUAAUCUUCGGGGAAUGUGAAAUGCCUCUUCACGUCUUCCCACAGCAUAUUCUUUUCUGUCUCUGGAAGGGCGUACGGAUUAUCGCUUCUGCCCUUCCAUUCUCUGAUGCUGAUAGGCACGUUGUCCCGGACAAUUGCCCCGAUUUGACUAACGUACUUCUUUGCGACUUUCUCGGGAGCAACCGGCCUGCCCUCAUCUGUAACUUCGGUGAUGACAAGCCUCCCUUCCAUCACCUUUGUACGACCUCGGGUCUUCUGCCCUUGUGUCGAUCCGGAGGGCUAACAGUUUAAGAUUCGUUAAUUAGUACGUACUAGUAGCGGUGGCGUGAAACAAUACAAGAAUGGUUGUAUAUACCUCGCCGGAACCUUCCGCCACGGCAAGUUGUUGCUGCGGCUGUUGCUCUUCAUUCACAUCGGCAGACAUGUUGAGGAACAUGUCCGCCUGGGUGCCCUCUUCAUCCGUGUAUGAUAGUGGAACGUUGUCGCCACUAUCAUCACCAGCGAUUAUCUGCUCCAUGAUAUACCUUGCGGUCUCAUCGUCUGCCAUUUCAACUAUUGCUGCAAACAUACAUGGAAUCAUACAUGACAGUCAUAGAAAUCGUCUUAAUACAAAUUUGUAUAUAAUCACAGUUCGGAAUCAUACAUGUAUAUAAUGAAAUCAUAAAAUAACAUGAAUCGUACAAAGUCCGGAAUCUUUAUACAAAUUUCUAUGAAUUUAUACAAAUUUCUAUGAAUUUAUACAAAUUUCUAUGAAUUUCUAUGAAUUUCUAUGAAUUUCUAUGAAUUUCUAUGAAUUUCUAUGAAUUUAUACAAAUUUCUACGAAUUUCUAUGAAUUUCUAUGAAUUUCUAUGAAUUUAUACAAAUUUCUACGAAUUUCUAUGAAUUUCUACAAAUUUCUACGAUUUUCUAUGAAUUUCUACAAAUUUCUACGAAUUCCUACGAAUUUUGACGAAUUUCUACGAAUUUUGACGAAUUUCUACGAAUUUCUACGACGGCGAUAAGGGCGGCGAAGGCGGGACGGCGGCGGUCAGGGCGGCGGAGGCGGGACGGCGGCGGUCAGGGCGGCGGAGGCGGUUCACCGGAACCACGGGCGGUGCCUAAGCUACUACGUUGUGAUGGGCGGCAGGACGGCGGCGAUCACGGCGGCUACUCGGCGGCGAUCACGACGGCUACAAGGCGACUGUCACGGUAGCUACUCGGCGGGACGGCGGCGAUCACGACGGCGGGACGGUAGUUAACAACCUAACUACAAAUCUAACUUAACAAACUAACUAGAAAUCUAAAAAUCUAACUUAACAAAAUUAGAAAUCUAAAAAUCUAACUUAACAAAAUUACAAUUCCAUCUAAAAAAACAAAAUUAAAAAUUAAAAGAAAACGGCCAGCUCUCCCGGCGCACCGGCCGGCGCGGCAGACCUCUCGCGCGCGGGGCGGCGGCCGGGGCGGCGGGACGGCGGCGGCCGGGGCGGCCUGACGGCGGCGGCUGGGGCGGCGACGAGGACGAAGACGACGACGGCGGGAUGACGGCGGCCGAGGCGAAGACGACGACGGCGGCCGGCGAGGGGCGACGAGGAUGGAGCUGGCGACGAGGGGCGAUGCAGCCGGCGAGGGAGGCGGACGGGCGGCGACGGGCGGAGAGGGAGGCGGACGGGCGGCGACGGGCGAGGGAGGCGGACGGGCGACGACGACGGCGCAAUGCGGGACUUCGACGGCGCAAUGGGGGACGACGACGGCGGCGGCCGGCGAGGGAGGCGGACGGGCGGCGACGGGCGGAGAGCGCGGGACUUGCGAAAAUUUCGCUAAGUGUGGAACUGGCGGGGGGUAGAAGGGAGUACAGUGCUUUUAACCCCCCCCCCCUUUUAUCCCGGUUCGUAAUGGCACCCGGGACAAAAAGGGCCUUUUGUCCCGGGUCCUGUCACCAACCGGGACAAAAGGCCCCCCCUUUUAUCCCGGUUGGUGACGGGACCCGGGAUAAAAGGGUGCGCUCCCAGCCCCACCUGGCGGGGGCACCCUUUUAUCUCGGGUCCCGUUACCAACCGGGACAAAAGGCCCCCCCUUUUAUCCCGGUUGGUAACGGGACCCGGGACAAAAGGGUGCCCCCGCCAGGUGGGGCUGGGAGCGCACCCUUUUAUCCCGGGUCCCGUCACCAACCGGGAUAAAAGGGGGGGGCCUUUUAUCCCUGUUGCAAAUGGCAACCGGGAUAAAAGGGUACGUUCGGGCGGGAGACGAAACGUACCCUUUUAUCCCGGUUGCCGUUUGCAACCAGGAUAAAAGGGGGGCCUUUUAUCCCGGUUGCUGUUAGCACCCGGGACAAAAGGUCCUUUUUCCUAUUUUUCUUCUCCCGCCUGUUUUUUGGAAAUGGAUUUUAUUUAACCUUUUCACUGCAUUCCAGGAUGAAAAACAAAACCUUCUCAGAUUUUGUACAUGCAAAAAUAUAUUUAAUUAACGAGUAAAUUGACAAUAAGUAUGAAGUAAUCAUUAUUUCUAUACCAACUCAUAUAGCCUGUAAAAUAUUUAUUUUACUGCAUUGCUGUGAUCAAUAAAUUAUUCAAUUAAAUUUUUUGAAUGCGCAGAAAAAUCCAUGUUAGUAUGUGGUUAACAAUGUUCAUGUAUAUCUAAAAAAUCUUCACCUAACAAAUUUAAUUACAAAUUUUAUCAAUUAAUACACAAAGGUCAUGCACAUUUAACGCAUUACAAUACAACGUUGUAAAAUUUCUUCUUCACGAAAGUUCCUUGAUCAUGAUCGCGGCGUAAGUACGGAGCCUCUUCUUUGGACAGCAGGAUGCUUGGAUCAACUUCAACGUCGAAUGGAGGCAUGCCAUCAAACUGAUCAUAAUCAUCUGAUUGGUCUGUUUUAUCCUCGACUCCCACGAUUUUUCUUUUACCUAGAAGAACUAUGUGGCACUUUGGCUCCCAUGUCUCUUCUGGAUUCCUCUUGGGUUUGCUGCACAUGUCCUUCACAUAGAACACCUGAUGCACAUCAUUGGCAAGUACGAAUGGGUCAUCACUGUAUCCAGUCUUGCUCAGAUCUACUAUUGUCAUUCCGUACUGAUCUUUGGUGACGGCAGUUAGCUUCACCCAAUUGCAAAGAAAUAGAGGGAUGUACAGCGGUCCGUAUUCGAGUUCCCAUAUCUCCUGUAUGAAACCAUAAUACGACUCCUUGCUAUUAUUUCUGUCCAUGGCAUCUAUGCGGACACCACUAUUCUGGUUCGUGCUUUUCUGGUCCUGGGCUCUCGUGUAAAAUGUGUAACCAUUUAUCUCAUAGCCUUGGAAUUUGACGAUUGUGGUAGCAGGUCCCCUGGCUAACCAAGCAAGCUGUGGGUGAAUCUCAGAGUUACCCAUAAGUUGUUGGCGCAACCAGGAGGGAAAAGUUUCCAUGUGAUGACGGGUAAGCCAAGCAUCGGAUUUGGUCGGGUUUUUGGAAGCUACCAUCUGCCUGUGCUGCUCGAUAUACGGAGACACAAAGGAUGACUGUUGUAGAACAGUGUAGUGUGCCUUGUCGAACAAAUUAGUAUCAUUGCUCAAACUUGAUUUCCUUCCAAGGGUGCCCAUUCCUCGGAGCCUCCCCUCGUGGCGUGAAGUUGGAACCCCAAUCGAGUCAAUUGAAUCAAUAAAAUCAACACAAAACUCGAUCACCUCCUCUGUUCCAUAUCCCCUGGCGAUGCUUCCUUCUGGACGAGCACGAUUACGAACAUAGUUUUUUAGGACUGCCAUGAACCUCUCGAAAGGCCACAUAUUGUGCAGGUAUACAGGUCCGAGAAUACCAAUCUCUUUUACUAGGUGAACCAGUAAGUGCGUCAUAUUAUUGAAGAAGGAUGGUGGAAAUAACAACUCAAAACUGACAAGACAUUGCACCACAUCGUUCUGUAGCUUUGAUAGCUUGGAUGGAUCGAUUGCCUUCUGCGAAAUCGCAUUGAGAAACGCGCAUAGCUUUACGAGCGGCAACCGGACAUUUUCGGGUAGAACACCCCUCAGUGCAACCGGAAGCAACUGGGUCAUCAACAUGUGGCAGUCAUGAGCCUUGAGAUUUGUAAACUUCUUUUGUUUCAUAUUUAUUAUUCCCUUUAUAUUCGAGGAGUACCCAGACGGGACCUUCAUACUAUUCAAGCAUUCAAACAUACUAUCCUUCUCCUCCUUGCUGAGAGUGUAACUGGCAGGACGUAAGUAGUGCUGUCCAUUAUCUCUCUUUUCCGGAUGUAGGUCAUCUCGUUGCCCCAUGGCUUUCAGGUCCUGUCUUGCUUCCAAUGUAUCUUUUGAGGUUCCAUAAACACCCAUGAAGCCUAGCACGUUCACGCAAAGAUUCUUCGUCAGGUGCAUCACGUCUAUUGCGUUGCGAACCUCUAGGAUUUCCCAAUAAGGUAGCUCCCAAAAUAUUGACUUUUUCUUCCACAUGGGUGCAUGUCCGUUAUCAUCGUUCGGAAUAGGUUGGCUACCAAGUCCCUUUCCAAAGACUACAUGUACAUCCUUCAUCAUCUCGAACACACGCUUUCCAUUACGGUGUGCAGGUUUUUUACGAUGGUCUGGCGUCCCUUUGAAAUGCAUCCCGCUCUUUCUCAGCUGGUGGUGAGCAGGGAGAAAUCGACGAUGACCCAUAUAGACGACCUUCUUACAGUGCUUCAAGUACAUGCUAUCUGUGUCAUCUAAACAGUGGGUGCAUGCCCGAUAUCCCUUAUUUGUCUAUCCUGAAAGGUUACUCAAUGCAGGCCAAUCGUUGAUGGUUACGAACAACAGUGCUCGUAGAUUAAAGAUCUCUUGUCUAUCCUCAUCCCACACACGUACACCUUCUUCCUUCCAGAGCUGUAAAAGGUCAUCAACCAACGGCCUUAGGUACACGUCAAUGUCGUUGCCGGGUUGUUUUAGGCCUUGGAUAAGCGCCGGCAUCAUAAUGAACUUCCGCUUCAUGCACAGCCAAGGAGGAAGGUUGAACAUACAAAGGGUCACAGGCCAAGUACUAUGACCACUACUCAACUCACCGAAUGGAUUGAAUCCAUCAGUGCUUAAACCAAACCUUAUGUUCCUUGCUUCACUUUCAAAGUCUGGGAAUGUUCUAUCAAUUGAUCUCCACUGUGCCCCAUCUGCGGGGUGUCUCAGCAUCUCAUCUUCCUUACGGUCUUCUUUGUGCCAUCGCAUCAACUUAGCAUUCGCCUUGUUCCUGAACAAGCGCUUCAAGCGUGGUAUUAUAGGGAAAUACCACAUCACCUUCACGGGAACUCUCUUCUUGGGAGACUGCCCCUCGACAUCACCAGGAUCAUCUCGCCUGAUCUUAUACCGCAGGGCUUCGCAGACGGGACAAGCAUCCAAUUCCUCGUAUUCAUCACCACGAUAGAGGAUACAGUCAUUAGGGCAUGCGUGUAUCUUCUGAACAUCCAAUCCGAGAGGGCAAAUAAUCUGUUUAGCUUCAUAUGUUGUGGACGGUAAUUCAUUAUUCUCGGGGAGAAUCUUCUUGACAAUUCUCAACAUCCCCUGAAAUGCCUUAUCGGACACACCAUUUUUUGCCUUCCAUUGCACAAAUUCUAGUGUCGUACCUAGUUUUUUAUGGCCCUGCUGGCAACCUGGGUACAACAAUUUUUGGUGAUCAUCUAUCAUGCGCUGCAACUUUGCUGCUUCCUUCUCAGUUUCGCAAUCUCUGUAUGCAUCUCGUAUCACCUGACCAAGGUCAUCAGUAGGGUCAUUUUCUGCAAACUCAUCUUCAUCAGCCUCGCCCAUUGUAGUACCUGCAAAAGCUUGGCCUGCAACCCAGUCCGGAAUGGUGUCAUCUUCCUCCUCCUCCUCGCCAUCUUCCAUUACAACCCCUAGUUCACCGUGCUUGGUCCAAACCAAAUAGUUAGGCAUGAAACCGUAUUUAAACAAGUGGCUGUGAAUAGUCCCCCAGGAAUUCUUUGAAUACUCCUUCCUGUUAUUGCAUUGGAAGCAUGGACAACAUACGAACCCAUUCUCUGGCUUGUUCGCUUUUGCCACUUCGAGAAAAUAAUGCAAGCCAUCAAUAAACACCUUGCUCCGCCUGUCUGCAUUAUACAUCCAAUGCCGGUCCAUCUGCAUCGUAUUACGCACGAAAAUGGAUUACACUUGACAAUGGAUUACGCGUGAAAAUCGAUUAAAGAUCCAAACAACAUGGUACAAUACAACAACAUGAAGAUCCAAAUACACAUAUUUAAAUUAAAGUCCCAAACACUGCAUAAGUUGUUCAACUUGAAGACCGUGAUCAUCUCGUGAGGAUGUCCUCAACUGGGCGGCACCGCACUUCGUCAUUAAAGAGGUUAGAUGCUACGGAAAAGGGGACACGGUCACAAUGUCCGUAUCCACUCUUUCUCGUAGAAUCGAACCUCCUUCUUGACAUACGUUGCUGCUCGGCGGAGAACAUCCUCGGCGAGAUGAACACGGUAUGCAAGUUCAACAAGUAGCAGAAGUCAUCUAUGUACAAAAAUUCUUUCCUUACCACUACAGAAGUUGUUGAACUUGAAGACCGUGUUCAUUUCGCGAGGAUGUCCUCAGCUAGGCGGCACCGCACUUCGUCAUGAAAGAGGUUAGAUGCUACGGAAAAGGGGACACGGUCACGAUGUCCGUAUCCACUCUUUCUCGUAGAAUCGAACCUCCUUCUUGACAUACGUUGCUGCUCGGCGGAGAACAUUCUCGCCGAAAUGAACACGGUAUGCAAGUUCAACAAGUAUAUGGAUUUAAAAAACCAUAUUGAAUUUGAUAAGAUAAACCGUCUAGACAAGGUAGCAUCAUUUUUAAACCACUGAAAUAAUGCAUACUAUAUAUGACACAUCAAUCUCCCUCACAUUCUAGCUCAAAAUACCUCUCCAUUUUUCUACUUCAUCAUCACAUUGUAGCAAAUAAUCUUUCCAUCUCCAAAGCAUAAAUCAAAGCAUAACACGAGGAUGAAGUAGCAAACCUUCGCAGCACUUGUUGGCUGAGUCAAAUUCCCACGAAAAUGAGGGAAAAAAGUUCGGGCAGCACCUCCCUUGCUUGGGCACCACCGGAGAGUAGGUGAAGCUCAGCUCUCUAUCAAUGUGCUGGACUGCUCGGGCUGGAGGAAGAAGAAAGUCUCUGUCUCGGGGUAUAGUGGGGGAUGAGUUUUAAUCCCGGUUAAAAACUCCAACCGAGACAAAAGGAAACACCUUUUGUCCCGGUUGGAAAGUUAGUCCCGGUUGGAGGAUCCAACCGGGAUAAAAGGGACACCCUUUUAUCCCGGUUGGAGGCACCAACCGGGACUAACCCUUUUAUCCCGGUUGGUGCCUCCAACCGGGAUAAAAGGGUGUCCCUUUUAUCCCGGUUGGAUCCUCCAACCGGGAUAAAAGGGUCCCGCCACCGACGGCCCCCGCUAGCCGUUGCAACCGGGACUAAAGGGGGGCCUUUAGUCCCGGUUGCAAUUACCAACCGGGACUAAUGCUCCCCUCCAAAUUCCCGCACCCCGGCGCACCCCCUUUUGUCCCGGGCCACUUUUAAACCGGGAUAAAAGGGGGUUGAUCGAAAGUCAGUUCUCUACUAGUGAUCGGUGACUCCGCUCGAGGAGAAUUGUUUAUAUCAAGCAUAGAAAUGACAACGUUGGAAGUGGAGGAUAUAUUUUGCUCUGUUGAUUUAAUUGCCGCGAGAGUGGCGGACAAGUUCUAAUGAUUGAAGAUCAGAAGCGUCUCGUGGAGAAUUUUUCAGAAGCUAUAUUUGGAAUUAUUAUAUUAUCUCAGGAGCAGAUUAAAUAUAACGCCACCACUGAAAGCCGAUGAGAUGUAUCUAUCGGCUACAUGCUAUUCAGAUGAAUUUGAUGACAGAUUAAUUACGGAGGAGACCGACCGAUACAACAUUAUGGUUUCUUACUGCUGAUCUGUUAUGAAAGAGGAUGUGAGAAGCUGAUAAUCAAGCAACAAUAAAAUGAUAUACACGCAGGGCAUUAAAUAUUGAGUUAAUGAUUGGGAGUACUACCAUUAUCUUAUGAAAAGUCCAUCGGCUAACCAAACAGCGUCAGCCGAUGGAAGCAAAUAGUGUCAGCCGAUAGAAUGAUGUUAUAUAAGUAUAUAUAUCGGCCUCCGAGCCAAUGGGAAGUAGGAACUAUCAGCCGAUGCACACAUCCAUGGACAUAGCCGAUAAGACAUUGUAUCGGCUGCUUGGCAAAUAAAAAUAGCAUCGGCUGACCGCUUGUUAAAAUAUUAUCGGCCGAUUGCUUGGCAAAAUAGUAUUGGCUGACUGCUUGGCAAAUAAAAAAAUAAUAGGUUGACCAAAAAAGGAUAGCAUUGCCUGAUUGCUUGGCAAAUAAAAAAAAUUACGUCGGCUGAUUGGUUCCAGCAAAAUAGUAUCGGCUGCUUGUUGAUCAGAAAAAGCCGAUACUGUUACAGCUCCCGCAACUGUGCUUUGCUGUCAUCGGCUGGGUUGUUCGUGCUCCAUCUGCAAAUAUUUGUCCCGGCUAGAAAGUAUCGUACGUGCAUUGGGAUUCGGCAGUACAAAUCACGUACACGCGUAUGGUCUGCUCAGAAGCUGUCUGUUCGACGAAGUUCCAGGCCAAUGGUGGAGACUUGAUGACCAUGGUGACCUGCAUUAAUCAACAUGAAGUAUGUAUCGGCUGUUCGGUGAUUGGUAGCAAAUCAGCUUUCUCAUAGCCGGUGACAUAUGGGGCAAGAAAUAUCAGGCUUAAAAAAGGACAGUACGAUCAAUGUCGAAAGUUGUAGCCGACGGUUCUAUUAUUGUGCAGUCGAUGGAACAUAGAAGAUGCAUCUGAAUGAGCAAAAGGAAGGGAGCCGAUAGAAGGGAAUUUAAGUUGCAUGAGAUCCAAUUAAAUUAAGAUGACGAGAGGUGUUGACAUCGAAUCAUCGGACUUCUACGAAGUCUUCAUACUCCGAAACUAGGGAGUCUGUGUUAACACCAAAAUUUAGAAAUAUGCUGAUGCAAAAAAAUAAUGAAAUCUCCUAAAUAAGGCUCAAGAAAGAAAAAGCAAGAAAAGAAAAUCAAUCGCACGCGGCAAGAAUUGAAUAAAAUAUUCUAGAGGUAGAGUUGGUUAGGAUAAGCUUAAUUAGGGAUAGAGUUGGAUUAGUUAGAGAUAGUAUUUUGAUUAGAAAAGAUUGUGUACAUGACUUGUACGUGGUGCGUCAGAGGCCAUCCGCCCUAUAAAUAUAAGGGGUCGUGGCCAUUGUAAUUAUCAUCACACGAUCAAUAUACAACAUAUUUAUCUUUUACCUUUUCGGCUUCACGCCAUUGUAUUAGGAGUAGGAGUAAUGUAGCUUCCUGACGAGUUCCUUCUAGCAAGCUGUGCUGCAUUGACCUUGAUCUCUGGCGAGCUGCAAAGUUCCGUCACCAGGUGUUCUAGGCUUUAACCACCGGGCGCAUCGCUUGUGGUUUCGUCUAGUUUCAUCUACAAGGUAUCGAAUAUCAUGGAUCUUUAACUUACGCAUCGCUUCUGUCUUGAUCUACGGUAUUCACCAGUUAUCCUGCCUUGGUUAAGUCUGCAUCGGCUGAUAUUUAUCUGUUCUAUCAUCUUGCCGUUCAGUUUGCUUUAAUUAGCUUUAGAUCGGUUCAUUAUAGAUGAUAGAUCGCUUAAUAGCCUGUUGCAUCUUAAUCUUGGUUACCCCUUCAAGUGCUGUUGGGAUUAAGUUUCGUUAUGAUUGGAUUCAUCGGCUGGUGGGGUUGGUGGGGUUCAGAUUAACAUCGUGCUAAAUAUUUCUAGACUGCAACUACUGGACGCAUCGCUGUGGUUUCAUCUAGAGAUAUUGGUAGAGAGUUUAGUUUAGAUCUCAUCGGUUCGUGGCUCUAGCUAUGGUGGAGCGGCAGCUGAAUAGCAUCCUGUUUUCUAUCGGUCGCCUGGCCGAUAGUUAUUGCAAAAUAUAUUAAAUCGCCUGGAUGGCCGAUGGAUCACUCACGCUCGUCAAGGAUCAUAUCGGCCUGAUCGGCCAGUUGCCUCGGACUUCAAAGGAUUAUUUUCACCUUGUCAGUUGAAUGGUCAAACUGGCUGGCACGCCCGCGCACACCAUGCGCGCCGAUUUGGAUUUUGCACUGGAGUUAAGUAGAUCUUCCAGGUCCUCAUGUGGUGACGAAGGAUCCACCACCAUCAGGAUUUUGCGUCAACACAUUUUGGCACGCCCAGUGGGACACGGUUAUAAGGUUCAUAUUUUUAUUCAUAUAAAAAAGCAUCUUCGGCAUCAUCGGCCAAAUGAGUGUUCAUCGGCUUGUUAGAAUUAAUUCAAUAUAAUAUUUCAGCAAAAGCAGCCGAUGUAGCGAUUGGAGAUAAGGCCAAGUCAAGUCUGCGUGUAUACGCAUGUUCCGGUGGGAUCAUCUUCAUAAAUGCCAAUGACGAUUAGAGAUGAAGCUUCCUGCAAAAUGAUUGGCUACUCUAUCCGGGAAGAAUUGCUUUUUUAUGAGGCAUAUAUAGAGACCCAUGUUGCAAUUAGGGGGCGUAUUCGUGCAUUGGCUGAAAUAAAAAAAUGCAUCGGCAUAUUGAAAAUUGCAUCGGCCGAUUGACAGUCGUAUCAGCUGAUUGGAAAAAUAAAAAGGGAUCAGGGAUCCGCCGAUUGAAAAUUGCAUCAGCUGAUGGAAAAUGAGAGCAACAGUUACAAUAUUUUUUUUAAAAGAAAGCAAGUAUCGGCAAGCAGUAGCCGAUGGAUUUGUAUUUCAGCCAAUGGGGUUUUUGUUUCAGCUGAUAGUACUACUGGCUGAUGGCAAGUCCAAUGGAGUUAAAAUUGCAUUGACUGAUUGAAAUAAAAAUUAAGUAUCGGCUAAUUUAUGGCCAAGUAGCAUCUGCUGAUUUGUUGCAAAGUAGUUUCGGCUGAUUUAUGGCAAAAUAGAAUCGGCCGAUUUAUGGCAAAGAAGCCAAUAGACAAAAGCAUCGGCUGGUAGAGAAGCCGAUUGAGCAAGCAUCUGUUGAUGAGCUAUGUAUGGGAAAAAGUAUUGGCUGCUUAAACAAUUGACAAAAGCCAAUUGGUCAGACUGAGAAGCCAACUGGGAAAGCAUCGAUCGAUGGAUUGCGUAUGGGAGAGAGUAUCGGUUGAAGUCUUUAGUAUUGACUGCUAGAUAUUUGAGCAAGCGUCGGCCGAUUGACUGCUUGGUAAAAAAAACAUCGGGCUGAUUGCUUGGUUAAUAAAAAAAUUGCAUCGUUCAAGCAAAGAUUGCAUGGGCUGAUUGGUUCAAGCAGAAUAGUAUCGGUUGCUUAUAGAAUAUAUCGGAUAUUAAUUUCGAAGCAUGAAAAUAUUCAUACUCCGAAACUGGGGGGCCUGUGUUGACAACAAAAGCUUGCUGGUUACUGCAUCAAGUUUUGGUGUCAACAUACUUGAUCUUUUGUUUCCAUUGCCAGCGGAUUCAUCGGCUCAGAGUGGGAUCAAGACAUCAAGCUGAUGGAGUUCUUUAUAUUUCAAGAGGAGUCAUGGAGUUCUUUAUAUUUCAAGAGUAGUCGAUGGUGCUUUGAAUAUUGCAACCAGACGUCAUUGGCUCUAAAGAUACCGAAUCAUCGGACUUCUAUGAUCAGUUUCGGAACAUGAAGCCUUCAUACUACGAAACUGGGGGCCUGUGUUGACACCGAAUCAUCGGACUUCUAUAAUUAGUUUUGGAACAUGAAGCCUUCAUACUUCGAAACUGGGGGGCCUAUGUUAACACCAAAAUUUAGAAAUGUGCUCUGAAAGGAAGGUAUCGGCCGAUGAUGCAAAAAAAUAAUGAAAUCUCCUAAAUAAGGCUGAAGAAAGAAAAGCAAGAAAAGGAAAUCAACGCACACGGCAAGAAUUGAAUAAAAUAUUCUGGAGAUAGAGUUGGUUAGGAUAAGCUUGAUUAGAGAUAGAGUUGGAUUAUUUAGAGAUAGUAUUUUGAUUAGAAAAAAUUGUGUACAUGACUUGCCUUGUACGUGGUGCGUCAGAGGCCAUCCGCCCUAUAAAUAUAAGGGGUCGUGGCCAUUGUAAUUAUCAUCACACGAUCAAUAUACAACAUAUUUAUCUUUUACCUUUUCGGCUUCACGCCAUUGCAUUAGGAGUAGGAGUAAUGUAGCUUCUCGACGAGUUCCUUCUAGCAAGCUGGGCUGCAUCGACUUCGAUCUUCGGUGAGCUGCAAGUUCCGUCACCAGGUGUUCUAGGCUUUAACCACUGGGCGCAUCGCUGUGGUUUCGUCUAGUUUCUUCUACCAGUUACCGAGUAUCUUGGAUCUUUGACUUAUGGCACAUCGCUUCUGUCUCGAUCUACGGUAUUCACCAGUUAUCCCGCCUUGAUUAAGCUUGCAUCGGCUGAUAUGUAUCUGUUCUUUCAUCUUGCCGUUCAAUUUGCUUUAGUUAGCUUUAGAUCGGUUCAUCAUAGACAAUAGAUCAUUUAAUAGCAUGUUGCAUCUUGAUCUUAGCUAUCCUUCGAGUGUUGUUGGGAGUAAGUUCCGUUGUGAUUGGAUCCAUCAGCUAGCAGGGUUUAGAUUAACAUCCUGCUAAAUAUUUCUAGACUGCAACUACCGGGCACAUUGUUGUGGUUUCACCUAGAGAUAUUGGUGGUGACGUUAGUUUAGAUCUCAUCGGCUUGUGGCUCUAGCUAUGGCGGGGCAACAACUCAACAACAUCCUGUUUUCAAUCGACCGUCUAACUGAUAGCUAUUGUAAAUUAUAUUAAAUCGGCUGGAUGACGAUGAAUCACUCACAUUCAUCAAGGUACUGGAAUCGGCUUCACAGCCGAUAUAUUUGUCAUGAUUUAUUUUGUUGCACCAUUAUCGCUACUGUGCUAGGAUUAUAUCGGCCUAAUCGGCCAGUUUCCUCGGACUUCACAACGACUAUCAUCUCCUUGUCAGUUGAAUGGUCAAACUGACUGGCAUGCCCGCGCACACCACACGUGCCGAUUUGGAUUCUGCACUGGAAUUAAGCAGAUCUCCCAGGUUCUCAUGUGCUGAUGCAGGGUCCACCACCGCCAGGAUUUUGUGUCAACACCUUGUAAUCUUCCUUUGAUUUCCUCAAUGAUUCGAAGACAAUAACCUUGCUUGUAUAAAUGAUAAUUAUAAGGAGAACCUAGUGGAAACUGUGUAUUCAUAUUAGAACUACCUAUGGUUAAUUAGGUUAGGAAAGGAAAUCGAAAAUAGACCGUACCCACACUUACUUAAAGUUGUUGGGCAGUAGUAUGUAAUGCUUGUAAUUCUGUUACUCCAAGAAUUUGUAUAUGUGGUCCAAUGUAGACUUUGGUUGAUCCCAUAUCUGUUGUUGGUUAAAUAAGUGUUUCUGGCCAUUUCUAGCCGUUAGAACCGGAACUAAAGGGGGCUCUUUAGUACGGGUUGAUAUUACUAACCGGGACUGAAGAGCCCCCAUUACAGUUGGUUUUUGGACGCGGAACUAACAACUCCUUUAGUCCCGAGUCCAAAAACGACUGAGAUAGAAGAUCCUUUCUCUACCGUGAAUAUUGCCAGAAAGAAUUGAAAGAGACCGCUUGCUAAAAAUAUGUCAUAGAUGUAGACCAAGCUACCAAGGAGGUAGACCAAACAUGAUACACACCAUGCGUACCUUGCUGUGCAGACUAUGCAUAGACAAGACACCCGACCACAUGUUGGCCUCGGUCACAUCAAAAGAAUCAUGUAGGCCACCAAUAAACUACUUGAAGCGUCAUUCCGUAUCGUAUAUGCAUUGCCGGUUCAUCUGCAUUACAUUACAUAAAGUAGUAUUAACUAUUUGAAUAAAAUGAACCAAUUUAAAAGUAAUGUGUUGUACUCUACUAUAGAAAGCCCUAUCACUGUCGGAUCCAGAAACAUCAUUGUUGAUGGUCGUUAAGUACCAAGACGGUCAAUAUUCUCAAGAAUAAUGGAGAAUUGGCAUUUCUUACACACAUAUUUGGUUUUGAACAAUGUAGUCCCACAUGUCCUUGGAGAUUAUUUGGGUGUGGGUGAAAUAAUACAAAAAGAAGGAGAAAACACACUCCCAUGGUGAAGAAACAAAACUCCGACCAAUGAGAGAUAGCCACAGGGGCAGCACACGGAUCCAUGGGCCCACAAACCGCAUCAAACUGUCUUACCAAGGCGGGUAGCACCCACAACCAUGAUUAGGACCCACCUGGAUGUCUACCAAGAAGAAGGUUGUGAGUGGGGCCAGGAGGGGUUCGGCUGAAUCAUCUCUAGCUCCCCUCAUCCCCAGCUGGUGCAUGGCGGUGGUUAAUGGUGUCCCUACAUCGGUUAGAGGAGAUUCCCCCAAAUAUUCCUCCUGUAAACCACCUGUAUGGACCUAUACAUAGAGGGGUGUGCUCUCCAAUCCAACACACACCACAAGUUUAAUCACUCUCUCCCUCUUUAAUUUCCAUGUUUAUGGAGUUAGCCUAGAGUAGCUCUGCUCAAGGUUCCAAGUCCACUUGGAGUUAAGCAUAUGUCUCUUGUAUCGUUAUUUCCCAGAUUGACUUUAUGCUUAGUUCUUAUAUGCAUGAGUUAGUCUAAUAGCCUUGCUCUAUUGAUAUGCUCGGCUUAUAUGCUCGUAUGCUAGUCAUAUACCCUUGCUGCCGUAGUAUAGGCUUAUAUGCUCUCAUGUGUGCCUUUAGACCUUGCUACAAUAUAUACUUGUUGUGUAUACAUACCAUGUAUAGGCUAGUCGAUCUAUACCAUGGCAUUGGUUCAAUAGCCAUGUUUUUGGUGGCUCCAACCCUAGUCAGAAUAGCUCGGGACAGCUAGAGUGUUGUUAAAAAUGCAAGAGUGAUGGUUGGGUUGUUUAGCAUCGUUGGAUAUGGGUUUUCCCCACGGGUUUCUAAGAGUAGGCGGCAGCUAGUGACAGCCCUGUCCGUCCUUCGUAAUCCCCCCACAUUCAAGUACGCCAUAGAAGUUCAUAAAUUAGCAGUAACUACACCGGCAGACCGGUAGGGUAUUGUCUCCCUAUAGUACCUUGGUGCAUAGAACUAGGUCAUAUACACUGUGUGUCUAUGUUUACGCUGAUAUGAUCUGUGCAGUAUAUAGCAUGUAUAUAUGAACCUAGAGCUAACUCCUAGUCCAUUCUCCGUAGCUUAGUUAUCUUGAGAUGAUUCUUCUGUGUGUGUAACACUACCCAUCUUAUCAUUAUCCUUAAUCCUGUCUUGUGUAAUAUAUCUACUCAUCCUAUGAUAUACUCAUAUGCAUAGUAAACUAUUUUGACCUACCCGCCUUCCUUUGGGAAAUACGAUACCCUGGAAUAAUCCUAGGUGAAAUGCUACAACGGUAUAUCCAUGUGCUUACGGAAUUAUUCCUGACCAUUAAAUAUACCAACAAUCAUCACUAUCUAUUUUGGGCAUCGUUAGUGAAGGGUCGGCAGUGAUGGGCAUCCCCUUCACCAAUGGAGCUGGAACUGGCGGUGAUGGCCAUUAAAAAAAAUGGGACCCCACCCAGCGUACCCCGCAACCCGGCCGGCUGCGCCUCCCAUCAUCCCCGCCGGUCGCCCUUCCUCUUUGCCGGCCGAGCAUGGUUCCGGCCCUCGUCCCUACCGCCUCGCCUCCAUCGCGACCCCCUGCCGAUGCCCUCAUGCCUGGCCCCCCUCGUCUGGCCGGCCACCCUCCCGAUGCAUCCACCGGGGCCCUCGCACCACCAACCACCCUAGCCUAGAGAGAGAGAGGAGGAGGGAGGUGAGGCCACGCACCUCGUCCUACAACGCCGCUGUUGCUCCUCGGCCCACCGCGCCUCACCCCACACCACAGCCGCACCUCGCCAUCUUACCGGCCGCGACGCCCCAUCUCACCGGCCACCGUUCCUCACCCCCACAUCGGUCAUCGCUGCUCCUUGCCCUACUGCUGCUCUUUGCAGCCGCGAAUGAGGGGCGAGUGGAGGGGGAGGGGCGGGGCAGGAGGAGGGCAAGAUCCGGGAGGAAGGGAGAGAUUUUGGGAGGUGGAGAUGGAAGGAUAUGGCGGAAGGUAGAGAUCUAGAGGGAGAGAGCGGGGGGGAGAGGGGGGCAUGUGGGGAGAGAGCGCAUGUGGGGUGGGGCCGGGCUGGUGGGAUGGAAGGUAGAGGGGCCGGAGGGCGCAGUGCAUUCAACUGGAUUAAGUAAAUAUUUCGGAUUCGAGACCCCAGCUUUAUUAUCACCGCUGGUCCGUAGUACCAUUCGGUGCCGGCUCAUAAUUUAAUUUGAACCGGUGGUGAUGUUUUAUUAUCACUGCUGGUUUCAAUUUUCACCAUCGGAUCAUAUAAAAAUCCGGCGGUUAAAAAUCCGCUGGUUUCGAUGAAAACCGACAGUGAUAGGACGACUGUGAUAGUCUCUUCUCUAGUAGUAGUAUAUUAGUACCGGCUGCCGGAUGGUGUUGCCGACGAGUACUUCUCCAGGGGCGAUUCAGUACUGAUGUUAGCAAAGCUUGUUCUCUAUGAAUUUGGGGAUGGAAAGCUAGUUCUCUAGUUGUGAUUUGUUACAUAUAUCUCUAUGAUAGUCUAGAAAUUGCAUGUCCUUCGUUGACAUAGUUGAAGCUGCUUCAAGAAUUUACUUCGUGCAGUCGUGCAGCAUAUUGGAUUAUCACCUAGACAGGAUACAUAGGUGAAGCAUUGCAUGUGAUUGUGGCUGAUAAUUAUGCAGGACGCUGUUGCAAUCAACCAUCAAGAAGACUGGAGCGAUGGGGUUGCCUCAUCAACAAUUUUUAUAUAUGGCUGCAGUAUUAUUAAGCCCACGUCAAUAAUUUUUUCUCCGCAGCAUAUAUAUGGUUACUCAGUUCGCUGGAGUAUCGCUGUGGAAAAACAUACGUACUGCGCCUCGGAACUAACUGGCAUUCAGGCCAUCAACGACCAGAUAUUUGGGACAACCAACAAAUAGUAGGUGGUUCCUAAGUUGUAGUCGUAUGUACUAAUGCGCCUCGAUGGGGUUUUCUUCAGAUAUUUUAUUGCCGUUCAAUGAACAAGCAGAUACAUAACCUGUGCAGAAAAUUCCAUCUCCACGCAUGCCACUGCACCAACAAGAUCCUCAGUCGACGAUGAUGGCUCAGCCUGUUCCUUCUGCCACCAAAUCCUCAAUCUUCCCUCCAGCAACGGAGAAUGCACCUUUAGUACCUUCAGUAUCAGAUGUUGCAAUCGGUACCGUGAAACCGAGACUAAAAUCCUUACUUUGCAGGGGGCAAAACAAUCUUGCAAAUAUAUAUUUUGAAUUCCAACAAAAUUUAAGAAAUGUUAAAGAUGACUAGCUGAGAGUCAACAGACAAGAUAUGAUAUUAGGAAUGUGGGAGGAUGAAUGCAUUUGUACAGGGGUCAUACUAUUUCCAGACUCUUCUAUAUUUCCAUAUGACUACCUACUUCAAUGUCACGCGAGCCAUUCAAAAAGAUACAUGGUACACUUGUAUGUCUAAUCCAUUAUUGAUUAUUUCCUCUUGUCAUCUCUUACAAGUAUUUCUCCAUACUAUAGAAACGUGCAACACAUUUUUAGGAUAUGGACACGCAUGAUUAAUAUGCUUGGACUAGUAUACAGGUCAUCUUUGGAUGAGUACAUAUGAAUGCCAGGGAGGGACUGAUGGAUAUAAGGAAAAGGGACCAUGCAUAAAUAAUGACAUAUGUAACAUGGCAAUCUUCAUUGCCAUGCAACUCCUAUCAACAAUCAUGGAAUACAUACUACUGCUCCAGAAGGGUGGUGUGCAAAUUUAUUUUACCUCGCGGUGAAAAUCUCCAGAGCAGGCCUGAAGUUAAAAUAAGAGGCAGUCACUAUCGAUCAUGACAGUCUCGAAACUGUACAGCACUAUGCUAGUCCUAGUCCUCAUGUCGUUCGUGCUGUCGUGUAGCAUGAUGGAUUAUUAACUGGGCAGGACACGGAGAUGGCUAGCGAUGACAGAGGAUGACGUACAUGAUAUUCACCUCUGAAAUGAAGCGUAGGCUAAUGAAGCACAAUUGCAUGUGAGUGUGGCAGAUAUUUAUACAGGACAGUGAUUGCAAUAAUCGACCAUCGAGAUCGAAGACAGGGGCGAUGGGGUUGCCUCAUCAAUAAUUCGCGCAACCAGACAAGCUGCAGACUCAAUAUGGUACGAAGCUAUUUGGUCAGCCCACAUGCUCUGAUAUAACAUUGGCAUCUGCUGAUCUACAGUAUAUAUGACCAGAAAUAUUGUGCCACCUCAAUAAUUUUCCGAAGUAUCGUUGGGGAAGCACCUACAUACUAUGCCUCGGAACUAACUGACAUGUUGGCCUAGGCGGUCCAGGCCGAUUGGACAGGCUCUUCCUUAUGGCUCCUCACGUCCCCUUCGUUUCCGAGUAAUCUCAGGUGUUCUGAAGUUUUCUUUUCACUUGCAUGUGGACCUUAUAUAUCAAUAGCUUCGGGAUAAGAAUGCCUCUUGAUAACCUUCCAAAUCGUCGCUUGAUUCACUUUGAUUCCAAAAUCAUCUUGCCAUAUCUUUUGAGACUUAGGCCCUAAGGCAUCAUGGAGGAUUGCUCGCCAAGAAUGAGCACCAUUGGGCUCCUGAGGACCCUAGGCCGAUCAGCCUGGGCUCUAUAGGUUGAUUGGCCCAGGCCCUCUCUGGGCCCAUUGGCCUUCAUCUUUCUCUGAGUCGACGCUUAUUGAGGGCUUUGUCCAAUUAUAGUCCAUUAUAGUCUAAUUUCCAAAAAAAUAGAAUAUCCUCCAAAAUACAAUACAUUUGUGAAAACAGCCCAAUUAUUAGGUAUGAUCAAUAGUCUAGGUAUUAAAUUAAUGUUAUUAUUUAAGAUAAAUAGGGAUAAAGGGUGUCAUUAAUAACGAGCACCAACCAGCGUACCAGCUGUUAACACUAACCGAUGCUAAUAUGUACCCUUUAGUACCGGCUAUUUCACCCGGUACUAAACGAGACAAGAGCACCCUAACAGAGGUUAAUACCAUCCAUUUCAUGAGUAAAAUACUAUGAUUCAAAAAUAAUUCAAAUCCCUUAAGACAAUACCUAUCAAAUGAGUAGAUUGUAAAUAGAGUAAAACAAUGUCCUAAUGAAACGGAACACUUCUGGUUCGUGUAGAGCACAAUAUAGAAAACAGUAGGGUAGCUGUACGAUUGACACGUGGUCCAUUAAUUAUUGAGCCAUCACUAUGGACAUGUCUUCAUGAGUAGUGUACUAGUCAUGACACAUGGUAUGUAGUAGGUGGAGGUAUUGAGUUAGCCAUGCCAUGAGCACUUAGUUACAACAAACACUUUGCCAUUAUCGAGCAUCCCAAAUCACUACAAAAUCCAUAGUUUACCAUAUACUACAAAAUCUGAGUUAAAAUAAGAGCAUACACGGAAGAGUCCGAAUGCACCGGUUUAGGACCAGGCACAUUGAAUUACUAGAAAAAGUUAUCGGACAAGGUUUUGGGUAACCGCAUGAAAAAUGUUGGAUUUUACUGAACACUUAGUUACAAUUACCAUGCCGUGAGCACUUAGUCACCACAAACAUUUAACCACUUUAGAUCAUCCUGAAUCCCUAUAAAUUCUGUACCUUACACCGUACCAUGAAAACGACAAGAACAGAGACAGAUGCAGUGAAAAUCUCCAGAGCAGGCCUGAAAUUAAAAUAAGAGGAGGCAGUCUCUAUCGAUCAGGACACGGAGAUUGCUAGCCAUGACAGAGGAAGACAUGAUAUGAUAUUCACCUCUGAAAUGCAGCGUAGACUAAUGAAGCACAAUUGCAUGUGAGUGUGGCAGAUAAUGGACCAUCGAGACCAUCGAAUGGUAUGAAGCAUGAUUAUCACCUAGACAUGAUAUCCUAGACAGGACGGUGAAUUGUAAAAAGAGUAAUCUUGAUCAAAGAAUGUCCUAAUGAAACGGAACAUUUUUGGUACGUGUAGAGCACAAUAUAGAAAACAGUAGAGUAGUUGUACGAUUGAAACUGCAUCCAUCCACGUGGUCCAUGAAUUGUUGAGCCAACACUGUGGACAUGUCUUCAUGAACACCAUCUAGUGAGGACAGGAUGCAGAAAAAUAUAAAAACAUGUCAUAGGGAGGCAGACCAAUCUUGCAAGGAGGUAAACGAAACGUGAUACACGAUCUGCCUACCUUGUCGUGGAUACCCCAAGAGAAGAUGUCAUAGAGGUGCAGACCAAGCUAGCAAGGAGGUAGAUGAAACGUGAUACACGGCCUGCCUACCUUGCCGUGGAUAUUAGCCCUGAUAUCAUUCUAUUGUUCAAGGAAUAACACUCAAUGCUGCUGCUGCUGCUGACCUGGCUCCAUAAAGUUGUAUUCCUCUAGCCGCUUGCACUAACUUUAUCUGAAGUAUUAUUCUCUCUGCCCUGAUAUCUGAAGUAUUAUUCUCUCUGCUGACUUUGCUGAAGAACCUACAUAAUAUGUCUUGGAACUAACUGACAUUGAUUCACAGACAAACUCUACAAGGUGCUGUUGUUGCCAUAUUUUAGAGCAUCCCAAAGGACUAUAAAUAAUAUAGUUUACCAUAUACCGUAUACCAUUAUAUGUUAGCUAAAAUAAGAGCAUAACAUGUCGCAGGAGUCCAAAAGCACCGGUUGAGGACCAGGUACAUUGAAUUACUAGAAAAAGACAGGGGGCAAUGUUUAGGUAGCCACAUGAAAAACAUUUGAAUUUACUGUUCCAUGAACACUUAGUUACCAUGCCGGGAGCACCUAGUUAACACUAAAAUUUAGCCACUUUAGAUCAUCCCGAAACACCCUCAAUAGCGACAAAUUUUGAUUUAAAUGCCGUCACCAAUGAUCCUCAAUAGCGACGUGUUUAGGUUUAAAUCCCGUCACUAAUAACCCUUGGUAGUGACGUGUUUUGGUUUAAAUCUCAUCCCACUGAUCCUCAAUAGUGACGUGUUUUUAGCAACACACGCUAUGAAUGACUUGUCAUUGGUGACAUGUUAAAUGCGUUAUCUCAAUGGCAAAUCAUUGGUGACGUGUUUUAAAAAAACAUGUCACUGUGAGAGUUAUUGGUGAAGGGUAAUUAAAAUGCAUCACUAAUUUUGUAGCAUUAGUUAUGAUAUAAUUUAGUAACGCAAAAAUCUACCAUCAGUAAUGAGGUUUAGAGCCGUCGCUAAUGUGGGUUUCUUACGAGUGAUGCAAGCUCUACAAGGUGCUGUUGUUGCCAUUUUAAAGCAUCCCAAGUGACUACAAGUUAAUAGCAUAGUUUACCAUAUACCAUAAAAAUAUUAGUUACAAUAAGCACAUCCGCAUGUGGAAGAGUCCGAAUGCACCAGUUGAGGACUAAACACAUUGAAUUACUAGAACCAAAUGUAAGACAAAGAAAGGGGUCAAGGUUUGGGUAACCGCAUUAAAAACAUUGGAUUUUACUGUACCAUGAACACUUAGUUACCAUUACCAUACCUUGAGCAUCUAGUUACCACAAACAAUAAUUUAGCCACUUUAGAGGUUCCAGAAUCACUAUAAAUAAUAUACCAACACCGUACCAUGAAAACAUCAAGAAGAGAGACGGGUACAUGGACCACCAUCAAGUGAGUAGUGACAGCACGCACAAGAAUACCCGGAACCUGUUAGCUUGUCUGUAGUGAUCUGUUUUCUUCCCCAUAAAAUCCAUGAGUAUUGCCACAAAUAAUGAAAGAGGCUGACCAAGCUAACAAGGAGGUAGAGAAAACGUGAUACACGUAGGUUUCAUUCAAGACAUCCAUGUAAGAUUCAUUCAAAACAUUCAUGGAAAUUUCUUGUAAGUUUUCAUGUAAAUUUCAUUCAAGACAUUUGUUAGAGGUGUUGUAUAUAUAUACCUUAACGUACAUAUAUCUAUGAUUUCAUGGUUGUUAGUGAUGGCAGAUGAGGAGCAUGCAAGGUAUUUAAUGGAGCAGAUUAUUGCUAGUGGUAGUGGCUCCAACCUGCCCGUAACGUACACCAACGAAGAGAGCAGCCAGGCGGACAUGUUCCUCAACAUAUCCGGUGAUGGCAAUGAAGAGCCCGAGCAAAACCUUGCCGUGACGGAAGGUUCCAGUGAGGUAUAUAUCAUUUCCAUUGUUUUACCCCAUCUAUAAUUUCAUAUUCAUUAUUACUAUGUACUAAUUAAUGGAUCUUGAACCAUUAGCCCUCUAGAUCAACGAACCGAAAUAAGCCCCGAGGUCUUACAAAGAUAAUGCAGGGAAGGCAUCACAUCACGGAAGUCACAGAAGAGGGCACAUCAGUUGCUCCCGAACAUGUGGCAAGAAAGUACGUGAGUCAAACCGGGCAAUGUGCCCAUCAGCAUUAGGGAAUGAAAGGGCAAUAGAAAUGAUCUAUACACGCCCCCGGAUACACAAAAGGAUAUGCUGUGGGCAAAUAUCAAGAAACACUUCACAUUUCCCAAAGGAUAUGUUGAAAAAGAUGUGAAAGCGUGGAUGCUGAAGAAGAUGGUCACCGAAUUCCAGACAUUCAAGAAGAUGUUGGAUGUCAACUUCAUCAAGAAGGGUCGAACUCCGGGUUUCGAUGAGUGGCCAAAGUUAAGGGACCACUGGGAGUCAUUUGUCAAAUACAAGACGAGUGAAGGUGGUGCGAGUAAGGUUCGCAUCAAUGUUGCCAAUGCUAGCAAGGAGUACCAUCAUCAUCUAGGGCGACGUGGUUACAGCACUGCAAUUCCCAGAUGGCGCAAGAUGGAACAAGACCUGAUCGAUCGGGGUAUCGUACCAGCAACUCCUGACUGGCCUGAUCGAUUGAAAAAUUGGUAUUAUGCUCAUGAAGGCAAUCUGAGCCAACAGGAUGCGACAUUGGUCUUCAAUAAAACAAUACGUCAGAAGGCCGGAAGGCUUAUUAGGAACAUUGAAAAUGCUAAAUCUGGGAGGUUCAAGGUGGAUAGAGAGAAUGAUGAGCUCACAUUGGCCCUUGGGACUAUCAUCUCUAGCAUUUCCAGCUCCAGGACUGUCGUCACCACCGGGACCGUCGCUUCUUGCUCGAUCACAGUCUCCAUCUCCAGCACAUCCUGGUGGUGCGAACGAUGACGACAACAACACCCCUCCCUGCCCACCAUCGCCGGGACUAAGACCCGCAUCGAGUAAGGAACCUGCAGCACCACUGAAGAAGUCGCGACCACCGCCUUCCAAGCCAAGUCAGCAAAAGAAGAAAGCAGAGAAGCCUAAGCCCACUGAGAAGCCAACAACCGAUAUGACCGAUGCGGAAAGAUGGAAGGCACUCAAAGAAGAAUGCAGGGAGUGGUUCUGUAAAAAGAACCAAAGAAAGAAAAGGAAAGCAGAUGGAGCCACCGCCAGUAGAUCCAAGAAAAUUAUAAUUUUUUAUUAAGAUGUCAAAAGGAGCCAAGAAGAUGAUUCCACAACUAUCAAACUACGACCGGGCGUUAGUCAAGGCUGAUGAGAGUUAAAAAAGGAAAGGAAAGUCAUCUUCAAGUGGUACUGUCCCCCACCUCGAGGAUCUACCAGAAAAAGACGCUAAAAAGAUAGUAGCAAUGCUCUUGGAUCAACAAACACAUAUAUCAUGAGAUUCAUGCAAGAAACAGGUAUGUGCCUUGCUGAAUGUCUAGGGCAAGUUGAUAUGCUAGCUCUAGAGCCAUUUGUACCGAAAUGGACCUUUGAGCUAGGCAAGCCUCUAGUAAGGCCUGAGCUGGUACAGAAGCUAUCCACAUAGCUAUAUGAAUACCAUGAAUGGUACAUGAAGCAGUCUGCCAAUGAGAGGAAAAUGUUCGGUCUCAGGGAAAAACUGAUAUUUUUUUUCGGCGAAGGCGAGAAAGUCUUGUGAUGGAAUUCAAGGAUAUAUAUGAAGUGUACCAUCAGGAUGCCCUUGAUGUCUCUCUCAUCAGCGCCUAGGUUAUGUAAGUGUAUGUUUAUCUAUACGUAAUUUUUGUCUCAUAUCAUUAUUUCUUUUGCGUGCGUCACCCUACUAACUUCGUCUUCCAUUUUAUGUAGGAUGCUAAUUCAGAUGUGCCGCAUAGAAGCGCACUUCCAUGUUGGCUUCAUGGAUCCAUCCCUAGUUAACCAAAAGCAGAUACGGAAGUAGCUAGAGAAAAUGUUGGAGGUGGUAUACAACUUCCUGGACAAACAAAACUAUAGAAUAGGGGCAAUAUGUGAAGGUCUUGUAGGAUUCCUAGUGGACAAGGUGAUAAAUCCAUAAGGAGAAUAUCAUUACAACGGACGAGCAUUAGACACACUGAGCAACACCUAGACGGGAGGAUCCUAGGAAUGACCUAGACAGAUUUUGGUAUAAAUAGUAAUUGUGUAAAUACUAGUUUGAUUUGUAUAGGAAUAUACUAAGAAUUGUAUAUAUAGUAAUUGUACAAAUACUAGUUUGAUUUGUAUAAAUACUAGAUUGAUUUUAUUAUAAAAAAGUUUUAAGUCGUACGUGCAUGCGCCUACAAAGGCGCGUAUGCCCUUUAAUCCCGGUUGGAAAAACAAACCGGUACUAAAGGGGCUCGUGCCGCACCUGGCAUGACCGCCCCUUUAGUCCCGGUUGAACGACCCAGGACCAAAGAUCUGCCCCGUCUCAUAAAUUUUAUCCUGGAUGCUUUUUAGAGAGAUUUGAGGCCUAUCAACCAAGACUAAUAUCGAGUUUUCUACCAGUGGAACUAACUAACGUUCACAUGCUUCUGACAUUCACCUGCCAUUUGGUGUAGACAAGGGCACCCUAACAUAUGGUUAAUAUUAUUCAUGAAAGAAAAUCCUUUGAUUCAAAAAUACUUCAAACCUAAUAAUACAAUACUUCUCACAUCUGAAAAAUAUGAGAUGGCCCGACAGUAUUCUAACCGACGCAAUAAUAUUUUGAGGGCAGCACUACUACAGCGACCCUCAUUCGUGCCGGUGCUGGAACCCCUAUCACGACCCUGAUACAAAUGAGGGUACAUUAUUGUUGCCAGUGCUAGAAUAGCCACGAAUAACUUGCUAAACAUGCUGUUACACUCACUACUAGAAAAAUAACCUCUCGUCCUGAGGCUUAGUACCGGUCACUUUUUUGCCCAGUACUAAUGUUAGUAUUAGUACCGGAUCCAAAUUUGGGAUCCCCCAGAGACCCUUUAGUACCAGGUGGAGUCUCCACCCGAUACUAAAGGCUUUGUUACCGGGUGAAGGAUCCUCCCGGUACUAAUGGGGGAUUUUUAGUACCGGGUGGGAACCCCACCCGAAACUAAAAUCUCCCAUGCGGACCCCUCCCCCCCCCACGCGUUGCCUCUGUCCUCCCUCCUCCUCCUCUGAGUAGUUAUCCCUUCCUCAUCCCUCCUCCUCCUCCCACACGUGGGGUGAGGUGAGGUGGCAGUAGCAACGACAGGUGGUGUGGCGGGUCACGGCGGGCCGGAUGCGGAGCCGCAACGGUGGUCGGCGGGAUGGGGUGGGGCAGAGCGGCAUGGCAGGGCGGAGCGGUGGGACGGGGCCGAGGUGGAGGUGCCGGGCGGAGGUGGAGUGGCAGGACAGAGGCGGAGGCGGAGCGGCGGGUCGGCGAGCGGGUGGAGGGUGGCGACGAUGGGGCGGGCAGAGGCAGAGGGGUGGGUGGAGGGGCGGCGUGGUCCACCGGCGGGGGGGGGGGGGGGAGAGGGAGGCGUGGGGGGUGCGGUUGGUGAUUUCAAUUUUCUUUUAAUUUUUUAACACCCUUCAGUACCAGUUAUUUUAACCGGGUCUAAAGGGAUCCCCUCUUGUACCGAAUUGCUAGUACAGGAUGCACAACCGGUACUAGAGGGAGGUUCCCAACCGGUACUAGAGCCACUUUCCCCGGUAGUGACUUUUUCACCGAUUAGAAUAUGUUAUUAUUCUAAUCAGCUUUUGUUGAUCUCCUGUAUAAUUUAGUACCUAAUUCUACUAGCAAUUGUUAACGCCGACACGUAUUGGGUAUAGUCCUAACAGUGUCUAACUAGGGCACUACAUUUGUUAACCUAUAACUACUGGUAUCGAUUAGCCCUGGUUAGAAUACUGUCAAGGCAGCCAGAAAAAAUUGUUUGCCAAUUCUGCUAUCCAUCAGAACCAUGACUAGUACCGUAUUGUAAUAAACGAAUUACACAAAUAACUGAUGCACACAAAGGAAUAUGCACUCGCAUGUGCUAGACGUUCGUAGCAACAACAAAUUACUCUCAUCAUCAAUUAAACAUAAUAGAUUAAACAUUAACUGAACAUAGUUCAACACGUACAUCAACAAGACAAAGCAGUUUAAACAUCAACUGAACAGAACUGAAAACAUACAUCAACUGAUGAUAAACUUCGACAUGAACACAACACAUAAACAUCAACUUCAAUAGAACUUAAUAGAGCAUAUUAAACAACAACAUCGACAAAACAUAUAAACCCAGCUCAGUAGCUCAAGCAUCAACUAAAACUGCUGAAUUAAAAUAACAUAACAUAGUGUAGUUCAUCAUGAUGAUAACUAACAGAACCGAAAAGCCUAACUGGGUAAAAGAGCAAUUCAUUCAUAAUGCUUCAGCACUUACAUCACCGGAGUAUGCAACUGGCGGCGUCGCUUACGUCACUAUCACCGCGCUUGGCGAGUAAAGGAGGAGGAGGUGGCAUAGUAAUCGAAGAGGAGGCCGCUGUCGGCGGGUUUAGACUACGUGGAGGUGUGGGUAGGGUUAAGGUGGCUCUGUGGACGAGUAUAUAUAAGAGGUCUGGGCUUGUUAGAAUAAGAUAACAUUCUAACUGGCCAAAUUCGGAUCCGGUUAGAAUAAAUUGUUCUAACCAGCCUUAAUUCGAGGUGGUAAGGAUAAGUUAACAUUCUAAUCAGCUCUAUUUGGAGCCCGAUUGAAUGUUCUUGUUAUUCAAAAAAAGAUCAAGUUCAUCAAUUUUUUUCUAGAAAAACAUCAAGAUAAUUUAAACACGAUAUAUAACAAGAUUAAUACAUUUAAAAAUUGUUUUCUCCAAUAAUUAACGAUAUUUAACAAAUUCAAAAAAAAUCCAAAUUAACAGAACAUAAUAACCAAUUGUUCGAAAAAAUCAAAAUAGUCCACACAGUAUCAUAUUACAAAUUCAGAAAAAUAUCAAAAUAAUCCCUGAUCCACUCGAUACCGUCGUAGAACUUUGAAAUACUGAGCUUCUUGAUUCAUCUGAGGUCCACGUACUCGUCUCAGUAACACUAGUGGUGGCCAUGCAUCUUGUAGAUGUCUUCUAAUGAAUUAAGCUUGACAUACAAGGUCGUGCCUUCCACUCCUUGAGGAUUGCUUAUGACGUUUCUGCAAAUAACGAAGCAUUGCUUUCUCCAACAUGAUUAUUUUCUUCGGCUUAUCCCAAGGGACAACUAUGGUUUUCCCCUUGCCGGAAGAGGAACGAUGAUCGCCCCCACCAUCGCCACUUCCUCCAGUAGCAGAAGCCAUCUAUGUACAAAAAUUCAUACCUUAGCACUACAGAACUUGUUGAACUUGAAGACUGUGAUCAUUAGGCGAGCAUGUUCUCAACUAGGUGGCACCGCACUUCGUCAUGGAAGAGCUUCGAUUUUACAAAAAAGGGGACAUGAUCUUCCAUGAUGUCCGUAUCCGCUCUUUCUCGUAGAAUCAGAGCUCCUCCUUGAUAUACGAUGCUGCUCGGCGGAGAACAUGCUCACCGAGAUGAACACGGUAUGCAAGUUCAACAAGUAUGGAUUUGAAAAACCAUAUUGAAUUUGACAAGACAAACUAUCUAGAUAAGCGUAGCAUCAUUCUUAAACCACUGCAAGGAUACGUACUAUAUAUGACACAUCAAUCUCCCUCACAUUCUAGCUCAAAAUACCUCUCCAUUUUCUACUUCACAUUCUAGCAAAUAAACUAUCUAUCUCCAUUCUACACAUCAAGUUGUUUUAACUAAUACAAAUCGUAUAUAACAAGCAAAAUAUCCAUCACAUUCUAGCUCAAAAACAUGUAUAAAUACAAAUCCUCUUCAUUCUCCCUUUUUCUAACAAACAAACUCAUUUUUCUCCCUCUCCAAAGCAUAAAUUAAAGCGUAACAUGAGGAUGAGGUAGCAAACCUUCACAACACAUUGGAUGAGUGAAAUUCCCACGAAAAUGAGGGAAAAAAAUUCGGGCAGCACCUCCCUUGCUUCGGCACCUCUAGAGAGUAGGUGAAGCUCAGUUCUCUAUUUUUGUGGUGGACUAGCUUGGGCUGGAGGAGGAAGAAAGGCCUCUGUCUUGGUAUAUAAUGGGGGAUGAGUUUUUAUCCCAGUUAAAAGCUCCAACUGAGACAAAACGGCCAAUCUUUUGUCCCGGUUGGAGCCUCCAACCGGGACAAAAGGGGCACGCCAUCGACGCACGGGAGCUAGCCGUUACAACCGGGACUAAAGGGGGGCCUUUAGUCCCGGUUGCAAAUACCAACUGGGAUUAAAUCUCCCCUCCAUUUUUGCCUACCGUGGUGCGCCCCCUUUUAUCCCGGGUCAACUUUAAACCGGGACAAAAGGGGGCGUCGAAGAUCAGUUCUCUACUAGUGACCCCUCCCCACCUAUCUCUCUCCCUCCAUGCUCCUCGAUCUGUGCCUCCCCUCCCCUCCCCUUCCACUCGCCCCUCACCGACGGUAAGGAGCAGCGGCGGGGCGAGGUGAGGUGGCAGCAGCAAUGGCAGGUGGUGGGUCGCAGCGGAGCGGCUACGGUAGGCAGCCGGACGGGGCAGAGCGGCGGGGCGGGGUGGAGGCGGAGGUGGCGGGUAGAGGCGGAGCGGCGAGGCGGAGGCGGAGGUGGAGGCGGAGUGGUGGGACGGCAGGGCCGGGCGACUAGUAUAGGUGGGCGGGCGGAGGGCGGCGACGGCGGAGCGGGCGGAGGCAGAGGGGCAGCGGGGGCCGCCGGCGGGGGGUGUGAUCGGGGAUUUCAAUUUUUUUUAAAUUUUUUAACACCUUUUAGUCCAACUGGUUCUAAAGGGACCCCUCUAGUAUCAAAAUUGCUAGUACCGGUUGCACAACCGGUACCAGAAGUGGUUCCUAACUGGUACUAGAGCCACUUUCCCUGGUAGAGACUUUUUUACCAGUUAGAAUAUGUUAUUAUUUUAAUCAGCUUUCGCUGAUCGCCAGUAUGAUUUAGUACCUAAUUUUACUGGCGAUUGUUACCGCUGACACGGAUUGGGUAUAGUCCUAACAGUGUAUAACUACGGCACUACAUUUGUUAACCUAUAACUACUUGUAUCGAUUAGCCCUGGUUAGAAUACUGUCAAGGCAGCCAGAAUUUUUUUUUUUUGCCAAUUCUGCUAUCCAUGAGAUCCAUGACUAGUACCGCAAUGUAAUGAAUGAACUGCACAAAUAACUGAUGCACACAAAAGAAUAUGCACUUGCACGCUAGACGUUCGUAACAACAAAUUACUCUCAUCACCAAUUGAACAUAAUAGAUUAAACAUUAACUGAACAGAAUUCAACACGUACAUCAACACGACAAAGCAGUUUAAACAUCAACUGAACUGAACUGAACACAUACAUCAACUGAUGAUAAUUAUCGACAUCAACAGAACACAUGAACAUCAACAUCAAUAGAACUUAAUAGAGCAUAUUAAACAACAACAUCGACAAAACAUAUAAACCCAGCUUAGUAGCUCAGGCAUCAACUAAAAUUGCUGAAUUAAAACAACACAACGUAGUGUAGUUCAUAAUGCUUCGGCGCUUACACCACUGGCGGGUCGCUUACGUCGGCAUCACCGCGCUGGCUGAACCUCCGACACCCCCACCACGGCAAACGGAGGUGAUGGCGGAAGGUGAGGCAACGACAGUAGCUGGUGAGCUCCCGCUCCAAUGUCUCGCGAGUAAAGGAGGAGGAGGUGGCAUGGGAAUCGAAGAGGACACUAGUAGAGAAACGACUUUCCAUCCACCCCCUUUUGUCCCGGUUUAAAGUUGGCCCGGGACAAAAGGUUCACCAACCGGGAUUAAAACUCGGUCACUGGUGGGGGGCUCACCAACCGGGACCUUUUAUCCCGGUUGCAAAGGCUAGUGGGAAAAAAUUACUCUGAGAGGCCUUUUAUCCCGGUUUGAAACACCAACCGGGAUAAAAGACCCCCCCUUUUAUCCCGGUUGGUAACACCAACCGAGAUAAAAGGGUCAAGAGCCUUUUAUCCCGGUUGGAAACACCAACCGGGAUAAAAGGGGGUCUUUUAUCCCGGUUGGUGUUUCCAACCGGGAUAAAAGGGUCCCCCACGAGUUAAUACAAAAGGAUAGUAUCCCCUACAUAGUCAGAUGUGGUGUGUAGGUGGGAUGGUAAGGAAGCUACGCGCGAGGCUGGAGGUUGUGGGUUCGAAUCCCACGAACCGCGCACGCGCAUAUUUCGCGUGAAAAAUCGCGUGACUUGCGACUUGCGCGUGUGGGGGGGCCUCCUGGGAGCUCGGGAAUUUUUUUUUUUUGCAGCGCCGGCCGUGGGUGAACCCUUUUAUCCCGGUUGGUAUUACCAACCGGGAUAAAAGGGGGUCUUUUGUCCCGGUUGAGUGACCCGGGAUAAAAGACCCCCCCUUUUGUCCCGGUUGGUUUAUCCCGGAUGCAUUUUCGAGAUCUUUGCACCCUACCAACCGGGAUAAUAGGUGAGUUCUCCACCAGUGGGAGGCCGCCGCUGGCGGGUUUAGACUACGUGGAUGUGUGGGUAGGGUUAAGGUGACGGUGUGGACUAGUAUAUAUAAGAUGUCUGGGCUUGUUAGAAUAAGAUAACAUUCUAACCGGCCAAAUUCGGACCCGGUUAGAUUAAAUUGAUAUUCUAACCGGUCCUAUUUCUAGGUGGUAAGAAUAAGUUAACAUUGUAAUUGGCUUUAUUUGGAACCCGAUUGAAUCUUCUUGUUAUUCAAAAAAACAUCAAGUUCAUCAAUUUUAAUCCAGGAAAACAUCAAGAUAAUUUAAGCACGAUAUAUAACAAGAUUAAUACAUUUAAAAAUUGUUUGAUUCACAAAUUAACGAUAUUUAACAAAUUCAAAAAAUCCAAAUUAACAGAACACAAUAACCAAUUGUUCGAAAAAAUCAAAAUAAUCCACACACAUUAAUAUAUUACAAAUUCAGAAAUAUAUCAAAAUAAUCCCCGAUCCACUCGAUACCGUCAUAGGACUUUUAAAUACUGAGCUUCUUGAUUCGUCUGAGGUCCACCUACUCGUCUCAGUAACACUAGUGAUGGCCAUGCAUCUUGUAGAUGUCUUCUAACGAAUCAAGCUUGACGUACAAGGUCAUGCCUUCCGCUCCUUGAGGAUAACCAUCUUUGGUGAUCUUGAAAUGGCAGACGGUGGAUGUGCCAAAGGUACGUGACGAUCCUUCUAAAUGUAUGCCACCACAACUUCCGUCUGAUCGCCAUGGGUGACACCAAGAAGAGCUACCAUGCGGCAAGGGACGAACAAUUUAUCAAUUAGUGCCGCUGUCCAUCGCCAUCAUCUAAUCCAGCCAUAUCUUGUUGUAUAUUUAAGUAUAGAAAUUAAGAUUUAAAAAUAAACAGAAUAAAUUGAGAUCGAUUAUGUAUGUAUAUCAGAACAUUAGCUUUUGGAAAAAGGGCUUCGAUGGAAGAGAGGCACGGGGCAUAGAGACAACAACGAGUGACAAUAUGUCAGAAGAAUACCCGAUCACAAUUAUUGGCACACACAGCCGAUAUUUACAGUAGUCAAUACCCCUGGUAAAUAACCACACCAUCAAGAGUAAAUAGUGACAAUAUGCAGUAUAUACACGACAUAGCCUUGGCUGCCGUGGAAGCACCAGAAGGGAGACAAAUAACAGGGACCACUACAUCAAGUAGAUAGUGACAAUAUGCAAAAGAAUACCCGCGCCUGUUAGCAUGUGUGAACUGACCACACCACGAAACGUGAUACACGGCAAGCGUACCAAGGCCUUGCUGUGCAGACUAUGCAUGGACAACACAUGGUACCUGACCGCUUUUGGCCUCAGACACAUCAAAAACUGCAUCGUUCCACGUUGUACAUCCAUUGCUAGUUUAUCUAUAUUACAUAAUAUAUUAUUAGCUAUUUGAAUAGAAUGAACCAAUUAAAAAAUUACGUUGUAUUUUAGUACCGGCUGCAGGAUGGUGUUACCAACCAGUACUAAUUGGCCUGUAGGAGUGAUGGUUAUUAGACUUGGUACUGUUGUUAGCAUCAUUAACCUAAUUGUGCGCCGUAUGAAUUUGGGGAUGCAAAGCUAGCUCUCUAUGAAUGUGAGGGAUGGAAAGCUAGUUCUCUAGUAGUAAUUAUAUAUAUGACAGUCAGGAAAUCGAACACUAUGCUGCUACGAGUCACCAUCAUUUCCUUCAUUGACAAUCUGACAUAGGUGAAGCUGCUUCAAUAAUUUCCUUCGCGCAGUCGUGGAGCUUAUUGGAUUAUCACCAGGACGGGACACGGAAAUGGCCAGCAAUGAAGCUGAUUGCCGUCUGAGGAAGACUACAUACUUACCUAUGAAAUGAAGCGAUUGCAUAGACUAAUGAAGCAUUGCAUAUUUGCAUGUGAGUGUGGCAGAUAAUUCUGCAGGACAUGAUUGCAAUCCACGCACCAUCGAGAAGACUGGGGCGAUGGGGUUGCCUCAUCAAUAAUCACGUGGAUGCAUGCAUGCAUGUUCCCUCAACCGGACAAGGGUCUGAUAUAUGGCUAUAGUAUUACUGAGCCCACAUCAAUAAUUUCCGCUGGUGUAUCGUGUGGGAAGAAUCAACAUACUACACCUCUGAGUUCUUGGAACUAACUGACGUUCACAUGCAACCUCCACAAGGUGCUGUAUGCUUUUGACAUUCACCUGCCAGUUCGUGUAGAGGACACCCUAACGUAUGGUUAAUAUUAUCCAUUUCAUGAGUAAAAUACUGUGAUUCAAAAAUACUUCAAAUCCCUUGAGACAAUACUUCUCACUUGACUAACCACUAACCAACCCCGAAACCCUAACUCAACUCCGAACCCUAACCCCUAACGGCAUAACCACUCCGUUUUGCCGGCGAGAUGGAGGAACUGGCUGGAAGGUAGAGAGGGCAGCGGUCCAGGGUUGAAAACGACGGGCGAGCGCAGUAACAUGUGGAGGAGGAAGUGCCACGUAUUCGUUCACCGCUAUUGGGCAGCGACACACGACACGCCCAAUAAGAUCUUCGCACGGUAGAAGGACGUCAUGUAUUCAAUAAUGUUAUUGGUCCCCCAUGUGCAGAAGGGCGCGCGCGUAUGGAAUAACAAGUAGGGACACUGCAACUAAUCUACUCUGCUCGUCCAGUCCCUAGCCUAUAAAUAGAUGCCAUGCUAGCUCUUGUUGUGCUCACAAUUAAUCCGAUUACACACGAGCUUCUCUCCCUGGCCAAGACACAACCAUAGUAUGAUGAAGAACAUGGCACUAGCCGGCAAUGGUAUGAAGAAGUUAAUCCUCGCUGUUCUCUUACUGUGUCUAGUUAUAGGGCAGAUACAAGUGGAAGCUAAGAGCUGCUGCCCAUCCACCACUGCAAGAAAUGUCUACAAUACCUGCCGUUUCACGGGUACAUCCCGUCCAACGUGUGCAAAACUGUCAGGCUGCAAAAUUAUCAGCGGGAACAAAUGCAAGCCCCCUAACGACCACCUCACCCUUGACCCGGACACUGGUAAAUAAUAAAUUUAUCUCACUUGAUUUCUUCGUGAUUUGAGUCGUUAAUGUAUUUUCCAUCUGAUGAAACGUAUUGGUUUUGCAUUGAAGAGGAAGUUAAUGUGCUUAACUUCUGCAAGUUGGGGUGUGCGUCGUCUGUGUGCAACAACAUCAACGCUGGUAAGCAACUUUUGCUCAGACAGAGAAAACAAUAAUCAUUAAUUAGCGGCAGCUAGAAUCCUAUAAUCUAAUAUAUAUAUAUAUAUAUAAUUUUAUCAGCUCUGGGAAAUGAAGAGGCGAACGAUGCCGUUGAGAGUUGCGACCAAGCCUGCUCUAGCUUCUGCAGCGUGCAUGUUGGCAGCGCCACCGUGGUUGCUUAAGCAAAUGCAUCCAACUAGAUCGUCCUUGUGCUGAAUAAUUGGAUAUCGUAUCCACUUAAAGCUGCCUUGUGUAGUACGUCUUUGUGUCUCUCUUUAUAUUCCAAUAAGGUCGGUGAUCUUGAUGCCACACACUCAGAUGUGUGUUCAUCUCCAGAUACUACUCCAUGCUACCUGCCCUUUGUGUUUUGUUCAAUAACUGGGUAUCAUAUCCCAGCCAGUAUGCCGUCUGUUUUGUGUUUGUUUCCUUCUAGUUCCAAAGGGGUCAUCAUGAUGUUACCUUCUUUCAAUAUGGUGCUUUGCAUGACUACUGUUGUAUGGUACCAUCUUGUGGCCAAUAAGUACAUCUUAUCCUAUGACCUUUGCUAUGACCCUUUGCAAAUAAGUAGAAGAUUGUUAUAAGCGUCAAUACUCCGUAUAAAUUGAUCGCUGCUGUGAGUUCCCUUUCAGCUUAUCGUAGGCAUACAUUAUUGCUAGCACGGUAAAGCCAACCAACACGAAUGAUGAAGUAAACGUAGCGGUACUUCUGUAUACCAACACCCUUACUUAAAUGUACCGGUGUCAUUCCCUACUGGCACAUAUAUUCUUAUAUGCUAGCCAGCUUGUAAAAUUAACCAAUUAAAAUAAUUAUUUCAAGAUAGAAAUAACUUAUCGGUUUCUGGAAGCAUGUGUAAUGUGAAUUCAAGGACUCGACGGAAGUUGAAUCACUUCAUCUAUAUUGCUUUCAGUAUUUUGGGUAACUAAAUUUAACAUUUGCACAUACAAAUGUUAAAGUACAAAUGUUAAAUCUAGUUACCCAAGCAGAAUAUGAAGAUAGUUUAUAGUAUAUAUAUACUAUAUAAAUCUAGUUAACAUUUAGUCUAAAUGUUAAAUCUAGUUACCUAAAAUCCUGAAAGCAAAAUGUAUAAAUAUAUAUCUUUUAAGGCAGUAUAAGCUUCGAUUCCUAUUGCUGCUCUGUUAAAUCUCAUCUUUCGUUGUGGCCCAACACUCUAGUAUGCAUGUUGCACCAAGCUUCUUUGAGCCGCUCUGCCCUCUGAUUUUGCUGCGUAGGGGAAUCUUUAUCAGGUUGGGCUACUUCCAGUUGUGCGAUGUAAAGAUUCGUAUUUUCUAGAAGGUAGACAAAAAACUCGCGUUCUCUUAAGGCAACAACCGGAAGAUUCUGCAGCGCACAGGGCAUACCAUUAUUGUAGAAACGACCUUUAGUACCGAUCUCCAACCCCCUUUAAAACUGGUUUUGCAACCGGUACCGUUAUGUCGGUCCUUUAGUACCAGAUCAAAUAAGUACCGGUUGGUAACCAGUAUCAACUUGUUUUGCGGCCAAAAAAAUAAAGAAAAAAACAGUCAGAAGGCUCGCGCACACGCGCAUCACAUGAAAUAUGCGUGUGCGGGGUCCAUGGGAUUCGAACCCAUGAAAUCAAGCUGCGCGCGACCCUUCGUUACCAUCUCACCUACAUAGCGCAUAUGCUUUCCUGAAGUAACCCGUGGAGGAGGCUUUAGUACCGGGUCAUAACACCACCCGGUACUAAAAAUGACUCUUCAGUACCGGGUCAUAACACCACCCGAUACUAGUAUCGGAUGGUGUAAUGACCCGAUACUAAAAGGCCUCUAGGGACCCUCAAAUUUGAACCCGGUACUAAUGCUAAUAUUAGUAGCGGGUCAAAGUGCAGCCAGAACUAAAGCAUGGGAUGAAAGGUCAUAUUUCUAGUAGUGUAUAGUUGUUGUGAAGGACUGACUUGGCUGUCCUCUCUCUUCUCCAUCCCCUUGGUCUUACGCCGCCGCUCGCACGCGAGCCGGUGCCCAACCAGAGGAGUGAGAGCUAGGGGCAGGUUGGGAGGUGGGGAUAGUGACUGGUGGCCAGGGUGAUGGUUGAUCCUGGUGGGGUUAGGGUUUUAGGGUUUUCGAGCUUCCUAUGGUCGGCGAACCUAGAGGAGGAGCUCAACAUCAGCUGCAACCCGCGAUGGUGGUGGUUUGGCCGGCGCCCGAGGCGAGGCAGCGCGGGAGUGCUGCCGGUGGGUUGGUGUUGGCACUCAUUAUUGACAACUAUUUUGUUCAUAAAAUAACACUCAAACUUGCUGCUGCUGCUGCUGCUGCCAUCGCCACCCUAGCCAUAAUAUAAAGGCAAAAUUUGCUAAAGGACAUGCAAAAUGAUGCUAGUUUGCUGGCGGGCAUCGUUGACCUUGUAAUAUGCUACAAGACACUCUAGUUGUGUAUCAAUUUGCUGAAAGACAUUGCUAUGACUAAAAUAAUGUUUCUGGACUGAGUUGGAGAGAGAGAUGGAGUGAAAUGUCUGUUUUGCCCAUGACCCCACUGGUCAGAUCCUUCUUCUUCCACCCUCCUUUGUUCUUUCUUCAACCAUUACCCAGCUCCAGCGUGUUGCAGAUCUACGAGGGUGGCGGCCUGGGGCGAGGGGCAUCGCUCGCCCUUGGAGGAGCGCUGCGAGCGACGGCGCGGGGGCGGCAACAGCGCGUCAGAACCUGACUGUUCGUUAGCUCCUCUCGCUGCUGGGGAAGGAGGGGGAUGGGCCAUGGACGGGGUUCCCUUGAAAACCUCAGCGUCGAGCUCGGGCGGCUACGCGCAGGCAGCACUAGGCUGCUUCACGGGGAGGGGGCGCGGCCAAUCAUUGGCACCCCACUGGUCCAAUGCUGAUGAAGAUGGUGCCAGCGUCGUGUGAGGACAUCUCAUCUCCUCGAGUUCCAUGGCCAGCACAGGUGAGCUGCCGCUACCACAAAACAGAGGUUUCGUGAGAGUCAAAAAACCUUAUGAAAAUAGCUAAAACCAUCAUGAAAAUAAUCCGUGACAUGACACUCUCACGAAAAUCCUCUCACAAAUAUGGUGCCAUGAAAAUACCAUUUUCAUGAGAGUGAACUGUCAUGAUUUUAUUUCGUGAGAGUAUUUCCUAUCAAUGACCUCCACGAAAUACUUUGUGCCACCAGGUCUUCAAGAUCAUUUUCAUGAGAGCUGAACAUCAGGAAAAGUCCGCCACAAAUGUUUUUCUUGGAGCCCCUAACUCUCAUGAAAAUCAUGCGGGCCGCCACGAAAAACAGCAUGACCAAAUGACAAAUUUCAUUUUCAUGUGUUCAUACCGCCAUGAAAAUGGUCAUUUUCAUGAGAGUUGAUGAAACAAAAAAUAGUGCCAUUUUCAUGAGAGUUCAAGCAACCAGGAAAAGACACUAAUAAACAUCCAGAUCCCAUCCAGCACACAUCCAUGCACAUAUAUAACCCACAUAUUGCUCCAGCACACAUCCAUGCAUAUACAAGAUCCAAAUGUUAAUAUAGUAGACAUCCAUGCCUGAACUAGUCUGCCACACAAGUCAUUGAUGCUACAAAUCCUACAAUCGCAGCAUGUGCAUACAAGUCACAGAAUGAGACAAUGUACCCAAAACUAAAAGGUUAGCAUCAACUGUGCUUCAACCAAAGUUGUCAUCCCAACUCUCCUCUUCAUCCAUGCCAUUCUUGUCGUGGCCGUCACUGUCAGUCCCCAUGGCAUUGCCAAUGCUGUGCAUGUCUUGGUAGGAACCUACAUGUGAUGAACUAGUAACCUGCAAAAAGAGCUCAAAGGAUCUUGUUCUCAUAUUGUAGCUGUGAAAUUCUUACAAGUAGUGUUGCAAUCAGUUCACUUUGAACCAAAAGAGCUCAAAGGAUCUUGUCCUAAAAGUUCCUCAUAAAGCUUAUGGGUUUGCUGGUGGAACUGGAAGGGCUUGAUGCAGCAGAUGCCAUUCUGCAAUAGAGAAAAAUUUAGAGAGCAGUACUAGUUAAAAUUGGAUGCAGAAGAUACACAUGAAACUAGUAUUUAUACAAGUCUAUACAAUUAAAAUCUAAGGAGACUUAUCAUCGUUUUCAUGUGUUGUGAAUUAAAAUAAUGAAGGAUACACUGUUAGGUGAAAAUUCAAGAAACAAAAUUUUGCAUAGAGAUAAAGGUCCAACAUUAUUACAAGUUAAGGUAGUUUUAAAUAUCCUUGUAAUCUUCCUUUGGUUUCCUCAACGAUUCGAAGACAAUAACCUUGCUUCUAUCAAUGAUAAUUAUAAGGAGAAUCCAGUGGAAACUGUGUAUUCGUAUUAGAACUACCUAAGGUUAAUUAGGUUAGGAAAGGAAAUUGAAAAUAGAUGGUACCCACACUUACUUAAAGUUGUCGGGCAAUAGUAUGUAAUGCUUGUAAUUCCGUUGCUCCAAGAAUUUGUAUAUGUGGUCCAAUGUAGACUUUGGUUGAUCCCGUAUCUGCUGUUGGUUAAAUAAGUGUUUCUAGCCAUUUCUAGCCAUUAGAACCGGGACUAAAGGGGGCUCUUUAGUACGGGUUGAUAUUACUAACCGGGAUUAAAGAGCCCCCAUUAGAGUUGGUUUUUGGAUGCGGAACUAACAACUCCUUUAGUCCUGAGUACGAAAACAACUGACAUAUUUGUUGCUGGAUGGAAGGUCCUUUCUCUACCGUGAAUAUUGCCAGAAAGAAUUGAAAGAGACUGCUUGCUAAAAAUAUGUCAUAGAUGUAGACCAAGCUACCAAGGAGGUAGACCAAACAUGAUACACACCAUGCGUACCUUGCUGUGCAGACUAUGCAUUGACAAGAUACCCGACCACAUGUUGGCCUCGGUCACAUCAAAAGAAUCAUGUAGGCCACCAAUAAACUACUUGAAGCGGCAUUCCGUAUCGUAUAUGCAUUGCCGGUUCAUCUGCAUUACAUUACAUAAAGCACUAUUAACUAUUUGAAUAAAAUGAACCAAUUUAAAAGUAAUGUGUUGUACUCUACUAUAGAAAGCCCUAUCACUGCCGGAUCCAAAAACAUCAUUGUUAAUGGUGGUUAAGUACCAAAUAUGACGGUCAAUAUUCUCAAGAAUAAUGGAGAAUUAGCAUUUCUUAGACACAUAUUUGGUUUUGAACAAUGUAGUUCCACAUGUCUUUGGAGAUUAUUUGGGUGUGGGUGAAAUAAUACAAAAAUAAGGAGAAAACACACUCCCAUGGCGAAGAAACACAACUCCAACCAAUGAGAGAUAGCCACAGGGGCAGCACACGGAUCCAUGGGCCCACUAACCGCAUCAAACCAUCUUACCAAGGCAGGUAGCACCCACAACCGUCAUUAGGACCCACCUGGAAGUCUACCAAGAAGAAGGUUGCGAGUGGGGCCAGGAGGGGUUCGGUUGAAUCAUCUCUAGCUAGCUCCCCUCAUCCCCAGCUGGUGGGUGGUGGUGGUUGAUGGUGUCCCUACAUCAGUUAGAGGAGAUUCCCCCAAAUAUUCCUCCUGUAAACCACCUCUAUGGACCUAUACAUAGAGGGGUGUGCUCUCCAUUCCAACACACACCACAAGUUGAAUCACUCUCUCCCUCUUUAGUUUCCAAGUUUAUGGAGUUAGGCUAGAGUAGCUCUGCUCAAGGUUCCAAGUCCACUUGGAGUUAAGCAUAUGUCUCUUGUAUCGUUAUUUCCUAAAUUGACUUUAUGCUUAGUUCUUAUAUGCAUGAGUUAGUCUAAUACCCUUGCUAUAUUGAUAUGCUCGGCUUAUAUGCUCGUAUGCUAGUCAUAUACCCUUGCUGUCGUAGUAUAGGCUUAUAUGCUCUCAUGUGUGCCUGUAGACCUUGCUAUAGUAUAUACUUGUUGUGCAUACAUACCAUGUAUAGGCUAGUCGAUCUAUACCAUGGCAUUGGUUCAAUAGCCAUGUUUUUGGUGGCUCCAACCCUAGUCACAAUAGCUCGGGACAGCUGGAGUGUUGUUAAAAAUGCAAGAGUGGUGCUUGGGUUGUUUAGCAUCGUUGGAUAUGGGUUUGCCCCACGGGUUUCUAACGGUAGGCGGCAGCUAGUGACAUCCCUGUCCGUCCUUCGUAAUCCCCCCACAUUCAGGUACGCCAUAAAUGUUCGUAAAUUAGCAGUAACUACGCCGGUACACCUGUAGGGUAUUGUCUCCCUGUAGUACCUUGGUGCAUAGAACUAAGUCCUAUACACUGUGUGUGUAUGUUUACGCUGAUAUGAUCUGUGCAGUAUAUAGGAUGUAUAUAUGAACCUAGAGCUAACUCCUAGUCCGUUCUCCAUAGCUUAGUUAUCUUGAGAUGAUUCUUCUGUAUGUGUAACACUACCCAUCUUAUCAUUAUCCUUGAUCCUGUCUUGUGUAAUAUAUCUACUCAUCCUAUGAUAUACUCAUAUGCAUAGUAAACUAUUUUGACCUACCCGCCUUCCUUUGGGAAAUAUGAUACCUUGGAAUAAUCCUAGGUGAAAUCCUACAACGGUAUAUCCAUGUAAAUGCGGAUUUAUUCAUGACCAUUAAAUAUACCAACAAUCAUCACUGUGAGUUUUGGGCGUCGUUAGUGAAGGGUUGGUAGUGAUGGGCAUCCCCUUCACCAAUGGACCUGGAACCGGCGGUGAUGGCUAUUAUAAAAAAGGGGACACCACCCAGCGUACCCCACGACCCGGCCGGCCGCACCUCCCAUCAUCCCCGCCAGCCGCCCUUCCUUUUCGCCGGCCGAGCAUGGUCCCGGCCUUUGUCCCUACCACCUCGCCUCCACCGCGACCCCCCGCCGAUGCCCUCGUGCCUGGCCCCCCUCAUCUUGCCGGCCACCCUCCCGAUGCGUCCACUGGGGCCCUCGCACCACCAACCGCCCUUGCUUAGAGAGGGAGAGAGAGGAGGGAGGUGAGGCCACGCACCUCGUCCUACACCGCCGCUGUUUCUCCUCGGCCCACCGCGCCUCACCCCACACCACAGCCGCGCCUUGCCAUCUUACCGGCUGUGACGCCUCAUCUCACCGGCCACCGUUCCUCACCCCCACUUCGGUCGUCGCCGCUCCUUGCCCUACCGCUGCUCUUUGCCGCUGCGAAUGAGCGCCGAGUGGAGGAGGAGGGAUGGGGCAGGAGGAGGGCAAGAUCCGGGAGGAAGGGAGAGAUCUCGGGAGGUGGAGAUGGAAGGAUAUGGCGGAAGGGAGAGAUCCAGAGGGAGAGAGCAGGGGAGAGAGGGGGGCGUGUGGGGAGAGAGCGCGUGUGGGGUGGGGCCGGGCUGGUGGGAUGGAAGGGAGAGGGGCUAGACGGGCGCAGUGCAUUCAACUGGAUGAAGUAAAUAUUUUGGAUUCGAGACCCCAGCUUUAUUAUCACCGCUGGUCCGUAGUACCAUCCGGUGCCUGCUCGUAAUUUAAUUUGAAUCUGCGGUGAUGUUUUAUUAUCACCAUCGGAUCAUAUAAAAAUCCGGCGGUUAAAAAUCCGCUGGUUUCGAUGAAAACCGACGGUGAUAGGAUGACUGUGAUAGUCUCUUCUCUAGUAGUGGUAUAUUAGUACCGGCUGCCGGAUGGUGUUGCCGACCAGUACUUCUCCGGGGGCGAUUCAGUACUGCUGUUAGCAAAGCUUGUUCUCUAUGAAUUUGGGGAUGGAAAGCUAGUUCUCUAGUUGUGAUUUGUUACAUAUAUAUCUAUGAUAGUCUAGAAAUUGCAUGUCCUUCGUUGACAUAGUUGAAGCUGCUUCAAGAAUUUACUUCGUGCAGUCGUGCAGCAUAUUGGAUUAUCACCUAGACAGGAUACAUAGGUGAAGCAUUGGAUGUGAUUGUGGCCGAUAAUUAUGCAGGACGCUGUUGCAAUCAACCACCAAGAAGUCUGGAGUGAUGGGGUUGCCUCAUCAAUAAUUUUUAUAUAUGGCUGCAGUAUUAUUAAGCCCACGUCAAUAAUUUUUUGUCCGCACCAUAUAUCGAUGGGGUUGCCUCAUCAAUAAUUCGCGCAACCAGACAAGCUGCAGACUCAAUAUGGUACGAAGCUAGUUGCUCAGCCCACAUGCUCUGAUAUAACAUUGACAUCUGCUGAUCUACAGUAUAUAUGACCAGAAAUAUUGUGCCCACCUCAAUAACUUUCUGAAGUAUCGUGGGGAAGAACCUACGCGUACUAUGCCUCGGAACUAACUGACAUAUCGGCCCAGGCGGUCUAGGCCGAUUGGACUGGCUCUUCCUUGUGGCUUCUCACAUCCCCUUCGUCCCCAAGUAAUUUCAGGUGUUCUGUAGUUUUCUUUUCACUUGCAUCUGAGCCUCCUAUAUCAAUAGCUUCGGGAUAAGAAUGCCUCUUGAUAACCUUCCAAAUCCUCGCUUGAUUCACAUUGAUUCCGAAAUCAUCUUGCCAUAUCUUCAGAGACUUAGGUCCUAAGGCAUCAUGGAGGAUUGCUCGCCAAGAAUGAGCACCAUUGGGCUCCUGAGGACCCUAGGCCGAUCAGCCCGGGCUCUAUAGGUCGAUUGGCCCAGGCCCUCUCUGGGCCUGUUGGCCUUCAUCUUUCUUUGAGUCGACGCUUAUUCAGGGCUUUGUCCAAUUAUAGUCCAUUAUAGUCUAAUUUCCUAAAAAACAGAAUGUCCUCCAAAAUACAAUGCAUAUGUGAAAACAACCCAAUUAUUAGGUAUGAUCAAUAGUUUAGGUAUUAAAUUAAUAUUAUUAUUUAAGAUAAACAGGGGUAAAGGGUGUCAUUAAUAACAAGCGCCAACAAGCGUCCUAGCUGUUCAAUAAAUUUUUUCUAGUACCGAUUGGUAACACUAACCGGUGCUAAUAUGUACCCUUUAUUACCGGUUAUUUUACCAGGUACUAAAGGAGACAAGAGCAUCCUAACAUAAGGUUAAUAUCAUCCAUUUCAUGAGUAAAAUACUAUGAUUCAAAAAUAAUUCAAAUCCCUUAAGACAAUACCUAUCAAAUGAGUAAAUUGUAAAUAGAGUAAUCUUGAUCAAACAAUGUCCUAAUGAAACGGAACACUUCUGGUUCGUGUAGAGCACAAUAUAGAAAACAGUAGGGUAGCUGUAUGAUUGACACGUGGUCCAUUAAUUAUUGAGCCAACACUAUGGACAUGUCUUCAUGAGUAGUGUACUAGUCAUAAUACAUGGUAUGCAGUAGGUGGAGGUAUUGACUUAGCCAUGCUAUGAGCACUUAGUUACAACAAACACUUUGCCAUUAUCGAGCAUCCCAAAUCACUACAAAAUCCAUAGUUUACCAUAUACUACAAAAUCUGAGUUAAAAUAAGAGCAUACACGGAAGAGUCCGAAUGCACGGCACAUUGAAUUACUAGACAAAAUUUAUGGGACAAGGUUUUGGGUAACCGCAUGAAAAAUAUUGGAUUUUACUGAACACUUAGUUACAAUUACCAUGCCCGUGAGCACUUAGUCACCACAAACAUUUAACCACUUUAGAUCAUCCUGAAUCCCUAUAAAUUCUAUACCUUACACCGUACCAUGAAAACGACAAGAACAGAGACAGAUGCGGUGAAAAUCUCCAGAGCAAGCCUGAAAUUAAAAUAAGAGGAGGCAGUCACUAUCGACAGGACACGGAGAUUGCUAGCCAUGACAGAGGAAGACAUGAUAUGAUAUUCACCUCUGAAAUGCAGCGUAGACUAAAUGAAGCACAAUUGCAAGUGAGUGUGGCAGAUAAUGGACCAUCGAGACCAUCGAAUGGUAUGAAGCAUGAUUAUCACCUAGACAUGAUAUCCUAGACAGGACGGUGAAUUGUAAAAAGAGUAAUCUUGAUCAAAGAAUGUCCUAAUGAAACGGAACAUUUUUGGUACGUGUAGAGCAAAAUAUAGAAAACAGUAGAGUAGUUGUACGAUUGAAACUGCAUCCAUCGACGUGGUGCAUGAAUUGUUGAGCCAACACUGUGGACAUGUCUUCAUGAACACCAUCUAGUGAGGACAGCAUGCAGAAAAAUAUAAAAACAUGUCAUAGGGAGGCAGACCAAUCUUGCGAGGUAGACGAAACGUGAUACACGAUCUGCCUACCUUGUCGUGUGGAUACCCCAAGUGAAGAUGUCAUAGAGGUGCAGACCAAGCUAGCAAGGAGGUAGAUGAAACGUGAUACACGGCCUGCCUACCUUGCCGUGGAUAUUAGUCCUGAUAUCAUUCUAUUGUUCAAGGAAUAACACUCAAUGCUGCUGCUGCUGCUGACCUGGCUCCAUAAAGUUAUAUUCCUCUAGCCGCUUGCACUAACUUUAUCUGAAGUAUUAUUCUCUCUGCACUGUAUAUAUGGUUACGGAGUUUGCUGGAGUAUCCGGGGGGAAGAACCUACAUAAUAUGUCUUGGAACUAACUGACAUUGAUUCACAGACAAGGUGCUGUUGUUGACAUGGUACAGUAAAUAAUAUAGUUUACCAUAUACCGUAUACCAUUAUAUGUUAGCUAAAAUAAGAGCAUAACAUGUCGCAGGAGUCCAAAAGCACCGGUUGAGGACCAGGUACAUUAAAUUACUAGAAAACAAAAGGGGACAAGGUUUAGGUAGCCACAUGAAAAACAUUUGAAUUUACUGUACCAUGAACACUUAGUUACCAUGCCGGGAGCACCUAGUUAACACUAACAUUUAGCCACUUUAGAUCAUCCCGAAACACCAAUGACCCUCAAUAGCGACAAAUUUUGGUUUAAAUGCCGUCACCAAUGAUCCUCAAUAGUGACGUGUUUAGGUUUAAAUCCCAUCACUAAUAACCCUUGGUAGUGACGUGUUUUGGUUUAAAUCUCAUCACCACUGAUCCUCACUAGUGACGUGUUUUUAGCAACACACGUUAUGAAUGACUUGUCAUUGGUGACAUGUUAAACGCGUUAUCUCAAUGGCAAAUCAAUGGUGACGUGUUUAAAAAAACAUGUCACUGUGAGAGUUAUUGGUGAAGGGUAAUUAAAAUGCAUCACUAAUUUUGUAGCAUUAGUUAUGAUAUAAUUUUGUAACGCAAAAAUCUACCAUAGUAAUGAGGUUUAGAGCCAUCACUAAUGUGGGUUUCUUAUCGUAGUGAUGCAAGCUCUACAAGGUGCUGUUGUUGCCAUUUUAAAGCAUCCCAAAUGACUACAAGAGUCCGGUUGAGGACUAAACAAAUUGAAUUACUAGAACCAAAUGUAUGUCCAGAACAAAGAAAGGGGUCAAGGUUUGGGUAACCGCAUUAAAAACAUUGAAUUUUACUGUACCAUGAACACUUAGUUACCAUUACCAUGCCUUGAGCACCUAGUUACCACAAACAUUAAUUUAGCCACUUUAGAGGUUCCACAAUCACUAUAAAUAAUAUACCAACACCGUACCAUGAAAACAUCAAGAAGAGAGACGGGUACAUGGACCACCAUCAAGUGAGUAGUGACAGCACGCACAAGAAUACCCGGAACCUUUUAGCUUGUCUGUAGUGAUCUGUUUUCUUCGCCACAAAUAAUGAAAGAGGCUGACCAAGCUAGCAACGAGGUAGAGCAAACGUGAUACACGUAGGUUUCAUUCAAGACAUCCAUGUAAGAUUCAUUCAAAACAUUCAUGGAAAUUUCUUGUAAGUUUUCAUGUAAAUUUCAUUCAAGACAUUUGUUAGAGGUGUUGUAUAUACACUUAACGUACAUAUAUCUAUGAUUUCAUGGUUGUUAGUGAUGGCAGAUGAGGAGCAUGCAAGGUGUUUAAUGGAGCAGAUUAUUGCUAGUGGUAGUGGCUCCAACCUGCCCGUAACGUACACCGACGAAGAGGGCAGCCAGGCGGACAUGUUCCUCAACAUGUCCGGUGAUGGCAAUGAAGAGCCCGAGCAAAACCUUGCCGUGACGGAAGGUUCCAUCGAGGUAUAUAUCAUUUCCAUUAUUUUACCCCAUCUAUAAUUUCAUAUUCAUUAUUACUAUGUGCUAAUUAAUGAAUCUUGAACCGUUAGUCCUCUAGAUCAACGAACCGAAAUAAGCCCCGAGGUCUUACAAAGAUAAUGCAGGGAAGGCUUCACAUCAUGGAAGUCACAGAAGAGGGCACAUCGGUUGCUCCCGAACAUGUGGCAAGAAAGUACGUGAGUCAAACCGGGGCAAUCGUAAGGGACAACAUGCCCAUCAGCAUCAGGGAAUGAAAGAGCAAUAGAAAUGAUCUAUACGCACCCCCGGAUACACAAAAGGAUAUGUUGUGGGCAAAUAUCAAGAAACACUUCACAUUUCCCAAAGGAUAUGUUGAAAAAUAUGUGAAAGCGUGGAUGUUGAAGAAGAUGGCCACCCAAUUCCAGACAUUCAAGAAGAUGUUGGAUGCCAACUUCAUCAAGAAGGGUCGAACUCCGGGUUUCAAUGAGUGGCCAAAGUUAAGGGACCACUGGGAGUCGUUUGUCGAAUACAAGACGAGCGAAGGUGGUGCGAGUAAGGUUCACAUCAAUGUUGCCAAUGCUAGCAAGGAGUACCAUCAUCAUCUAGGGCGACGUGGUUACAGCUCUGCAAUUCCCAGAUGGCGCAAGAUGGAACAAGACCUGAUCGAUCGGGGUAUCGUACCAGCAACUCUUGACUGGAUCGAUUGAAAAAUUGGUAUUAUGCUCAUGAAGGCAAUCUGAGCCAAGAGGAUCCGACAUUGGUCUUCAAUAAAACAAUACGUCAGAAGGUCGGAAGGCUUAUUAGGAACAUUGAAGAUGCUAAAGCUGGGAGGUUCAAGGUGGAUAGAGAGAAUGAUGAACUCACAUUGGCCCUCGGGACUGUCAUCUCUAGCACUUCCAGCUCCAGGACUAUCGUCACCACCGGGACCGUCGCUUCCUGCUCGAUCACAGUCUCCAUCUCCAGCACAUCCUGGUGGUGCGAGCGACGACGACAACAACACCCCUCCCUGCCCACCAUUGCCGGGACUAAGACCCGCAUUGAGUAAGGAACCUGCAACACCACUGAAGAAGUCGCGACCACCACCUUCAAGGCAAGUCAGCAAAAGAAGAAAGCAGAGAAGCCUAAACCCACUGAGAAGCCAGCGACUGAUAUGACCGAUGCGGAAAGAUGGAAGGCACUCAAAGAAGAAUGCAGGGAGUGGUUCAGCGAAGGCGAAGGUGAGAAAGUCGUAUGAAUCGAAUUCAAGGAUAUAUAUGAAGUGAACCAUCAGGAUGCCCUUGAUGUCUCUCUCAUCAGCGCCUAGGUUCUGUAAGUGUAUGUUUAUCUAUAAGUAAAUUUUGGCUCAUAUCAUUAUUUUUUUUGCGUGCGUCACCCUACUAACUUCGUCUUCCAUUUUAUGUAGGAUGCUAAUUCAGACGUGCCGCAUAGAAGCGUACUUCCAUGUUGGAUUCAUGGAUCCAUCCCUAGUUAACCAAAAGCCGAUACGGAAGUAGCUAGAGAAAACGUUGGAGGUGGUGUACAACCUCCUGGACAAACUAAACUACAGAAUAGGGGCAAUAUGUGAGGGUCUUGUAGGAUUCCUAGUGGACGAGGUGAUAAAUCCAUAAGGAGAAUAUCAUUCCAACGGACGAGCAUUAGACACACUGAGCAACACCUAGAUGGGAGGAUCCUAGGAAUGACCUCGACAGAUUUUGGUAUAAAUAGUAAUUGUGUAAAUACUAGUUUGAUUUGUAUAGGAAUAUACUAAGAAUUGUAUAUAUAGUAAUUGUACAAAUACUAGUUUGAUUUGUAUGAAUACUAGAUUGAUUUUAUUAUAAAAAAGUUUUAAGUCGUACGUGCAUGCGCCUACAAAGGCGCGGAUGCCUUUUAAUCCCAGUCGGAAAAACAAACUGGUACUAAAGGGGCUCGUGCCGCACCUGGCAUGACCACCCCUUUAGUCCCGGUUGAACGACCCAGGACUAAAGAUCUCCGCGUCUCAAAAAUUUUAUCUCGGAUGCUUUUUAGAGAGAUUUGAGGCCUAUCAACCAAGACUAAUAUCGAGUUUUCUACCAGUGAAACUAACUAACGUUCACAUGGUUUUGACAUUCACCUGCCAUUUGGUGUAGACAAGGGCACCCUAACAUAUGGUUAAUAUUAUUCUUGAAAGAAAAUCCUUUGAUUCAAAAUACUUCAAACCUAAUAAUACAAUACUUCUCACAUCUGAAAAAUAUGAGACGGCCCGACAGUAUUCUAAUCGACGCAAUAAUAUUUUGAGGGCAGCACUACUACAGCGACCCUCAUUCGUGCCGGUGCUGGGACUCCUAUCACGACCCUGAUACAAAUGAGGGUACAUUAUUGGUGCCAGUGCUAGAACAGCCACGAAUAACUUGCUAAACGUGCUGUUACACUCACUACAGGGACCAAGAAGGUAGAUAAAUUACACGACAUAGCCUUGGUUGCCGUGGAAGCGCCAAGAAGGGAGACAAAUUACAGGGACCACACCAUCAAGUAGAUAGUGACAAUAUGCAAAAGAAUACCCGCGCCUGUUAGCAUGUGAACUGACCACACCACGAAACGUGAUACACGGCAAGCGUACCAAGGCCUUGCUGUGCAGACUAUGCAUGGACAACACAUGGUACCUGACCGCUUUUGGCCUCAGACACAUCGAAAAACUGCAUCGUUCCACGUUGUACAUCCAUUGCUAGUUUAUCUAUAUUACAUAAUAUAUUAUUAGCUAUUUGAAUAGAAUGAACCAAUUAAAAAAUUGCGUUGUAUUUUUAGUACCGGCUGCAGGAUGGUGUUACCAACCAGUACUAAUUGGCCUGUAGGAGUGAUGGUUAUUAGACUUGGUACUGUUGUUAGCAUCAUUAACCUAAUUGUGCGCCGUAUGAAUUUGGGGAUGCAAAGCUAGCUCUCUAUGAAUGUGAGGGAUGGAAAGCUAGUUCUCUAGUAGUAAUUAUAUAUAUGACAGUCAAGAAAUCGAACACUAUGCUGCUACGAGUCACCAUCAUUUCCUUCAUUGACAAUCUGACAUAGGUGAAGCUGCUUCAAUAAUUUCCUUCGCGCAGUCGUGGAGCUUAUUGGAUUAUCACCAGGACGGGACACGGAAAUGGCCAGCAAUGAAGCUGAUUGCCGUCUGAGGAAGACUACAUACUUACCUAUGAAAUGAAGCGAUUGCAUAGACUAAUGAAGCAUUGCAUAUUUGCAUGUGAGUGUGGCAGAUAAUUCUGCAGGACAUGAUUGCAAUCCACGCACCAUCGAGAAGACUGGGGCGAUGGGGUUGCCUCAUCAAUAAUCACGUGGAUGCAUGCAUGCAUGUUCCCGCAACCGGACAAGGGUCUGAUAUAUGGCUAUAGUAUUACUGAGCCCACAUCAAUAAUUUCCACUGGUGUAUCGUGUGGGAAGAAUCAACAUACUACACCUCGAGUUCUUGGAACUAACUGACGUUCACAUGCAACCUCCACAAGGUGCUGUAUGCUUUUGACAUUCACCUGCCAGUUCGUGUAGAGAAGGACACCCUAACGUAUAGUUAAUAUUAUCCAUUUCAUGAGUAAAAUACUGUGAUUCAAAAAUACUUCAAAUCCCUUGAGACAAUACUUCUCACUUGACUAACCACUAACCAACCCCGAAACCCUAACUCAACUCCGAACCCUAACCCCUAACGGCAUAACCACUCCGUUUUGCCGGCGAGAUGGAGGAACUGGCUGGAAGGUAGAGAGGGCAGCGGUCCAGGGUUGAAAACGACGGGCGAGCGCAGUAACAUGUGGAGGAGGAAGUGCCACGUAUUCGUUCACCGCUAUUGGGCAGCGACACACGACACGCCCAAUAAGAUCUUCGCACGGUAGAAGGACGUCAUGUAUUCAAUAAUGUUAUUGGUCCCCCAUGUGCAGAAGGGCGCGCGCGUAUGGAAUAACAAGUAGGGACACUGCAACUAAUCUACUCUGCUCGUCCAGUCCCUAGCCUAUAAAUAGAUGCCAUGCUAGCUCUUGUUGUGCUCACAAUUAAUCCGAUUACACACGAGCUUCUCUCCCUGGCCAAGACACAACCAUAGUAUGAUGAAGAACAUGGCACUAGCCGGCAAUGGUAUGAAGAAGUUAAUCCUCGCUGUUCUCUUACUGUGUCUAGUUAUAGGGCAGAUACAAGUGGAAGCUAAGAGCUGCUGCCCAUCCACCACUGCAAGAAAUGUCUACAAUACCUGCCGUUUCACGGGUACAUCCCGUCCAACGUGUGCAAAACUGUCAGGCUGCAAAAUUAUCAGCGGGAACAAAUGCAAGCCCCCUAACGACCACCUCACCCUUGACCCGGACACUGGUAAAUAAUAAAUUUAUCUCACUUGAUUUCUUCGUGAUUUGAGUCGUUAAUGUAUUUUCCAUCUGAUGAAACGUAUUGGUUUUGCAUUGAAGAGGAAGUUAAUGUGCUUAACUUCUGCAAGUUGGGGUGUGCGUCGUCUGUGUGCAACAACAUCAACGCUGGUAAGCAACUUUUGCUCAGACAGAGAAAACAAUAAUCAUUAAUUAGCGGCAGCUAGAAUCCUAUAAUCUAAUAUAUAUAUAUAUAUAUAAUUUUAUCAGCUCUGGGAAAUGAAGAGGCGAACGAUGCCGUUGAGAGUUGCGACCAAGCCUGCUCUAGCUUCUGCAGCGUGCAUGUUGGCAGCGCCACCGUGGUUGCUUAAGCAAAUGCAUCCAACUAGAUCGUCCUUGUGCUGAAUAAUUGGAUAUCGUAUCCACUUAAAGCUGCCUUGUGUAGUACGUCUUUGUGUCUCUCUUUAUAUUCCAAUAAGGUCGGUGAUCUUGAUGCCACACACUCAGAUGUGUGUUCAUCUCCAGAUACUACUCCAUGCUACCUGCCCUUUGUGUUUUGUUCAAUAACUGGGUAUCAUAUCCCAGCCAGUAUGCCGUCUGUUUUGUGUUUGUUUCCUUCUAGUUCCAAAGGGGUCAUCAUGAUGUUACCUUCUUUCAAUAUGGUGCUUUGCAUGACUACUGUUGUAUGGUACCAUCUUGUGGCCAAUAAGUACAUCUUAUCCUAUGACCUUUGCUAUGACCCUUUGCAAAUAAGUAGAAGAUUGUUAUAAGCGUCAAUACUCCGUAUAAAUUGAUCGCUGCUGUGAGUUCCCUUUCAGCUUAUCGUAGGCAUACAUUAUUGCUAGCACGGUAAAGCCAACCAACACGAAUGAUGAAGUAAACGUAGCGGUACUUCUGUAUACCAACACCCUUACUUAAAUGUACCGGUGUCAUUCCCUACUGGCACAUAUAUUCUUAUAUGCUAGCCAGCUUGUAAAAUUAACCAAUUAAAAUAAUUAUUUCAAGAUAGAAAUAACUUAUCGGUUUCUGGAAGCAUGUGUAAUGUGAAUUCAAGGACUCGACGGAAGUUGAAUCACUUCAUCUAUAUUGCUUUCAGUAUUUUGGGUAACUAAAUUUAACAUUUGCACAUACAAAUGUUAAAGUACAAAUGUUAAAUCUAGUUACCCAAGCAGAAUAUGAAGAUAGUUUAUAGUAUAUAUAUACUAUAUAAAUCUAGUUAACAUUUAGUCUAAAUGUUAAAUCUAGUUACCUAAAAUCCUGAAAGCAAAAUGUAUAAAUAUAUAUCUUUUAAGGCAGUAUAAGCUUCGAUUCCUAUUGCUGCUCUGUUAAAUCUCAUCUUUCGUUGUGGCCCAACACUCUAGUAUGCAUGUUGCACCAAGCUUCUUUGAGCCGCUCUGCCCUCUGAUUUUGCUGCGUAGGGGAAUCUUUAUCAGGUUGGGCUACUUCCAGUUGUGCGAUGUAAAGAUUCGUAUUUUCUAGAAGGUAGACAAAAAACUCGCGUUCUCUUAAGGCAACAACCGGAAGAUUCUGCAGCGCACAGGGCAUACCAUUAUUGUAGAAACGACCUUUAGUACCGAUCUCCAACCCCCUUUAAAACUGGUUUUGCAACCGGUACCGUUAUGUCGGUCCUUUAGUACCAGAUCAAAUAAGUACCGGUUGGUAACCAGUAUCAACUUGUUUUGCGGCCAAAAAAAUAAAGAAAAAAACAGUCAGAAGGCUCGCACACACGCGCAUCACAUGAAAUAUGCGUGUGCGGGGUCCAUGGGAUUCGAACCCAUGAAAUCAAGCUGCACGCGACCCUUCGUUACCAUCUCACCUACAUAGCGCAUAUGCUUUCCUGAAGUAACCCGUGGAGGAGGCUUUAGUACCGGGUCAUAACACCACCCGGUACUAAAAAUGACUCUUCAGUACCGGGUCAUAACACCACCUGAUACUAGUAUCGGAUGGUGUAAUGACCCGAUACUAAAAGGCCUCUAGGGACCCUCAAAUUUGAACCCGGUACUAAUGCUAAUAUUAGUAGCGGGUCAAAGUGCAGCCAGAACUAAAGCAUGGGAUGAAAGGUCAUAUUUCUAGUAGUGUAUAGUUGUUGUGAAGGACUGACUUGGCUGUCCUCUCUCUUCUCCAUCCCCUUGGUCUUACGCCGCCGCUCGCACGCGAGCCGGUGCCCAACCAGAGGAGUGAGAGCUAGGGGCAGGUUGGGAGGUGGGGAUAGUGACUGGUGGCCAGGGUGAUGGUUGAUCCUGGUGGGGUUAGGGUUUCAGGGUUUUCGAGCUUCCUAUGGUCGGCGAACCUAGAGGAGAAGCUCAACAUCAGCUGCAACCCGCGAUGGUGGUGGUUUGGCCGGCGCCCGAGGCGAGGCAGCGCGGGAGUGCUGCCGGUGGGUUGGUGUUGGCACUCAUUAUUGACAACUAUUUUGUUCAUAAAAUAACACUCAAACUUGCUGCUGCUGCUGCUGCCAUCGCCACCCUAGCCAUAAUAUAAAGGCAAAAUUUGCUAAAGGACAUGCAAAAUGAUGCUAGUUUGCUGGCGGGCAUCGUUGACCUUGUAAUAUGCUACAAGACACUCUAGUUGUGUAUCAAUUUGCUGAAAGACAUUGCUAUGACUAAAAUAAUGUUUCUGGACUGAGUUGGAGAGAGAGAUGGAGUGAAAUGUCUGUUUUGCCCAUGACCCCACUGGUCAGAUCCUUCUUCUUCCACCCUCCUUUGUUCUUUCUUCAACCAUUACCCAGCUCCAGCGUGUUGCAGAUCUACGAGGGUGGCGGCCUGGGGCGAGGGGCAUCGCUCGCCCUUGGAGGAGCGCUGCGAGCGACGGCGCGGGGGCGGCAACAGCGCGUCAGAACCUGACUGUUCGUUAGCUCCUCUCGCUGCUGGGGAAGAAGGAGGGGGAUGGGCCAUGGACGGGGUUCCCUUGAAAACCUCAGCGUCGAGCUCGGGCGGCUACGCGCAGGCAGCACUAGGCUGCUUCACGGGGAGGGGGCGCGGCCAAUCAUUGGCACCCCACUGGUCCAAUGCUGAUGAAGAUGGUGCCAGCGUCGUGUGAGGACAUCUCAUCUCCUCGAGUUCCAUGGCCAGCACAGGUGAGCUGCCGCUACCACAAAACAGAGGUUUCGUGAGAGUCAAAAAACCUUAUGAAAAUAGCUAAAACCAUCAUGAAAAUAAUCCGUGACAUGACACUCUCACGAAAAUCCUCUCACAAAUAUGGUGCCAUGAAAAUACCAUUUUCAUGAGAGUGAACUGUCAUGAUUUUAUAAGCGUCAAUACUCGGUAUAAAUUGACUACUGCUGUGAGUUCCCUUUCAGCUUAUCGUAGGCAUACAUUAUUGCUAGCACGGUAAAGAGAACCAACACGAAUGAUGAAGUAAACGUAGCGGAACUUUUGUAUACCAACACCCUUACGUACCGGUGUCAUUCCCCACUGCCACAUAUAUUCUUAUAUGCUAACCAGCUUUGAAAAUUAAGCGAUUAAAAUAAUUAUUUCAAGAUAGAAAUAACUUAUCGGCUUCUCGAAGCUUGUGUAAUGUGAAUUCAAGGACUCGAUGGAAGUUGAAUCGCUUCAUCUAGAUUGCUUUCAGGAUUUUGGGUAACUAAAUUUAACAUUUGCACACACAAAUGUUAAUGUACAAAUGUUAAAUCUAGUUACCCAAGCAGAAUAUGAAGAUACUCUAUAGUAUAUAUGUACUAUAUAAAUCUAGUAAACAUUUAGUCUAAAUGUUAAAUCUAGUUACCUAAAAUCCUAAAAGCAAAAUGUAUAAAUAUAUAUCUUUUAAGGCAGUAUAAGCUUCAAUUCUCUGUUAAAUCUCAUCUUUCGUUGUGGCCCAACACUCUAGUAUGCAUGUUGCACCAAGCUUCUUUGAGCCGCUCUGCCCUCUGAUUUUGCUGCGUAGGGGAAUCUUUAUCAGGUUGGGCUACUUCCAGUUGUGCGAUGUAAAGCUUCGUAUCUUUUAGAAGGUAGACAAAAUACCCGCGUUCUGGAAGAUUCUGCAACGUGCACGUUGGCGCUGCCACCGUGGUUGCUUAAGCAAAUGCAUCCAACUGAAUCGUCCUUAAGCUGAAUAAUUGGAUAUGGUAUCCACUGCUUAAAGCUGCCAUGUUUAGUACGUCUUUGUUUUUCUCUCUUUAUAUUCCAAUAAGGUCGGUGAUCUUGAUGCCACACACUCAGAUGUGUGUUUAUCUCCAGAUACUACUCCAUGCUACCUACCCUUUGUGUUUUGUUCAAUAACUGGGUAUCAUAUCCUAGCCAGUGUGCCAUCUGUUUUGUGUUUGUUUCCUUCUAGUUCCAAAGGGGUCAUCAUGAUGUUACCUUCUUUUGAGGUGUCUAUGAUGACUUCGUUAAUAUCAAUAUUAACCAAUUCAAUCUGUCUUAACUAUUUGUAAGGGGUAUGAUGUAUGCAUGAUUAUAACAAUGAUUGCGCAUACAAUCGCCGCCAAAGAAACGGUCAAUACCAUUAAGACAUAUUACAGACAAUUCUCAUAAUCUAUAAUGAAUAUACAUAUUCACUACUGCAGAAGACUGUCAUUUGUAUCGGCUCAUACGUGCCAGGGCAAAGGUCACCCUUGCAUUAAGUACAUUUGCACGGUAAAGACAACCAACACGAAUAAUGAAGUAAACAUGCCGGUGCUUUUGUACACCAACACGCUUACUUAAAUGUACUGGUGUCAUUCCUCACCGGUAGCCGGCUUGAAAAUUAACCAAUUAGAACAAUUAUUUAUUGUAUCGGUGUGAUUUUUGACCUAUUGGAAUAUGAAUUUGACCGUUACUGCAUUCGUCAAGACUCAAGAGAGAAAUAACUGAUCGGCUUCUUAGAGCGUGUGCAAUGUGAAAUCAAGGACUGGAUGGAAGUUGAAGCGCUAGCACUAGUAGAGAAACGACUUUCCAUCCACCCCCUUUUGUCCCGGUUUAAAGUUGGCUCGGGAUAAAAGGUUCACCAACCGGGACUAAAACUCAGUCACUGGUGGGAGGCUCACCAACCGGAACCUUUUAUCCCGGUUGCAAAGGCUAAUGGGAAAAAAAGACUCUGAGAGGCCUUUUAUCCCGGUUUGAAACACCAACCGGGAUAAAAGACCCCCCUUUUAUCCCGGUUGGUAACACCAACCGAGAUAAAAGGGUCAAGAGCCUUUUAUCCCGGUUGGAAACACCAACCGGGAUAAAAGACCCCCUUUUAUCCCGGUUGGUGUUUCAAACCGGGAUAAAAGGGCCCCCACGAGGUGACUGGAAGGUGACUGGAAGGGGAUUAAAUCGUGGGGGACCCUUUUAUCCCGGUUGGAAACACCAACCGGGAUAAAAGGGGGUCUUUUAUCCCGGUUGGUGUUUCCAACCGGGAUAAAAGGGUCCCCCACGAGUUAAUACAAAAGGAUAGUAUCCCCUACAUAGUCAGAUGUGGUGUGUAGGUGGGAUGGUAAGGAAGCUACGCGCGAGCUCCGGAAUUUUUUUUUUUUUUUUUUGCAGCGUCGGCGCUCUCUACCCUUUUAUCCCGGUUGGUAUUACCAACCGGGAUAAAAGGGGGUCUUUUGUCCCGGUUGAGUGACCCGGGAUAAAAGACCCCCCCUUUUUUCCCCGGUUAGUUUAUCCCGGAUGCAUUUUCGGGAUAAAAGCACCCUACCAACCGGGAUUAAAGCUCACUUCUCUACCAGUGUAGCUUCAUCUUCCGCUGCAAGUUAAUUGCUUGGAUAAGAAGUUGUAGCCGCUGCAAGUUAUAAAUAGUCCCGCUGAUGCUGUGCUCCGAAGUCUAUACUAUAUAUGCGGAAACUAGAUUGCUUUCAGGAUUUUGGGUAACUAAAUUUAACAUUUGUACAUAAAAAUGUUAGUUUACGAAUGUUAAAUCUAGUUACCCAAGCAGAACAAGAAGAUAGUAUAUAGUAUAUACUAUAUAAAUCAAGUUAACAAUUAGUCUAAAUGUUAUAUCUACUUACCCAAAAUAUUGAAAGCAAAGAAAGAAUAAGUAUAUAUCUUUUGUUGGAAAAUUGGUCCACGGAGAGGCCCAUUUAGGCCUCGUUCGUUUCACCGGGAUGGGAUUCCAGUCAGGAUUACUUCCAAGUUCGGUUUGAGUGAUUCCACCCGUGUCACUCAAUCCGGCUAGGAUUCAUUCUAUGGGUGAGGAGGUAUGGUUUCAAUCCAGGCCAUCUAAUGUAGAAGGAUUCCAAUCCAGGCCGGUUUUCGUUCCAGGCCAGACUAAAACGAACAACACUUUCAAUGCAAGUCUGGUUUCAAACCGGGCCAUUUCAAACCACCCGGAAUGGACCUCGUUCCAGGCCAAUCCGGUGAAAACAAAUGAGGCCUUAAUGGAAUCCCAAAGCAAGAGUUCAGUGGCAUUCUAUAGUCCCAUGCUGCUAGUUUGAGUUGGUCGAAGCCAACUUAAAUAGGAGAGCUCUCUCACUUCUCUAAAUACGUAACUGAAGGAGAGAAGGGGGCUUGGGUUACACAACGCACGCACGCACGCAUAUUUGCGUUCUUUUCGCGUAACCAACCGCGUGACUUGAAACUUGCGACGUAGCGUGCUGCUAAGUCAAGUUGAUAUAACCUUUUUGCCGUUUGCAUGUAAUCUUUUGACAACGGUCAUUGGAGGUGAUAAGCACGCAGUCAAUACCUUAAUCUUGAGUUAAUAGGGUGGUUACUACUGCCAAUUAGUGGGGCAAUUUUGUAGGGGAAACGGUUAGCAGAGGGCUACCGUCUUCUCUAUAAGAAGUUCUGGAGACGUCCAGGAACACACAUGUACAUGUGAGAGACCCACAAAUUCCUUCCCUUCUCCCUUUUCCAUGUGGUGAAGUGUGCUGUGGUACUGAGCUGCUUGAUCUCGCCGCUCUUCUCCUUGGCAUGCACCGAGGAGGAGGGUGAGCGGUAUCUCCGAGCUAUUGCCGUCAGGAAGCCUGCACGAGGGACAACAAAAAGUUUUUGGGUAGCGCAACUGCCAGCACAACUCUCCCUCCGCCUCUUCUUCACGGUUGAUGGCCACCACAAGCAUAAACCUCGCCUUCGCAUCCACGCAAAAGGGUCGCUGGGGUGCCUUCUUGCAUCGCUUCUCAGCCUCCUUGACUUGCGGCCAGCCAAGAACUGCGCCACCACCUCGGGUGCACGCCACCACUCCAGGGCUGCUACCCCAUGCCUGCGGCCGCCGCCGGCCACCACGCGUGUGCAACCGCGUCGCACCGCUUCCUUGCUUUGUGCCACCACUGCUGCUGUACCACCAGCUCCACCACCUUGGGCUGGUCGCCAGAGUGACUGAUAACUUAUUAUCUGUAACUACUAUUAACUCAGGGAUACAUGCGUCUUUUGCUUCUCCUACUAAUAUGUCCUAAAAUAUCUAGGAUGCCUUAUAUUUCUGGACAGAGGAAGUAUUUGAAUAAAAUGAACCAAUUUAAAAAAAUGUGUUGUACACUACUACAGAAAGACCUAUCAGUGUCAAACCCAAAAAUGUUGUCACCGCCAGUUUUGGGCAUCAUUGGUGAAAGGUUGGCGGUGAUGGGCUUUCCCUUCAACAACGGCACUGGAGCCGACGGUGAUUGACAUUAGAAAACAAAAAAGGGGACCCUACCUAGCCACCCCUGCAACCCGGCCGGCCGUGCCUCCCCUCAUCCCCACCACCUCGCCUCCCCAUGACCCCCCGCCGGCGCCCUUGCGCCUAGCCCCCUCAACUGCCCAGCCGGCCACCCUCAUCACGAGAGAGAGGUGCAUGUUGUAUAAUUGCGUGAAUUUUUUAAUGUUUAAUUUCAUGUAAGUUCCGUGUAAUAAAUUGUACAAGUUUUAUUGUAUAUAUGAAUUCCAUAUAUAUAUAUAUAUAUUUAUAAUUUAAUGUAUGGUUUCAUGUGUAUAUUUCAAUCAUGUGUAUAUUUAGUAGAUUGCCGAUUUUCUUUUUCUACUAGACAAGGGUUGAUGUAUAAUUACGUGUAUAUGUUUAUUGUACGGGCAAUUAGGACAAGUUUUGUAUAAAUUUCUUUUAUUUGAUGGUUGUUGUAUGGUUUCAUGUAUAUACAUUUAUUGUACUACUUUAGACAAUUUUUAAUUUAAUGUUUCUAUGAUUAGAUGUGUGUAUAACUAAUUGUAUUAUUAGUUAAGAUGGGAGCUAAAGAGGAUGAAAGGUAUAUAAUGGAGCAGAUUAUUGCUAGCUCAAACGUUGCAAGAACCUACACCGAGGGUGAGGGUAGCUAGGUGGACAUGUACCUCAACAUGUCCAGUGAUGGCAAUGACGAUGAGGAGCACGAGCAUGACAUCUAUGAUAAUGCGGAACAAGACAUUGCAGAAUUGGAAGGUUCUAAUGAGGUGUGCUUCAUGUUGACAAUCUAGUUGGCUUUUUUUCGUUGGUCACACCUUAGUUACCAUAGAACUUCGUCUCGGGAGAAGAUUGGUGGUGGUAUGGUGAUUGGAAUUUUAUUUCCACGAAAUCUGAUUUCCAUCGAAUCAUAUCCCUUGUAUUUAUCUUCUUUUUAUUUGUGAGAGCAUCUUCUUUAUGCUUGCAAAACAAUUCAAGUGCACAUACUACCCCUAGGGUGACGAUUGGGAGUAGAAAUAAUUGCCAACAAAACAACACCACAUCCUAAGAUUCUUAACUUGUGGCAUAAUUAGUCUAGUAAAAAGAAAGAUAAAAACCUAAUGGGUGUAUGUGAGUGCAAUGUGUAUAUGCAUAUGAGUGGAAGGCAUAUAAGCAAAGACAAUAUUUACACAUAGUUCUAAACACCAUGUUUACAGCUAGGUUGCUGAAUUUCUCCAUAGCCAUAGAGAUUAAUUAACCAAGGUCAAAACACGAUGUCUAUCCCAAGAUCAGUAAUUAUUUAUAGCACAAGAAAAAGAAAGCGCAUUGCAAAGUUUAUAAACCAACCAAUACAGCAUGAAAACAAGAUGAAUAGCUAGCAAGGUUUAUUAAACUGAAUGAUGACGGUCUGUAAGCAAGUUUAAACACCAUCUUUACACAAGAUUGCAAAUGGAAAAUGCCCAUAUGAAGCACUAACAUGGAUAUGAAAUCAUUCAUCAUAAAGCGUAAAGAACAACCAAGCCAACCAUAUGCAAAGCAUGAAUGGAAUGCAAUGAAGGUGCAAGAGAACAUUUUUGGAUGAACACAUUAUGAUGAUGGCAAAAUGCAAUGCAUGCAGAAAAAAUAAAUAUGAACAUGAAUAUGAUGAUCAGGGGCGGACCCACUAUUGUGGCCUGGGUAUUCCUCGGCAUACCCAAUAUUUUUGGGAAAAUGUUUAGUAGUUUUUAAUGGCAUAUACAUGUAUAAUAUAGUUUAGGUGUUAAAAUUGAUAUUCACAGCUAUUUUGGGCUCCAAUUCGCGUCCAAACCAACCUGGCCCACAGACCGCACCCGGCCGCCCGGCCCAUCGGCCCAUCUUGUCACUGAUCCUCCCACCACCACACUCAGCCCGUCAGUUAGUCAGGUCCCGAGCUCCUGCCUGACCUAGUCCGCUACCACCGCCAGGCGCCAGGCACAGCUGUACACGCCGCCCCCGUCCACCCACGUCCGCCGCACGGCCGCGUCGCGCCCCCCCCCGGCGCCCGCUGCUGCCAGAACCCAUUAGGCCUCCACCGGCAAGUCCACCCACAGUCCCGCGCGACGCGGCAGCCUCUUGGCUCUCGGCGCUCGCGGCGCGCCAAUGCCUGCGCAGCCCCAGCAGGCGACUGCCCCCCCCCCCCCCGCAUCGGGCCUCGGCCCCUCCCCAGCUCCCCCUCCCCCCUCCACCAGGACUGCCUGCUGGCCCCCACCGCGAGGUAAUCGAAAUGGACUGCUCAAUCUCUCAAUCUGUUGACAUGAUGCACACGGUUGCAAAAAUAGAUGUGUCAAAAUAGAUGUAUUGCCAAUUGCUAUAGAUGCAUAUGGUUGACAUGAAGAAGUCAAAAAUGACAUUUGGUUCCUUGUAGGCAGUCAAAAAUGAAGAAGUCAAACAAUAUUGAUCUGAAAUCAAUGCGGGAAAGGGCUACGAAGACACACGGGUAGAUUCCCUUGUGAACUUUUUAUGUCGUUCGUCUAAAUAUAUUUUUGCAAUGGGCAUACCCUACUCUGAAAUCCUGGGUCCGCCACUGAUGAUGAUGGUCUAAACAUAAAACAAGCCUAGAUUAAUUAGCUACAACUGAAAUUAAGCAAAGGUUAAUGUCAUUGACCCUAGCUCUAUCCUAGCUUUUACUAAAGUCCCGGCACAUAUAGUGGUUGGGCCCACUCUCUCUACUUCCCUCUCUGCUGCAUGCACACACACGAGCAACUGGAGGCCCAACAAAGCCCAGAAGGGUUCGGCCGAACCCGUCCGAUCCAGUCUGAGCGCCGCUCCCUCCCAGCCUUCGCGCAGAUGCUCCUCCAACGUUCCUUGACCCCUCCCUCAGUGUCCCAUUGGGUUUAACAUUGUAGGAGAGGAGUCCCUUUUUUAAAAUCUCAACCACCUCCUCUCCUCAUUCACUCCACUCUCAUCUCCAUCAAACUCACCAAGAUCCACAUCGGAAAUACCUGCUUACCACCAUGGCUGGCAAAGCCCUCGUCCCUUUCACCAACUUGGGCUUGACCAUUGAUCUCGAUGGGAAAAUCACUCCAGCAAAUGUCAUUGUCCCUGUCGGCGAUCUGGCGAUGGAGGAGGUCCAGGCACUAGAGGUCGAGCCCCUAGCCAUCAUACCGCCCAAGGGGUAAAGCAGGAGCAUGACAGGCGCUGCUAGGGGUUCAGCCGAACUCCCAGUUCAGCCAAACGAGGACGGCGUCGCCUCGGCCUCCCGCUCGACUGCAUGCUUCCCCUUGCCAAGGAGGACUCCAGAACAGCGGGCGCGUGCGUCAAGUCCCUACAAAAGGCUGAAAUACAAUGAAUAUCCAGGGUCACCCUUGAAGAUGGGUGAACGCUACGCCGGGUCCUUGUUUGACUAGUACGGCGAUGCAUUCUGCCACCGCUAUGUCGUUGUCGAGAUUAGCGGAUCAAGACUUAGACUAGUAAAUUUCUUUUAUGCGCGUAAGGCUUCAGAUGGUGGCGUGGGAGACAUGGGUUUUAUACUAGUUCGGGCAAUGGAAUACCCUACGUCCAGUGUCUGGAGCUGCUUGUGUUGCCCACGCGGGGUUCUGUAGUAGGGGUUACAGGUGUGCGAGAGAGGGAGCUAAUCCCAGGUCUCUUAGGCGUGUUCCGGUCCUCUAGAUGGGAGAAGUGUGUUCUGUUUGCUUGGGAGUAUCGGUUGUGUCUGAGUUGUCUCCGGAGCCUCCUCCCGUCUCAGGUCCCCGAUUCUCCUUUCAUAGCACAAGGAGACCAUCGGGGUUACAGACGAGACCGAGCGUGGGGAGGAGUAAAGAGAUAAACAUAGCUAGGUAAAAAUACAACAAGAAAGGGGGGAACCAAGUUUCUAGGUCACCGGCGUCCUCGCCGGCCUUCGACUUCCGCCGGCGCAUUUGUCGGAGGAGGGUGGCCGCCAUCGCGUUCUGUCGAUGGCUUCCUCGGUGACUGUAGCCACCGGGCGUGAUGAUGGCAUUUCGUCGUGACCCUUUGUCUGUUGGGGGAGGCGGCGGAUCCUGCCAUUCUGCUGACGGCUCGCGGAGUGCGAACGUCGCAUCCCUGCCGCUGGGCACGCGGGGCGCGAGAACGUGCGAGGCUUCCCCCUACCCCAGGCGGCGCAGGCCAUGAGUGCCCUGUGGCAAAUCGGAGGAGGCCGCAGCUACUGUAGCUUGUACUGUGCAGCCACGUAUGGGUACUUGUGGCAGGUUGCGUGGUGGAUGCGGAUAUCCUUCUCCCUGACAGAUCUGCGGCGCAUUUAUGGCGAGAUCGACAUGGGGACCCACAAGACCCGCGCCCAAGGCGGAUACUUGUCUGGAGGGCCCGGGUUAGCCUGACCCCCUACGCUUGGGGUCGGGCGAGGCGGAGACUUGCGGCGGGGCGUCGGACGCUCCCGACACUAGACCUGCGGUCGCGCAAGGCGGAGCUUGGUCUUCCGGGGGUCGGGGGUGCCGGACCCCAGGAUGCGGGGUCGGGCGAGGUGGAGCGUAAUUCUUGCCUCCCAUGUUGGGCCGAUGGCAGUCUUUGUUACCUCUAGUGGGCUUGGGCCUUUAUGUUUUGUUGUUUCCAUGGGCUUCGAGAGGUCGUUAAUAUUUCCCCCCAACAGUAGCCCCCGAGCCUGUGGUGGAGUGGGGGCGCUCCUCCGGAGGCUACUAUCAUCGCCCCUAGGGAAUCCUCGCAGUUGAUCCGGGAUAGGAGGUGUUGUUUGCACGGCUUGACCGAGGGGGUCGAUUAGGCGACGCAUCCUGUGAGCGACUCGGUGCGGGAGGGUUUCUUGUUGUUCCCUUCUGUCUGAGAGCCUUAAGUCGAGACCACCUGCGUGGCCUUUGGUUGCAAGGCCAGCCCCCGAGCCCCCGCACGUUGCAGGGGACCGGUCGGAGGCUAGGUCGACUUUUGUUCAUUACCCUCAAGCGUCUGUUCGCUAGGACGGAGGGGGCGAGCCGUGCCAUGCUAUCCUCAUCGGACGAACCAUGGUGCUCAUUGAGUUACUAACGGGUUGAUUCGAGUGGGAUCCCGGUCCCCGUUCGGGGGGGGUCCGGCUUGGGCCAAGCUGGUGGCGUACCCCAGGCUCCGGUCGGCCAGUUCAUAUAGUUCCUGAGUCCGUUCGGUCGGACCGGGGGCUCAUUGCCUUUCUUCGGGGAAAAACCAUGAACUUUGAUGCCGGUCCAGACUCGAAUGUGAGAUUGAGACGCCCGGGGCUGUCGCGUGCCCGGGUGAUGGCCGCUAGCGGACCCGUCUCCUCUCACCCCUCACUCGGGGGUAUCCUGAGGCGGCUGUCGAACCCGUGGCGGGCCAGCCUUCGAACCUCUGGAUCGUAAUGGGCCGUAGGGGCGUUUUCAGCCCCGUAUCCCUUUUUACCUUUUGGUGGGCCUUGGGCCGAAUCAUGGAGGAGGUCGGGCCUUGGGCCGGAUGCGGAGGAUGUCGUGCCUUGGGCCGGAUGUGGGGGACGUCGUGCGUGUCUUCCGGGAGACGAAGUGGUGGAGGGUGCCAACCCGCGAAUCGAGGGAGGAGGGGAUGUUUCUACUGCAGGUCAUGCGCACGGUUUCCGAAAAGGCAGCGGGCGUGACGGGACGUACCUCGCGCCGCAUUUAUUGCGAUGGGGGCGUCUGUUCUGCUUCCCUCGUGCCUUCCCUAUAAAACGAGGACUUCGCCUCGCCGGUUCCGCCCGCCAUCUACCUUCAAGCCUUUUCGCCUCCUCGCGCGCCCUUAGCUUUCCUGUGCCCGCUUCGUCUUCCUCCGCCCAGUGCCGCGCCCUUUCUCCCCAUCCGCCGUCGAGUUCUUCUCCCUCCGGCGAUGGGAUCCUGGGCGCGUUCCCACUUCGGCCCCUCACGCGCCGAAGGCCUAGUGAGGAAAGGCCUCCUUUGCGAGAGGACGGAGACGGAUGAGUGGGGGUUCCCUGAGAUGGAAGAGGUGCCGACUCCGCCCACCGGCUACGUCGUUUCCUUUGCCCACUUCCACGAGAGGGGGUUUGCGACUCCGCCGAGCCUCUUCUUCCGCGGGCUUUUGUAUUACUACGGGCUUGAGCUGCAGCACCUCAACCCCAACGGGAUUCAGCACGUCGCGGCGUUCGUUGCGGUGUGCGAGGGGUUCCUGGGCAUUGAGCCCAACUUCUCGCUGUGGAAGUACUUCUUCACGGUCAGCCUAUACCAGAAGGCCGAGAAGAGGGGAAGCCAGCAGCGGUCGACCCCGGUGCCGAUAGGGUGCGUCGGAAUCCACCUCUGCCAUACUCGCGCCAAGGAGUAUAUCGCGAUGAAGACCGCGGCAUCCCACAAGGGGUGGCACCAGCAAUGGUUCUACGUGAAGAACUACUCCAACCCCCCCUGCCGGAGUUCACCGGCCGCAUUAUUGAAGCGGCGCCGGAGGUGUGGGUGUACGGCCCGGUGGAGAAGGAGAAGAAGCGGAUCACCGGCCUGCUGCAGGCCAUCGAGCACCUGAAGGAGAGGGGACUGACCGGAGCCGGAGUCAUCGGGGCGUACCACGCCCGGCGGGUGGCGCCGCUGAUGCUCCGGGUCCGCUCGCUCGCCGACAUGACCCCCGGUGCUCUCACCGAUGGCACUGUCCUCGCGACGGGUGCUCUCGCUGCCUCCGAGAUCCGGCAGCGGAUCCGGGAGGCGCUGGAGGACAAGGACGCCGAUUACCCGGUGCCCGGCCACCCUCCGAUGCGCCCGGACGAGAAUUUCAUUGAUCUGGUAAGGAUUUUGCGCGCCAGUUUCCCUCUCUUGCGUUUCUUGGUAUGCCGUUCUGACGCGAGGCCCUCUGUGUUUGCAGGGUAGCAUGACCCGGGUCGUCGACUUGCGUCCGCCAGUGUCGGAGGACGCCGAGUGGCGGUAGCAGAACCGUCUCCUUGCCGAGAAGCAAAAGUGACGCAAGGACAAGAGACAGCGAAGAAGAAGAAGAGGGCCGCCAAGGAGUUCCAGCGGCGGCGGUGGGGAUAGGUCGUGUCGGAUGACGAUGACGAUGAGAAGGAGGAGGAGGAUGACGAGGAGGAGGAGGAGUUUAUCCUGUCCCCCCGGUCAGGGGCGCUUGUUAUCCGGGAGCCGCGCUCCCAAGCGGCCAUGGGGGACAAGGCGGGCGAGCUGCCUGCCCGGACCCGAUCCUGCGAAGCUUUGGGGGCGCGCCCCAGGGGUCGGCGCAGAGCGCCCCCCGGGGGUCGACGGAGCCGACCCCCAUCCCUACACCUGCAGCCCAGGAGCAGAGGAGCAGCGACAAGCGGCCGUUGCCAGAUGCCCCGGGGUCGGCGUCCAGCUCAGAGGCGAAGCGCGCGCGCCGCCCUUGCGCUGGGGGAACGUGAGUUGAAUUUCCUUGCGAAUCUCGUUCCUUUCCAUGCAUUGUGUUUGUUUCCGCUGAUGCUGUUUGUUGUCUCACAGCACCGCCCCUCAAGGCCUUGUCCCGCCGUUGGCGCCAAAGAAGGCGUUGCGGUGUUGUCGCCUCUGCGGGGCGGACCGCGGCUCCGCCGGCGGCGAGUGGCGGGGUCACUGGUGAGACCGCGGGUCCUACCGCGGAGGUGGCCCCUGCGGCGGCAACCGGUGGAGUGGUGCCACCGCCGGGCAUGGGACAGGGUCUGGACCCCGCUCCGUCCUCCGCCUCUUCGGCCGACCCCGCGGUGCAGAGUAUCGCUCCUGGGGGCCCUCAGGCCGGGGAGGUGAUUGACCUCGACGCCGACGAGGUGGAGGAGACGGCGGCGGUGGAGACGGGGGCGGUUGCCCCAGCGGCCAUGACGGGGACGACGACGGCGACGGGGGAAGGAGAGUCUACCCCCGCGGCCACGGCGGGGACAGUGGCGACAGAGGAGGCGGGGACGCCCGCCCCGGCGGCUGCGACGGAGGAGGCGGCGGUGACGGAGACGGGGGCUUCCGCCCGGGAAGCCACAGCCGAGGUGGCAGCGGCGACGGAGGUGAAAGUGCCUGUUCUGGAGGCCACGGUGGGGGUGGGGACGCCUGCCUCGUGGCCACGACGGAGGGCGAGGCGGCCCCAGGGACACUUGCUCCGGCACCCGCGUUGGAGGCGGUGGCGCCGACGGGUUGGCCCGUGGCGGCCUCGACGGGGGCGGGGGUGCGUGCGCCGGGACCGUCGGUGAGGCCGGCGACUUCCGGGAUGGUGGUGCCCGUCUUGACGGCGGCGGCGGCGCGGUCGGCCCCCGCCCUUGCCUCUACCACUCCCAUUCCCAAGGCGUGGAGCGGAUCCGUCCUGCGUUGGUCGUCUCGUGACGACCCGCAGAGGCCCCUCUUCACGUUGGAUGAUGCCACAGAAUGGGGCAAGUGGCAGGCGCUGCAGGGCGGACUCGCUAACGUCCGCGCCGCUCUAUCUUCGGCGUUGGGGGAGCUGGACGGCGUCAUCUUCCCCGGUGGCCGGGUAUGGUGCUUUCUCCGUUGGUUAUUUUCUUCCCGUUACUUCGUCCCUGAUGGCACAUUGUUCUGCAGGCCCUCCAAGAAUGUAGCCGGGGAAAAUCUGAUUUCCUUUGGCUCGAGCAGGGGCUCUGGGAGCGCUUCAACUUGGAGUUGCAGCGGACCGGGGAGCUGACCAUGCAAGUCGCCACCGUCUAGCAUGUCAUCGACGAUCUGCGAAGGCACGAGCAGGCGGCACAGGAGGACGCGCGGCGGGCGGAGGCCAAGUUCCAGGUCGUUGCCGAAAGGGCUCGCUGCGACCGCGAGGAGUUCCAGGCCGUUGCCGAAAAGGCCCGCCACGACGCUGAGGAGCUCGCACGGCUGAAGGUGCAGCAUGAAGCUCUUCAGAAGAGCGGCAGAGGGCCUGGCAGGACCGGGACGCCGAGAAGGUCCGGAAGGAGGAGGCUGAGAAGGUGGCGGCCAACCUUGGGGCUGAGGUCAGCCAGCUCCAAGUGCAAGCGCGAGAGCUUCAGGCCUCCGUGGCCCAGGGGCUCGACCAGGAGCGCCAGCUGAAGGCCUAAUCCGAGGGUAUGACUCUGUUUAUUUCUUUGUCUUUGUGAUGUUGCGGUGAUAUUUUAUUUGGCGGGUUCUUCUGGAUGAUCCUUGCAGAUGAGCUCAACUGGCUGAGGGAGGUGCUUGACGCGGAGCGCGCUGAGCACGGCGACCUGCGGGACGCGGUCCGCGUCAUCUGUGACUUCCUUAGUGUGGUCCAGGGGGAGGGGACGAGCUCGCUGGCGGCUCGUGUCCUCGGGACGUACCGCCGGACCAGCGAGAUCGCCCUGGAAGCGCUUCGCACCGGCUUGAGGCAAGCCUUUGGGGUCUUCGGCUCCCACUAUUCCGGCAUCAACUUCGCCGGGAUGAGCGGGGGAUACGCCACCGGCUACUACGAGGCCGAGCUGGAUGAGAUCGACGUGUCGGUGCUCAGCCCGGCGGAGGCCUUGGUGAAGCUCCUCGAGGAUGAGGCCGUCCCGCCCGAAGAUCCCCGGACGAGUUAACUAUAUCGGGCUGGCGCCCCAGAUGUAAAUACGUUAGGGAAAGACUUGUUUUUUGUGAGGGCCGUAGAGGCCUUUUCUAUGAAUUGUCGUAAAAAAGUUUUUGAUUCCCUUUCUUGCUUUUUGGACUUGGAAAGUUUAGAGCACGUUGUCGGGCGUGUCAGUAAGCUUUGAUGAGCGAAGGCACCGUAGCCGCUGGGGCGUCGUUUUUUUUGCAGUCCGAUCAAUCUUGCCUGAACACCGUUCGUGCACUUUCUCCUUUUUAUGCCCAAAAGUUCAGAAAGAGGGUCGGCUCGGAAAGAGAAAGCGUUUUGAGAGGGUGUCAAGUGGCUUAGGUACUUGCGGCAGGUUGCGUGGUGGACGCGGAUAUCCUUCUCCCUGACAGAUCUGCGGCGCAUUUAUGGUGAGAUCAACAUGGGGACCCACAAGACCCGCGCCCAAGGCGGAUACUUGUCUGGAGGGCCCGGGUUAGCCCGACCCCCUACGCUUGGGGUCAGGCGAGGCGGAGACUUGCGGCGGGGGGUUGGACGCUCCUGACCCUAGACCUGCGGUCGGGCGAGGCGGAGCUUGGUCUUCCAGGGGUCGGGGGCGCCUUACCCCGGGAUGCGGGGUCGGGCGAGGCGGAGCGUAAUUCUUGCCUCCCAUGUUGGGCCGACGGCAAUCUUUGUUACCUUGGGUGGGCCUGGGCCUUUAUGUUUUGUUGUUUCCAUGGGCUUCGAGAGGUCGUUAAUAUUUCCCCCCAACACUAUGAGGAGGACUUGUGGGCAGAAAGUCAGCUACCACAAACUUGCCUCUGAAUAUUUGGAGUGCAAACAUUGGAUGGUGGUUGUGGAGAGCCCCAGCCAUACCUCGCACCCGUGGAGAGGUAAUUGUCGGAUUGCUUGGUUCGUCUCUAGAAUGCGACAAGGUCAGGCGCCACCUCUCACUGCUGCCAGUCAGAAGGCCGAGGGGCCAGUUUCAACAUAGUAAUGAGAAUCUCCGAAGGCCAAUAUGGUUAAGCAGCUAACCUCCAUGAUCAUAGACUUACGUUUAGAAAAUAGGAGGCUUAGCGAUGCGUUAACAGAGCAGAAGUUAGAAACAGAAGAACUUAAGGACGACUUCCGUGUCCUCCGCCUUGGUCUUUGUGCUAAGAUAAAGCGCUUGUACAAUGCCACGGGGAAUGACGGUCUCUACGAUGCAGCUCAAUAGACGUGCCCCUUGUAUCCUUUCCUUUAGGCACUUUAGAAUAUGUUUAUUUGUUUUCCUUCAUUUUAAUUUCCAAUAGAUUGUUAGCGCCUCCAAUUUAAUUUCAAUAAAGUGUAGACUCACCGGUCAUCCAACUUGAUGGAGUCCUUUUGUCACCUAGUUGUCUUUGGAAGAAGUAGCUGGGUACAAAAUAAGUGUGGGGGAGAGCCACAGACUCUCUAGAGCUGAAACAAUGCACAACACCCACAAAUAGAGAAAACCACGCUGCACCAGCACGUACGUGAAAGUGGAGCCAGAGCUGGACCCAUAGGGGUUUGGCCAACCCAAGGGGUGGCCCACUCGGGCCAUCUUCAUCCACCGCGUCGGUUUGUGUCUCUUUACCCCUGAUCUCCCUGAUUCAUGAGUUUGAAUGAAUUUUAAAUCUGAUCAACUAAUUCAAACUCAACUAAAAUGAAUCAACUGCUCCACCUGCUCUACAUGUUUUCUAUGGUUGGCUUGCAUAUGUUUUAUUUCAUGCUUAUCAUCUUGAUGCUUGUGAACAAAUAUCUUUAGGACAGCAUGCUCAUCUAAGUAGUUGAUGUGUAUGAUAUGGUUCGAUGAUAUGAUCUUCACUCUUAAUGCUUAAGUGCUUGGGAAAAUCUAUUUGAAAAUUUAAAAGCCUUUUUGAAAUCUCCUCUUUGAUGUGCCAAAGUCCUACCAAAGCCAUAUGAUAAGUUAUCUUGAAAAACCAUUUGCAUAUGUUGCUUGUCUUUGCAUUGAGCUUUGUCAAAUUGGUGUGACCCUUGUCACAAUUCUUUUCAUACUUUCAUGAUCAAGACUCAUGUGCACGCCAUAUACCCCUUGCUAUGCUUCUAUGAGAUGUUAGCAUUGUACCAUCCAUUCAUUCCACAAAAUAAAUGCUCCACCAUAUGUGUUGGUCUCCUUCUAAGAUUAUUGUUACAAAAGAGAUAUGGGCUAUCAAAAAAAAAUAUGAAUGUCCAAGAAAGUUGGACACAUGAAUGUCCAAUAAAAAGAAAAAGAAAGAUAGCCAUGUCCUCAGAAAUAUUUACAAAGGGAGAGAGAUCAUACAAAAAGGAGUUUCCAUUCCAUCCACCACAUCCAUACAUGUGCACAUCUUGAUCUGAUUGUAUGACUUAUUUUUCUCUUUGGAUCUGGUCUUUGACUUUGCAAUAUAUGUGAUGCAAGCAUGCCUUAUCCUUCAUAGCCUACCUUGAGCUCCACAUAUAGCCAUCAUUAGAAGUAGGAUGAAGAAAGGCAAGUCUAAUGCCUUGGUGAGGACAUAUACACAUUGAGUGAUCUGAGAGAAUCAAAUGAGGAGCUAAGCAAGGUUUUGUUUUGAAAACUAAUUGAAAAAUCCCAAGCUACUUGGCAUAAGGAGUUGAGGUGACUUGAUUCAAGACCAUUACAUUCCUCAACUACCCAAGAUGGCAUGAUAGACACUCCAAAGUUCACAAGUGCAGGUAUGGUUUGGAAUAUCUUUUAGGCUCGCUUCAUACCUUUGAAAGUUAUGUUUCACCUUAGUCCUUUCUCGUUCACUCAAGGAUAAGCAAAGGCUAAGUGUGGGGGUGUUGUUGAUGGCUCUUAAGUACAAAAUCUGCGCCAUCAACUCUUGCAUAAACACAUAAAAUAUGAGCAUCAACAAUAGUGGUAGGAGUUAUUACAAACGAAUUCCACAAGUCUUGGUGAAUAUUUGUAUGCAAGCCCAAUAGGAGAGAAAAGACACCUCAAAAGCAAGGAAACACACUCUCAACCAAUCAAGAGCAAGCACAUGGAACCAUGGGCCCACAACCAAAAGGAAAUCGACUACAUUCCAAACACCCUAUACCCACAUGAGAACCCAUAGGGCAGUGACCCAGAGCAAAGGUGAUGCCAGAGUGUAGAUGGUAGUUAGCAUGCCAAAUUUUGAACCGCAAGCGCUCGGAUUAGUUGUUUCUUUUCCCUUAGAGAUUCCCCCAAGGUUUAUCAAUCCAUGGAACAAGGGAUUUGCACGUUUCACUAAGCACUAAUCAAUGUAAUUGAAAGCUUUUCGAAUAAGAUAUGAUUAUGCUAACAAAGGAACUAAGCAAUCUAGAUUAAGAUGGAUAGAGAGUACAGGUUGUGAACAAGAUAGAUUAAACGCUUGUAGAUGCAAUCACCAUGCAUGAAUGAAUUAGAUCUAGGUGUUAUUGUGAGUGGUUGUGAACCAUGCCCAACACUUUCCCACCCGCAACAUUGUCACUACAUGUGGGUACUCAACUAUCGGAACAUAAGAACACAUCAAGAUGAUCAUUCUAGGUAAGCAAAUAAGCAACCCAAAGUAGCGCUGGCCAGCCUUUUCAUGAAAGAGCAUCAUCAAGAUAAGAUUGAUAACAAAAUAGAUCUCAACCAAAGGUUCAGCGAUUACAAAUCAAGAUCUUCGUAUAACCCCGAUGACAAAUAGAGGUAUUACCCCCAUGAUCUUACACAUGUUGAUGAAUUUUAGGGUAAAGGACACCCUGUAGAUCAACUGGACCAAAGAUGAUGAUGAACGGGGGCAGGGAAGGCCCAGGUUGAUCAGCCUGCGCACUUUUGAGCCGAUCAGCUCAGGGGGUUUCCUCCUCCCCUGGUGCUCCUCUUCGCGUGGCCUCCUCUGGAUCCAAUCUUCUCUUCAUUUCUCCUACUUGUGGCGGCAAUGGAUGGUGUUUGCAUGGUGAUUUCCUCUUCUCCCCAACUCUCCCUCCUUGAAGUCCAUGAGGGGGUAUUAAUAGUCUCCAAUAGGCGGCAGCUCUGGGUCAAUGUCAGUGAAAAAAUCCUAGAGAUCAUCGUACACUUCAUGCUGAGGAAACAAGAGGUUGACCGAGCCCUGGGAUAGACCAAGAGGAUCAUCCUAGAGGGUCCCAGGCUAAUCGGUCUAGGCCCUUCCUAGCCCUUCUAGUCCUCUCCUUCCUCGUGCUGGCUUUUCUCGAUGACCCUUGUCCAAAUAUCCAUGAAGCUCUAUAUACAUACCCCCUUGAUUAUGUUGUAUUUCCUGUCAAAAUACAAUGCUCCAAAAUACAACACAUAUGCAAUAAUAGGGUUAUUUCAGGUGCCAAUUGGUGGGUUAGUAUACGAAUAAGCAUGAAAAUACUGUUUAAAUGACACUAAAAGUGUGUCAAUAACGAGCACCAACAAUCCCCCCACGCUUAGAUCUUGCUCGUCCUCGAGCAAGUCUAGCGACUAAAAGAUCUUGAAUUAAACCUGAGCAAGCGAGUCAAGUACCUAGCCUUGAAACAAAAGAUUAGAGGAGCAGCAAAGAUAAUCAAAGUCUGGGUGUUCAAAGAUUUAUCUAAGCAAAGAUUCCCCUACAACUAUUAUUCAGAACCAAGUAACUUCAAAAAUCAACUACACUUAUUUUCUGGCUUUUUUCAGAGGGUUUUUCUUUCAUCAUAAAACAAUCUCCCUGCAACAAAAUUGAAAAAAGAAUUAUUUUCAAGGUGCUUACAUGUCGCUUAAAUGAAUGUUGGCUAUCCUACUUAUUUGCAAGCUCUCAUCUCUCAAAAUUCAUUCAAUUAUAUGGUGGAGUUUGGGUAAGGUUAGCUAGAAUCAACACGUAUAUUAUUGAAUUAAGAAAACCCUCUAACGGUGGCCUACCUUCCGAGCCAUUGAUCAUAAGAAUAUCCACAUAAUGUGAAGUUUUCAAGGAUGAGAAGAUAUAGAAUGGUGGACAUGUGCAAAGGCAAAGAAAUAUAGUGACUCUGAGGCACAAGCAAUGUCCUCGUCGUUGGAUUGCAUAUGGUUGUAAUGAAAAUAUGUUCCUUAAACAAGUCUAUCUUUUCUUUGCACCACUCUUGAUCUUCAUGACAGUAAAAACUCCUCCUUUAUUUCUUUCUCUCUUUUCCUAUUAUUUCUUUUUAUUUGUCUCAAUACUUUUAUUUCUUUAUUUCUUUAUUUUAAUCUCUUCUCUGAACCUCUUCUGAACACCACAUAAUAAAAAUAAGUUUUAGAUCCUUCCAGAGACCUUCCAGGAAUUUGCUACAUGAAAACCGAGGCAAGGAGACCCCAGGCCGAUUGGCCUAGCCACUCCUUUGCUCUCCUCUAGCUCUUCUUUCUGGUGAAGCUUCCUUAUCUUGUAUCUUUCCAAAAAUUUCAUAAAGCUCGACUAGAAACGGAACAGAUCUUCAUAUAAUGAGUUGUGUUCAAGGAAUUGGUAAUAAAAUUGAGAAAUUUGUGGUUCGGGUUUACGAAUUCAGUACAAAAAUAUGAUUGUUCCAAUGAAGAACUCUCAUUACUGAAUAUUGACGAGGCAAGCAUUCAAAGAUGGUAAAAAGGAUAUGAUCAAUUCUCAAAAUUAAAGCAAACCAAGAGAGAGCGAUCCUAAUUCAAUUCAAAGUGUCAAAUGUUGCUUAUGGUGGUAUGAAUAAAUAUUUUUAGGCAUUGGGUAGGAUAAAUAAAAACUCUCAACCUGGUUAAAAGAUAUUGAUCAAUCUUGUUUUUGCAGAGGUUUUAAAUAAAAAAUAAAAUUUUAAAUCACCUCCAAUUCAAAGCCUUACUCAUAAAUCAUAAUCAAAACUGAAGCACUUGAUCAUCAUAAAGCAUGGGUAUUGCAUAAACAAAUCGAUUACUAAAACUCCACAACUACGAUUUAGAAUUCAAGACAAUGCUCAUAAUCUAAAGUUGCAAAGAUAAAAUAAAAGACAACCAAGCCAAGGUAGACACUAAAAACACUUGCACGAUCCUUGAAUUUUAUUCAUGCUUCUUCUCACAAAGACGCUAAAGUAGCCAUGUAGGCCUAAGUCUUCCCAAAAGCUUAAGAAAACUACUACUUUAUCUACUUUUGGUUGAAAUAAAAAGACUAAUCUAGACUCUCACAUGAUUCGACUCGACCAAAUUAGAUCCAAAAACUCAUACGAGCGACGAUCUCCCCCCCCUCACGCUUAAAAUCUACGACCUCCUCGUCGUAGCCAUAUGGAGUACAAGGAAAAGAAGCUUGUAAACGCUCUAAUGACGCUACCCGCACUACUUGCACACGGGAUGGUUGCUGCUUCCUUCGCUUUGUUCUUCCUCAUGUUGCUGCACAUCCCGAAGAGCUUCCUCACGUUCCUCUGCAAGAACUUGAACUCGUCCUCCUGACGGCGAUCAUUAUCUUCUGCCUUUUGAUCCAGAGCUUGUAAGGCUUGCAUGAUGUCAUCGAACGCAUCGAAGAGGUAGUGGAUGUUCUUCCUGCAAGCUGUGGAACAUGUACGAUCAUGCUCCUCCGAUUCUGGCCCGUCGUCUUCUAGAUCCUUCUCUUUGCCCUUGUCUUGACGGUGGCUAUCUUGCUCCUUGCUCGCCUUCUUGCCUUCAGCCCAAUCCCAGUACGUGUUGUCAUCUUCUUCAUCGUCACGGCCUGCAGCACCCUAUGAUCCAUUGUCUAUCUUGUAUGAAAGAAUCAGAAGCUUGUUCUCCUCAGGGUGUCUUGCGCGGUGCAGCGUUUGCAAGUGCAAGACUUGCUAGUUCCUUUUACACAUUGUAAUGUUCAUUGCAUGCUCUAAUUGUUCUACAUUUGUAAUUUCUUGGUGAAGUUUGGUUACUGAUCCACUGUUUGAUUAACUCUUGGGCCCAAACACUGUACUACUUCUGAUUAGAUAUCUGUAUCUUGACUUUGACCAAAAAAAAUAUCCGGCAGUUUUUGCCAUUAAAGUUUCAUAAAUCAUCUUGCAAAAAUCGUACUAUACAACAAGGGACGGUUUAUUAUAAAAUAUACGUUCCCCUUAUCACAUGCCACUUCCACUCAAAAGGCAACGAAUCAGUUUUCAAUCCUGAGUGAGCAAUUUGCUUUUAUUACCGAUGCCUCCUAUUCCCUUGUGCACCAAGUUUAUUUUGGAUAGGGCUGCAAAAAACGACUAACCAGCUCGGAUUCUCCACCUGCAAAACCGCAUCUGCAGCAACCAACCCCACGCGGUGGAAAAAAAAACAAAACCUAGAAACCGGACGGGGGUGGAUGUGGGGCUCGGAGCCCAAGCAAAAAACGGAUCGGGAGCGCCGGAGCAGGCCAUCACCGGAUGUUAGAGAUAGAAAAUGGUUGAAGUUUGGAGUGGAAAUCAAACAAGCCUUGGAGCAAAGGAAAAAAAAAGAUCAAACCACUCAAGCAUUCAUUUGAUUUAGAAAAGAGAACAUUUGUUAAGGUGGGGAGUUGAAAUCAUCUUUUAAUUAGUUCCACGUAUCUGGUAUCAUUACAGUUGGUUUACUUGUGUAAGUAUAAGUAGCUCUGCCGAAGCCUUUGCUCCUAUAAUUUAGUAACUAGUACAAAUGGAUCAAUAGGAAAAUCAAGUUGCAAUCAUUUCUCAGCCAACCAAACCUAUGUAAAUCAAAUUAUUGUCCAUGCCCGGCAUGCACAGGUGCCUGCCAUGCAUGCAUUGUUGCUCCAUUGUAAUAACCAUUAUUGUCCAUCGAUGUUGCAGCGCAUGUGUGCACUGUGCAGACACCAAGCAUCGAGAUUAUGUACUAGUAAGGUGUUGAAAUAAUGGGCCUAGCCCAUAAGUAAUUUCAGAAUUUCAAAUAAAUCUCAAAGGCCCAUGUGGGCAAGAGGUGGAGUGGUGCAAGUCUUUAGUCCCACAUUGCUAGUCGAGGGGAGGGAUGACCAACUUAAAUAUGGAAGUUGUCUCCACUCCUCCAAGCUAUGUGUGAAGGGCGCGGGCGCGAGGCACUUGCGUGAAUGGUCCGCCGAAAUCUGGCCCCCCUUGCGGGGGCGCGGCUUCCUUUUGCCGUUUUAUUUUUUGGUUACUUGGUCGUUAAGUCAUGGAAUCCUAACCGGUUUAGAUCACGAUCGUGAAGGUUUUUGGGAAGCGCUCUGCGCGACUGCUCGAUCGCUUCUUCCGCUUCGUCAAGUUCUUCGUCGACUCCUUCACCACGGCUCGUCUACCUCUUCGUCGCUCGGGCCUCACUCGUCGUCGCGAACAACGUCAGGCUGCUGAUCGUCGUCGCCUGCUGUAUCCGGUAGUCGUCCAGGAGCCGGUUUUCAUCAAGAAAGAAACGUACGGUCUCUUAACUCACAUUAUGUCUUCCAUACUAGCUAUUAUGAUUGUUGCAGUCUGAUAGCUCUGGAUAGUAUGGUAGAAUGUCUGAUUCUAUUUGCAAUGAUAGACUUGUCUAGAUCUUGCGUAGACAUGUCUAGUUUAAUCUGCUGCUUGUUCAUCAUAUUCAUGAUUUAUUUCUGGAUUAAGUUAAAACUAAAAGUGCUUAUAUAUCCAACAUAAGGUACCAAGAACACGUGAAGCACCCGGGGGAGGCUGCUCCACUCCGCAUGCACAGGUGGGCACGGCACCACUACUCGUCUCCUUCAGGCUGAGGAUAAGUGAUGUACGCUGAUCAACAGACCACGACGGAACCAGCAAUAAUAGUUUCAGCCUGCCUCACAGUAAUUAAUAUAUCCUGUAUCCUCCGAGGACCCCUCCCCUUAAUCUUGGCCUAUUGCAUCCAAUAAUGAUAUGUGUGUUUAUCCAAAUUUACGGCACCUUUGGCGGGGGUUCCACCCAGCUCCGCCCUCUCCACCUUCGGUACUCCAUGGGAAACCAUUCCUUUGGAAUCAAGGAAGCUUGAACAGUAUAACGAAUAAAGUUUCAUAUAUCCAUUUGAUUUCACAUGAAAUAAAAUAUUCUGUCAGAACCAAUGGUUUCACUGAAGCUCCAGGCAGCGAGCGAAGGGGUGAGAGAGGAUAACGCUUACUGUGUGUUACCAUCGCGUGCACCAUGGAUGACCAACGCGCAGCCGAGAUGAAACGGCGGACCUAAACAGGUCCUCGCUAUUUUUGCAGGUUCUCGACCAGGCCAGUUCUUUAGGCCAACCUAUCAUUCACGAGUUAAACAUACGGUGGCUGGAGAAAUGUUCUAUUCUUUUAAACAAUACCAGCUGGUUCCUCCGUUUUUAUUCCACCAAUACAAGCACCACCUUGUAACAUUUCCUAUGUUUUUUUUCCUUUCGUCUGUUUUCUCACUACAUGCGUUGCUCUUUCAUGCAUUUUUUUCCAUUCCUGUAUUCCAAAUAGGUCUACAUGAACACAAAAUGAACUAGGGGACAGAAAAAGCCAGUGAAGUUAGUUUUGAGCUUCACCAGCUACUUGCUACAUAAAGUGUGCUAUAGUCGCAGAAAAGCUAAGCUGGAUCAGACGUGGCCGAAACAAUGCCAAAGAGCUAGGUCCCUAGCUGAUGGCAACACAUCAGAUGACUAGCCUGCUUUUCUGUAAUAAUGAUAUUGAGCAAUACACUGCAUGGCUAACCUGCUUUACAAUAAUUGUCAUUUUAUAAUAUUGGUCAUCACGAGAGAUGCACAUUGCAUACACCGGCCCAUCCCUAUAAAUAGCCAAGCCUUUCAGCCAUCUUGGGCACCUCCUCUCAGGGCCUCGUCUCACCAUCAGACAUCUCGUUCCCAGUUAUAAUUUGCGAGGUUAGAUCAGGCUGCGCCAUGGCGUCCGCAACUGCUGUCAAGAUCGUCGCCACCUUCAUGCUGGUGCUGACCAUGGGCCACCUGAUGGCCGAAGCAUCACCGCAGCCUCGGCGUGUGCUUGCAGAAACGGAGCAUGCUGCGGUGUCCGGGAAUCCUGGCCUCCCAGGUGAUGCUAGCGUCAUGCAGGUCCUCGAACCCGCCCUAGUUUCUCGGCUUGCCUGCAAACCAGAGUGCACAGUCCCUUGGCCUCCUUUUGUAUGUAUCUGCUAGAUCCUCUUCCUGGCUCAACGGAACUUCAGGGAAAUGGCUGUGACGUCGGCCAAAGAAUAAAUUGGAUGAACAUAAUAUACCCCGGGUAGUGUAGCUUGGGCUUUUGUUGAGCGUCUGGUGCUAGUUGUAUUUUGUUUGCUCAUGUGGCUUUGCUUCUGGUUGCAUAUUGGCUUUCCUAUCGCUCUCUGUUGCAGCUAUGGUUUCUGCCAGGUGUGUGUUAAUGCGGUUUGUAAGCGGUGCUUGUUCCUACCUUCUGUUUUCAAUAAAAGAAGUCGGAGUCUCCCUCCGACUCUUGUUAUCAGUCAACAAAAAUGAGUUGUAUCAUAUAUAUCUGCGUCUUUUUUCUACGUAUCUUUGGGCUGCUUCAGCUGGAAGUUUAUCGUAAGUACGUGUAUCAGGAUGAUCGUUUGAAUUAAAACGAAAUGAUAAUGUGUGGCUGCUAGAAAUGGAAUGAGCAUCUUACUAUAUUACUAAUUGGAAGCCUCCACGUGAAGCCACCUAGAAAUUCUAGGUGGACGUUUUAAAAAAAACAAAACUCAUAGAAGCCUCCACCACCUAGGAAUCCUAGGUGGACACUCUAAAAAGAGACAAAUCCUAGAAAUUCUAAAAAAAGAAAAAAAUAAUAACAAUAAGAUUUUUUUGCAGUCAAUUACAUAUAUUUUUUUGAGACACCGUGCUGCUAGCUCUUGCCAUUGCGACCAGUAAAGCAAGCAGAUAGUAAGAUGACAUGCGUGUGGAUUGAUUAAAACAAAUUCAGUUAGUUGAUUCUAAAUCGUAUGUAUCCUAAAAGGAAGAUAUGUGCGUGCAUGGUCCCUAGCGAUGACAUGUAGACAUGUAUUGCAAUUUCUUUUUUAAAAAACAUGUCUAUCUCUAAACCAACAAACAGAAAAAAUAUCAAUCUAAAUCUAAAUCUCUUCCGUUCUCACACGCCUAUUAAAGAGAAGACAACCAAUCCCAUCCAUGUUCCAUAGAAUCCAUCUAAAAGCUUGCUCACUGCGGACGGCAUUUGACGGCAAAUCAAUGAAAGAUCAUCCUCUCCAAAUAGCUGGACGGCAUCACCAUCUUUAUCUCACCAACCUACAGAGCUACAACGAUGUUGUAGAGAUCAACUAGGUAACCUACCAAUCACCCUCCCCUUUUCUAUAUGCUCUAAAGAACACGUGGAGUAAUUAUAGGCCUAUAGGAGCCGACUAACCUAGAUUAAUAUGAAAAAUAUUCCAAUAUUAAAAGCAAGCAGAUAGUAAUACUUGCCUUUGACCAUUUUUCUAGAACUGUUAUUCCUAUUGAAUGUUCAAGUGCUACGGCCAGGCAUCGAAUGCCUGCACGGAACCUUCCUAUUGAAUGGUUACUCUAGAGAUCAACGCACCGCGAGACAUUUUUAUGGAAUUUGUUUGAUUCCCCUUCUACAAUUAGAUUAAUUUUUCAUGGCAUAUAUUACUACUAUUAAAUUAUUUGUUUAUUGUCGGGCCUGCUGCAUGUGUGGUAUAUAUGACUUGCUUCUCACCAUUGUUCUCAAACUAUUAUUCCUAUCGAAUCUUUCUAUCGAAAUAUAUUUUAAUUACUUGAUUGUUGUUUGUGUACCAUAACUUCUGUAUAGAAAAAUUCCAUGUUUGUAGAUAAUGUCUUUUGUAUAGAAAAAUAGCCCAAUUAGAUCCAUCACCAUCUUUUGCUUAUGUAGUUGAACAAGUUGCAAUGUUGAACAAAACUUUAAGUGAAAUUAGACCAGGAAAAGGAAUUGUGGAACAUUAAGGCAAGGGUAACCAGAUUGUGGAAUGCAACCUUACUCAGUAGUGGCGAACAAUUAAGUCUUGACAUGAUCCUUAUUGAUCAAAAGGUAUGAUAGAUGUUCACUUUGAUUGCAUUAUUGGUAUAAUUUUUGGUUUACAAAUUAUUAAUGAUGAUGCAAAAUUAGGGAACCAUGAUCCACGGUGUUAUCAAUAAGCCCUAUAUGAAAAAGUUCAAACCAUUGAUUGAAGAAGGCAAUGUGUACAUAAUUGCAAAUGUCAGAAUCACACCAGAACCACAGAAGUAUCGGCCAGUGGAAAAUGACAGGAUAGUCAACUUCUUACCCACAACUGCACUAAAAACGAUCAAAGAUACUGAAGACAUUCCAAAGUAUAGUUUUAACUUCAUGAGCACGGAUAUGCUUUCAGCAAGAAUAAAUGUGGACAUGUACCUAUUAGGUAAAACAUUACUGGCUUUUCAAUUUUUACACUUCCACUCAUUAAAUGACCAUCUAAUAAUAAUACAUAUUUAUGUUUCAUAGAUGUUAUAGGUAUCUCAGCUCACAUUGGACCGAUAGAAGAAACAAGGACAAACUUCGGAUUUACUAAAAUCCGUGAUAUUGUGCUCCUGAUCGAGUAAUUCUCUUUUCUUUUGUAGAAAACAACUACAAAACUUUCAACAUUUACAUGUAUGUUAUAGAACUUCUGUUGAACUAAAAAAUAUCUUCUACAGUGCCCCUACAAAUAAUUAAUUUCGUAGUUGGAUAUUUAAAAUAUUUAUUAUUCACUUUUAAAUUUGUGGCCAUGAAGUUAAAGUUAGAUUUUGGGGAGACAAAGUUGAGGAAGUUGAUGAUAAGACAAAAUCCCAUGUCAUUGCAAUAACAUCUACAACUGUGAGUAAAUUUGGCAGUAAGUCUUCAUUCAAUAUGAGUUAUUCAAUAUUAGUCAUUCAACAAACUAACCUCGUAAGAAAAAUAAAUAAUUGAUGUUUUAUCAGGGUAUUCUCUAUCGUCAACCAAUGCAACAAAACUUUAUGUAGAUCUACCUAUUCCUGAAACUAAGGAUGCACAUGAUAGGUGAGAAAAAUUAGAUAUUGUUUUUCUAUUUUAAUCUAUGUAGCAUGCACUCUAACAUGAUACAUUCUUUCAUAUGAUAAAAAAAUGUUAGUUCAAUUGAAAAUAUUGUCAAAGAGAUUCAUAUUGAGGACCAUCUAAAAGGGACAUUGGAAGACCAAAUGCAGUACAAUAGAAGAACUUUAGAAGAAUUAAAUUUCAUAUUAUUUGAAACAUCAAAUCAGGUAUGGAUUAGUAUGUUCAUUGUACACUAUACUAUUUAAAGACUUACAUACAUAAUGAUGGUAUUGUUCCUACUUUCAGGAUGAGGUAUUUACUAUUGAAGCAACAAUAAAUGAAAUUAAUGCAACAUAUGGUUGGUUGUCACACCCGAUUUUAAGGACAAAAUUGAGUGCAUUAAAUACAUGUGCACCAGGAUCAAGUUACACACAUCCUAUGAGUACCGUCCUUCUUUGGCACAAAGAUAACCGGUGCUCCCCAUGGUGAUGAACUAGGCCGAAUAAACUAUUUUGCUGAUAAUUCCUCUAGUUGUUGUUUCAAUUCUUUUAAUUGUUCAACCAACAUUCUAUAAGGACGUUUGGAGAUAGGUGCAGUACCAGGUAAAAGAUCAAUAGCAAAUUCAAUGUCGCGGUCAGGUGGCAUACCUGGUAAAUCGUCGGGGAACACAUCCGGAUAGUCACACACCACUUUGAUAUCUUCCAAGGAUUUUCCAGCCAACUGAUUAACUGCACAAUCUGCUGCUGAGGGUAGAGUAGCUACAAACUCCACUUUCUCUCCAUCAGGACCUGUUAGCAGAACUGUCCUCUUGGCACACUGAAUCGUUGCAUCAAAAGCGGCUAACCACCUCAUCCCCAGAAUUACAUCGAUUCCACUGGACUCAAGGACGAUAAGAUCAGCCGGAAACUCUAUACCCAUUAUUCUCAGUUUAACUUGUGGACAGAUGUAUUGAGCCUUCAUUGACCCCCCAGGUGAACUCACUAGCAUAUGACGCCUCAUGGUAUGCAUGGGUAAAUUAUGCUUUGCUACAUAAUGACUAGUGACAAAAGAAUGCGAUGCUCCAGAGUCAAAUAAAACUGAUGCGGGGGCAGAGUUGACAAAGAACAUACCAAGCACUACAUCUGGAGCCUCCUUAGCAGUCUCGGCUUCCAUGUGGUUCACCUUGCCACAAACAAAGCUUUGCUGCCCCUGAUUGCCUUGUGGGGUCUGGUUCCCAUUCCUCGGUUGCUGCAUCUGAUUCUGCCGAGGAGCACUGCUGUUCUGCACGGGGGUAGCUGGCCCACCUCUCUUAGGACAAGAGCUGGCAUAGUGACCAACCUCGCCACACUUGAAGCAGGUAGGACCCACUGGAGCAUUGGGCCUUGUUGGAGUGCCAGUAGGGGUCAUCUGGCGGUUCUGCGUAAAGCUUGGGCGCGGAGUCUGCAUAGUCUGCAUCCCUGGAUGCUGGAACUGAGGGCUAGGGCGCUGGAAUGACUGCUGAGCAGGGCGCGGAAAUGAGUGCUGCCAAAAAUUCCCACUCGGGCCCCCUGCGCGGAACGGCGUCCCUUGCUGUGGAGCAAAGCGAGGGCGGGUGUUGCUUCCUGAAGACUACUGGGAAUUGAAUUUCCUCUUCAUCUCCCCGAGCUCGUUCCUCUUGUGUUCCAGGCCAAUUGCCUUGUCUAGCAUCUUCUGGAAACUGGGGAAGGUGUGCGACAUAAGCUGAUAUUGGAGUGGUCCAAUCAACCCAUCCAAGAAUAGCUCCUGCUUCUGCUCAUCAUCAGCAACAUCUUCGGGAGCAUAUCGGGACAACUGGACAAACUUGUCCCUGUACUCUGCCACUGUCAUGUUCCCCUGCUUGAGAGCAAGGAACUCCUUCUUCUUAAGCUUCAUCAAUCCGGAAGGAAUAUGAUGACUUCUGAAGCUAGUCCUGAAUUCAUCCCAGGUGAUGCCAUUAGCAUUGGCAUGGGUGGUGGUGUAAGCAUCCCACCAAUCAGCAGCUGGCCCUUCCAGGCGUCCUGAAGCAUACAGGACCUUCUCCCUGUCAGUACAUUGGGCGAUAUCCAGCAUCUUCUCCACUGUUUUCAGCCAAUCAUCAGCAUCUAAUGGAUCCGGAGAAUGUGAAAACGUCGGGGGCUUGUGGCUCAUGAACUCCCUAUGCCUGUCCCUUGGCGGCGGCUGCUGCUGGUUGUUGUUGUUGUUAUUGUUCAGCUGAGCUUGUAAAGCUGCCACGGUGUUGGUCAGUCCGGCGAGAAGCUGAGUCUGAGCUGCUAGAAACUGCUCCAUCCCUGCAGGUGCUUGUUGGUUCUGUUGCGGAGCGGUGUUGGGAUUGCUGCUGUUGUCCCUGUGGCGUGGCACUGUGGGACGGUCAACUCCUGAUCCGGACCUGGUGUUUACCAUCUGAGCGUUAGAGACAAUGGAUUUAGAUAGAUGUGUGAAAGAAUAACUGAGAAAGAUAAAGCGACCAGAUGUAAAAGUAACACAGAUUCUGUUAGCUCCAUUUAAUUAGGUGUGGUCGUCAGAAGAAGUGUCCAUAAAUUCUGAACAAUUACCAAGUCGUAACUUAUUAAAUUUGUAAACCAACCCAACUGGAAUCAUCUCAAUCGGACUUCUGGAUCUCGAGUUACAAAAUUAACAAGCUGACAGUGUCGGUCGAUAGGUUCAGAUUCUGAGUGCUUUACUAAUUCGCAUACACCUCCCAGACAGAUACACCAAAAAUUCUGAAAAAUUUACAGAUAGUACUCCACGAAAUUCUGAAACUAACCCCACUGGUUUCAUGUCAUUUGGACUUCUGUAGCUAGAGAUAUAAAUAAAAAAGUACUGGCGUGUCAGUUAAUGUCGAGAACAGAAUUGAAUGUCGCUUAGCUUGCGUGAUGGAUAGAUUUAGACAGAUGGUAGAUCAUGAUUAAGGAAGAUUAAAUACUGAUUUAGAACAGAAAUAAAACCCAACUAAGCACUUUAUUUAUUAAGACCAGUAUCGUGUGGCAAUUGCCCCACAUACCGCACUCAUUACAAAAUCCAACUCAAACAUGUAGCACAAAACCAAUCAUCUAAGCACACUUUAACUAACACACUCGAACGACGUCUAACGAUUACAAGAAUUUAAACUAAAACACUCCUAAUUUCCUAGAGGUCUUCUGCGGCGGUGCCGGGCGAGUCGUAGCGGGGACGCUUAGGCGACGGCGACGAAGCGGGAUGAACAGCAAACUCCUGCGGCGGCGGUGCUCCCGUCGCGGCAGCCAUAUUCGCAUCCCUCUCCCACCGGAGUUCCUGAACCUCCUGUUGAAGCUCCUGGAUGUGGUUGUUUGCUUCAUUCAAUGCGGUGAGAGCUGCCGACGUGUACUUGCGGAGGAAGUCUGUAGCCAUGUCAACCCCAUCGUUAGUAGCGAUGAAGGUUCUUGCUUCCCCACUAGCUCGGUAAGGAAGGAACCGAUGGUAAGUGUGCUGCAAUCGCGGCCGUUCCUUGUGGGAGACGACCUCAAGUGCCCUCCUGGCGGCCUCGGCAAUGCCGGAUUCCAUGGUCCUCCUUAUGGUCACAUCAUGGUGAAAAGCCUUCACCUCCCAUCCUCCCUCGUGCUCCUCACGAAGGACAACCUUCACCUCCCAAAAAGUGGGAUAGCGAGGGUGGGUGAACCGGGAGCACUUGUAGAGUGGCCUCAUGCCGUACCCCAAGCGGUGACAAGUCCACCUGAGUAUGUCGGCCAUGUGCACUCCUUGGCCAUAAUCUUCCUUCACCCAUUUGAUCCAUGUCUCGGGCUCGGGAUCUGCUUCGGGCUCAUCAUCCGUCAAGUCGACGACCGGUACGGGCGUCGGGGCUGGUGCAGGAGCGGGCGCCGGUGCUGGCGACGGUGCUGGUGACGGCGUGGUCUCCUGCUCCACGGUCACGGCGUCCCCGUCAGAGUCAUCCCCCGGAUGCUGGAAGAUCUCUUCCUCUUCUUCCUCGUCCCAAGGCUCCAUGGGGGCGUACGACGGCGCGAUGCCAUGACGCGGCGGACGGGUGCUCUUGCGUGCGGUCAACCGGGUGCGAGCCAUCUAACAGAAAGAAAGAAGAAAAUUUUAGAAUAAAAUUUUGAACAAAGCUAGAUAAUAAAAUAGCAAUAAGGAUGAGACAAAUCAAGUUUAAGAAUAAUUAAGUAGAUUUAAAUUAAGAAAGGUAGGAAUGGCUACUAGAUUAUUAUAAUCCUUAAAUACGACCAUUUUCUAACUAGGCUAACGUCCUACAGUCAACACGGCUCUGGUACCACUUUUGUCACACCCGAUUUUAAGGACAAAAUCGAGUGCAUUAAAUACAUGUGCGCCAGGAUCAAGUUACACACAUGUACGACAAUAGUGAAUAGUAAAGCCAGUGCUAAAUCGAAUAAAGAGAGUAUUAACCAUUAUUACAUGACCGAAUGUCUCAAAUAAACCACAAAGUCUAAUUAUUACGCAGCGGAACUCCAAAGAUGACGACGACUCCAUAGGCAGCUGACUGAAGAAACGUACGCCUAGAACUCCUCGAAGUCGUGGAAGUACUCCUCUUCCCAAUUAACUUGGUCUGAACAGCGGUUUUGCAAGGGUGAGUACACUUAUGGUUGGUACUCAACAAGUCGUGGGAAGUAGUGUAGUGUAAGGCUAAUUCAAGGUAUGGCUAAGGCGUAAAUAGCAUUCGCUUUUAAUUAAGUUGGUCAAAUUUUAUUAGCAUUUACUAAGUAUAAGUUCAUACCACCCGAAAUUAAACAUGAACAUAAAGUAAACCACAUGUGCAUGAAAUGAUAACAAAUUAAAUCCAUCUUCCGAUAAUAUUAUCAUGUGAGGGUCCAGGCCGCUCUUAACCGUGAGCACGGCUGAUUGAUCAGUUUAACACUCUGCAGAGGUGGCACAUCUUUACCCACAAGUCGCGUAAAAGUUCAAAAGAACUUUGGACCCAACCAUGCGGUGUUUGCAAGGCACCAUACCACACUUCCGAGGUGUGAUUGCAUAGGGACGCUACGAGGCCUUUACAAAGAUUCAUUAAUCAGUGGUAACCCGCUAAGGUUUCGGUGUCUGGCGUGCACCACCCAUCCCAGGUAAAAUGCAACGACUCAGUCCCCCCCCUUGAAUCAUCACGAGUAAGGUCACCCCAGACUAAGGUUUCUAAUUAAUCAGCCAAGACCAGAGCUAUUUAGUCUUGUGGUAGCACUGUUUUCCUGGGUGGUCGCUCCAUGUUCUGAUUAACAAAUAAUGAUCUUGUCUUAAUGAAAGGUAUAACAGAAAUAAGGCAAGAUUAAGCAUUGUUUUUAGUUAAACCACCAUGUACCAAGUAAGCACUAAGCAUGAGCUACCCAACAUAAAGUAAACCGGUUGGUCAAGGCAAAGGUAAAACAAUCUAGGCCAACCUUAAUUGGGACCCAUCAAUUUAAUCUUAAUAUGUGCACAGCAUAAAUGUUGAGUACGAGAAAGUAAAGGUGUAUAGGACAAAAAGGUAGUGAUCAAGGACACGACUUGCCUUCUUGGCCUUGCUCCUGCUGUUCGUACUCCUCGAAGGCUUGAUCGGCAACUCCCUCGAACUGCGGGGCGUCUACACGCAUCACACGAGCACAUACAAGCAAACAUGGGCAAAAGUAAGAAAACAGUAUACCAAACAUAGUCAAACAGAGAAAACAAGCUUGAAAAGAUGAUCUACGCUUUAAAACGAACACGCGGAUAUAAAGAACGCGAAAAACGGAGUUAAGAUGCAAAAGAUAUGAUUAAAACAAAAUCCAGGGACUUUUCUGUAAGAAAAACAAAACUUUUAGGGCCUAUCCGCGAAAACCGAGGGCUUAUACGUAAUUAUGCGUAUAAACCGAGGGUCUGAUGCGUAAAAACAUCAAACCCGGACGGCGGGUUGAUUUCUGGAAAGGUCAAGGGUUAAACCGAAAAAUGCGAGGGCAGAUCUGUAAAUACUUUCAACGCGAUCUGGACCGCGGGUUGAUUUGCGAAAAAGGCGGGGGCUAAAGUGCAAAAACUGCACGGCGCGGCUCGGUUGACCGGUACGCGAUCUUGAUUGACUCGCGUCCGGCCGUCGGAUUAAGAUCCGACGGUCGCGGUGAUCCGCGACAUCGCGGCGGCGGCGGCGAGCGGCGGCGAGCGGCGGCAAGCGGCGGCGGGUCGCCGGAGUUAGGCAAAAUAGCGCCACGAGGCACGGUUUAACGCGCGGGUUGCACCAAAAAAGAGAGGGGAACACGUCGAUCCCGUUUUGGGGGUUCUUGUCGACGGGGGCUCACCGGCGACGGCGAACGGCGGCGAGGAAGAGGCGGCGGCGCUAGGAGCUCGGGCGGCUAGGGUUUCGGGGAGCUGCGGCGCUGGUUUUGGGCGGAGGAGACUGGGAGGAGGCGGCGGCUUUUAUAGGGCUUGGAGAUAGAGCCGGCGCGGGUUCAAAUCCCCCGGAGGAGUCGGAGCGGAUGGAGUCCGGGGCGGAGACGGCGCGCGGCGGUUGCGGAGUUCUGACCGGAUUCGGCCGGAGGUGGGAGACGAUGGGUGGGGUCCACCCGUCAGUGGCGGAGGGGAGCGGUAGACGGGCCGGCGCGACCGUGGGCUGGCGCGCGCUCGUGGGCUGCGGGGAGCGGGAGAGAAGCGGCGAGCGGGCGCUGGCGGAGCAGGCCGAGCGGAGGUAGAGCUGGGCCGCGGAGAAAAAGGAGGAGGCCGGCGGGCUGCUUCGCAGGCCGGUAAGGAUGAGGCGGCCGGGCCGAAGAAGAAAAAGAAAAGGAGGGACAAGGAGCUUUCGGCCGAGGGAAAAGAAGAAGAAAAAGAAAAGGAAGAAGAAAAGGGAAAAGGUUUUGGAAUUUGAAUUUAAAUCUGAAAUUCAAAAUUUGAUUCAAACUCAAGCAACCAAAAAUUAUGCUCCAGCAUGAAUGCACAAAUAAUUCCUAUGAUGAAUUAAUUGAAUUAAAGAAAAUGAAUUUAAAUGCCUAGAAAUUAAAUAACACCCUAAUUUGAGCAAAUUUUAAUGAAUUUGAAUUAUUGAAAUUUUGGGUGUUACAUUGGUACUACAUCUCAUGUAGUAGAGGCGAUUGUAAGAAGCAACUUGAAAAGAAGUUUGAUCACUACUAUUGCAAUAAAUGUGACAAGAGAGCCGAACCUAAAGCCCAGUAAAUUAUUUAGUAGUUUACAAUCUUAUUAUAAUACUUCUAUUUCUAAUAGGAGAAUAAUAUUUUCAGAUUCAAAUUAAGCUUCAAAUAAGUGAUCCAACAACAAGUGCAACUUGUGUACUUUUGACAAGGAAGCAGAAAUGAUAAUUAAUGAAUGAGCAGAUUCGAUGAUCACCUCAGUUGAUCAUGAUAAUAAGUAGCUACCAAAAUCAAUUCAGGAAAUAUGUGAAGAAACAUUGAUUUCUCAAUUCAGAUUGACCGAGUACAACUUGACAAGUUUUAGACCUGAUUAUACUGUUUCAAAGAUAUUUUUUCCAAAAGAAAAGGGCAGUUCAAGAAUUGGUAUGGAAAGUGUAAAAAAGGUAACACUUUAUUAUUAAUUUUUUAUUGCACUUUUUUCUUUUGAAUCCGUAAUACUUAAUAAUUUUACUAUAUCAAUGAAACAAAUUCUAACCUAAAUUUAUUUUCUUUUUUAUUAUUUGUAGGAAGUAGAAGACAACUCAGACAAAUGCUACACGAUAACUACCGAGAAUGAAGAGGUAGACACUGAUGACUCUUUUACCGAGAAAGUAACAUUCGUAGAAGAAGCCAUAAGGACUGGGGAAAGAUUGGCUAGAAAAGUAUACUCACUUCCAUGUCAGUGUUCAUUCUAUUUACAAUACAUGCAAAAAAAAUAUUAUUCAUGCAAAAUUGCAGGUCUACUAAGCAUUAAAGGAAUAGCGGAUAGUGCAAUAUGUAAUCUGAGCAGCAUGCAUUACAAAGUGCUCUACUGCAAUUAAAUUAAAAAACAUGAUAUAUGUUGAAUUCUUAGACUUUAUUAUUAUACUUUUCUACGUGACAAUUCACAAUUUUUUAGAAAAAAGAAGAUCCCAGAAGAAGUGACCAUGAAAAAAGGUCUAUGACCAGCAAUAAGAAAAAAUGCAAGCAUAGAAACAAAUCCGUAGAAAACAUAGAAAAUAAGGUACUCCAUAAACAAAAGUAUUCUCUUAUAUUUUUAUUAAAUAUUUUUUUAACACUUGACAAGUUCUUUUUUAGGAUCAAUAUAUCAGCAAUUCAGAUGUCAUUGGAGAUGAAACCUUAGUUCAUCCAAAAGGUCAAAAAAAAACAUCUGAAGAAAGGUGUUUGGCUGAAAAGGAAAAGCAAAAAAGUGGUAAUGCAGACAAACACAUGCAGAAAAAUAUAAAAACAUGUCAUAGGGAGGCAGACCAAUCUUGCAAGGAGGUAUAGACGAAACGUGAUACACGACCUGCCUACCUUGUCGUGGAUACCCCAAGAAGAUGUCAUAGAGGUGCAGACCAAGCUAGCAAGGAGGUCGAAACGUGAUACACGGCCUGCCUACCUUGCCGUGGAUAUUAGCCCUGAGAUCAUUCUACUGUUCAAGGAAUAACACUCAAUGCUGCUGCUGCUGCUGACCUGGCUCCAUAAAGUUAUACUCCUCUAGGUGCUUGCACUAACUUUAUCUGAAGUAUUAUUCUCUCUGCACUGUAUAUAUGGUUAUGGAGUUUGCUGGAGUAUCCGGGGCGAAGAACCUACAUAAUACGUCUUGGAACUAAUUGACAUUGAUUCACAGACAAACUCUACAAGGUGCUGUUCUUGCCAUUUUAGAGCAUCCAAAGGACUAUAAAUAACAUAGUUUACCAUAUACCAUAUACCAUAUACCAUAAUAUGUUAGCUAAAAUAAGAGCAUACACAUGUUGCAGGAGUCCAAAAGCACCGGUUGAGGACCAGGUACAUUGAAUUACUAGAAAAAGACAGGGGACAAGGUUUAGGUAACCACAUGAAACAUUUGAAUUUAUUGUACUAUGAACACUUAGUUACCAUGCCAGGAGCACAUAGUUAACACUAACAUUUAGCCACUUUAGAUCAUCCCGAAUCACCAAUGACCCUCAAUAGUGACAAAUUUUGGUUUAAAUGCCAUCACCAAUGAUCCUCAAUAGUGACGUAUUUAGGUUUAAAUCCCGUCACUAAUAACCCUCAAUAGUGACCUGUUUUGGUUUAAAUCUCAUUACCACUGAUCCUCAAUAGUGAUGUGUUUUAGCAAAACAUGUUAUCAAUGACUUGUCAUUGGUGACGUGUUAAAACGCGUUAUCUCAAUGGCAAAUCAUUGGUGACGUGUUAUCUCAAUGUUAUCAAUGUUCUAUUCUUUUCAACAAUACCAGCUCGUUCCUCCGUUUUUAUUCCACCAAUACAAGCACCACCUUGUAACAUUUCCUAUGUUUUUUUUCCUUUUGUCUGUUUUCUCACUACAUGCGUUGCUCUUUCAUGCAUUUUUUUCCAUUCCUGUAUUCCAAAUAGGUCUACAUGAACACAAAAUGAACUAGGGGACAGAAAAAGCCAGUGAAGCCAAUUUUGAGCUUCACCAGCUACUUGCUACAUAAAGUGUGCUAUAGUGACGUGUUUUAGCAAAACAUGUUAUCAAUGACUUGUCAUUGGUGACGUGUUAAAACGCGUUAUCUCACUGGCAAAUCAUUGGUGACGUGUUUUAAAAAAACAUGUCACCGUGAGAGUCAUUGGUGAAGGGUAAUUAAAAUGCGUCACUAAUGUUGUAGCAUUAGUUAUGAUAAUUUAGUAACGCAAAAAUCUACCAUCAGUAUUGAGCUUUAGAGCCAUCGCUAAUGUGGGUUUCUUACAUAGUGAUGCAAGCUCUACAAGGUGCUGUUGCUGCCAUUUUAAAGCAUCCCAUGACUACAUGUUAAUAACAUAGUUUACCAUAUAUCAUAAAAAUAUUAGUUACAAUAAGCACAUACGCAUGUGGAAGAGUCCGAAUGCACCGGUUGAGGACUAAACACAUUGAAUUACUAGAACCAAAUGUAUGUUUAGAACAAAGACAGGGGUCAAGGUUUGGGUAACCGCAUUAAAAACAUUGGAUUUUACUGUACAUGAACACUUAGUUACCAUUACCAUGCCUUGAGCACCUAGUUACAACAAACAUUAAUUUAGCCACUUUAGAGCUUCCAGAAUCGCUAUAAAUAAUAUACCUACGCCGUACCAUGAAAACAUCAAGAAGAGAGACGGAUACAUGGACCACCAUCAAGCGAGUAGUGACAGCACGCACAAGAAUACCCGGAACCUGUUAGCUUGUCUGUAGUGAUCUGUUUUCUUCCCCAUAAAAUCCAUGAGUAUUGCCACAAAUAAUGAAAGAGGCUGACCAAGCUAGCAAGGAGGUAGAGCAAACGUGAUACACGGCCUGCCAAGAUUGCCCUGGAUACGCCAAUAAGAGCGACAGAUACAUGGAUCACACCAAUAUGGUGAAACGUAUAUUCAUCACACAAGCAAAGCUGGUCAGUUUAUCCAUGGUCAAAUUGUGGUCUUUGUUUUCACUUGAGAGCUAAUUGAGGCACUAUAAUAUGGGCAGGCCUAUCUUCAACAGACAUGACAGCUACAGGGAACUUGACAUAAUUUGCUGGGCCGCCUGUGCACAAUUAUUUGUUUUAUUGUCCUUGCAUAGAAUGCUAAAAUACUCUUUACAAAAUGUUGGAUCUAAUAUUUGAAAUAUAGAGUAGUAAUCAUAUAUUGAUCAACAACUUGAAAUUAUCUGUACAUUCUCGGUGAAGCUGUUGAACUAAUUUUUGCAAAUUAUUAAUUCAUCUCAUUACGUAAAGAAAAAAGUAAGUGGAUAAGAUAUUUCGUGGACCACAUCACUGCAAACAUGUCAUGGAGAGACAGACCAAGGAGGCAGGACGUGAUACACGACUUACCCUAGGUUGCCGUGGAACCGCCAAGAAGAGAUACAGAUACAUGGACCACACCAUCUUGGGAGUAGUGACAGCAUAUAUGCAGAAGAAUACCCCGUGCCUAUUUGCAUGCAUGUCUCAAGUGAUCUGUUUUCUUCAGAAAAUACAUGAGCAUUGCCAGAAAGAAUGGCAAGAGACAAACAUGUCAUAGAGACUUGCAUGUCUUGCCUUGGAUACGCCAAGAAGAGGGACACAUACAUGGAUAACACAAAUCUAGUGACACGUAUAUUCAUCACAAAGGCAAAUCUGAUAAUUUUAUCCAUGGAGCAGACCAAGGAGAAAUUGAUGACGGACAUGUGAUCUCUGUAUUCAGUUGAAAGCUAAUUGAGCUACACUAAUAUGAGCAGGACUAUAUUCAAGAGACUUGUUGAGAGCUACAGGGAACUUGUAAUAAUUUGCUGGGCGGCCUGCGCACAAUGAUUUGUUAUACAUAGUUGAAAUAUUUCAAGAAUUUAUCAACCUCAUACUCUGAAACCCUUGGUGCAAUGUACUCUGCUUUCCGAGGUAGACUGUUCACGUAAAAUGAGGUCAUGCGUAAGACGGAAUCGGAUUGGAUUCACAGGGAAUCAGAUUUGGAUAGCACCUUUUAGCAGGUUUUUAGUCAAAUGCAAAUUCGGAUCCACAUGUGGUUGAAUGCGAGUUCAAAAUUCUACUUGGAUAUCCAUUUAAUUUAGGUGAUAGCAAUUAGCACAAAAUGUUGGAUGAACAAAAUCAUAGUUAGACAUACAAUUACAUGUAUGGUUAAAGUAUAAUACAAUACACCAAGAUUAUUCCUUGAAAAUAUUUCUUAAAAAUAUUAUAAUAAAUGAAUAAAUAUAAUUGUGGCCACCAACAAAUAGUCGGUGGUCGCUAAGUUGGAGCCAUUUCUGGUUACUAAUGCGGCCUUCUCCUCGACCAGCGACGACAGCUGAGCUUGUUCCUUCUGACACUAAAUCAUCAGAGUCUUCCCUCCACUACUAUAGAAUGCACCUUUAGCACCAAUUGGGAAAUCCCCUUCAGUAUUGGAUGCUGCAACCAGUGCUAUAUAUCAAAAUGGAGACUAAAAGCCUCGGUCUUGGGUACCGGUUGCAUAACGCAUUACUAAAGGAGGCAAAAGAGAAAUGUAACAAAAAAAAUAUUUUGAAUUCCAAGAAUGUUUCACUAUUCAAGAUGACUAGCUGAGAGUCAACAGACAAGAUACUAGGAAUGUGGGUGCUUGAAUGCAUUUGUACAGAGGUCAUACUAUUUACAAACUCUUCUAUGUUUCCAUAUGACUACCUACUUCAAUGUCACGCGAGCCAUUCAGCUGGACACAUGGCACACUAGCUUGCAUGUCGAAUCCAUGAUUAAUUAUUUGCACUUGUGAUCUCUUACCAGUAUUUGUCCAGACUAGAAACGUGCAACACAUUUUUAGGAUAUGGACACGCAUAUAUUUGGACUAGUAUACAGGUCACCUUUGGAUGCGUACAAGGAUGACCGGGAGGGACUAAUGGAUACAAGGAAGGGACCAUCAGGAUUAAUAUUGACAUAUGCCACAUGACAAUCUUCAUUGUCAUGCAAUCCCUAUCAACAAUCAUGGAAUCCCUAGUGUACUAAUCCCUGGAGGGUUGUGUGGAAAUUUAUUUUACCUUGCGGUGAAAAUCUCAUGAGCAGUCAUUAGUUAAGCUGACUAGCUGAGAUAUAAUAGACAAGCUAGUAAGAUUGGGAGCAUCAAUGCAUCCAUACAGGGUCACAAUAUCCUUUCCAUUCACUUUUAUAUAUAACCCUACGAAUACAAGUCCAACGAAAUGCGGGCCUUUCGAUCAAGAUAAAUUAAAUGGCCCACUUGUAUUUCUAAUCCAGGAUUAACUAUGCCCUCUGUUCAUCUCUUGCAAGCACGUGCAACACAUUUUCACGAUAUGGACAUGCAUGGAGGUUAUUAUACUGUUUGGACAAACUCUGAUGUGCCAUGACCUAAAUGCUUAGGGCCUGUUUGGUUUGAGUUGCUUAUUAUAAGCAACUUAAAGUUGCUUAAAGUUGCUUAUUUGAAGUUGCUUAUUUUUAGUCUAAACUGUUUGGAUACCCUUGCUUAUGAGCAUUGAAUGAGUUGGACAUUGUCAAAUUUGCCCCAUGUGUUGCUACCCCUCCAAUUUGCCUCCCCACCCUUCUUCUUCCUGCACACGUCCGAUCCCGGGGGCCGACGGCGGGCAGGGAGCAGCAGCAGCUGGCCAGGGCGGCGGUGGGGCGGGAGCGGCGGCGCACACCAGCACGCGCUCGCACGCCAGGUGCUAGGGCGCGGCGAGGCAGUCGUCGUAGCCCACCGGGAGCGGGUGCUCGGGCGCGAGGCGGUACUCGACGGAGAUGCCGAGCGUCGGGCGCGCGGCGGCGAGCGCGUUGAGGAAGCGAUGGUAGUGCGGCGACGUCGCGGACUCCGCCACGAAGCCGCCGCCGUGGACGUACACCACCACGGGCAGCUUCGUCUUGCCGUCGGCGGCCGCGGCCGCGGCCUGGGGUGGCAGGUAGAGGCGGACGGAGCAGGAGCCGAGGUCGACGUCCCUGGAGUCGACGCCCGUGGCGGCGUCCAGGCUGGGCCCGACCGGCGGCGGCACGAGCGGGCGCUCGAUGCGGCCGCUCUUGUAAAUCCGACGGGUCUGUGCGGAGGCGGGCGGCGGGCGGGAGCGGCGGGUGGGAGCGGCGGCAGGUGGUGCGGAGGCCGGCGGCGGCGGGUGGCGCGGAGGAAGGGGAGCUGGUGAGUGGUGACAGGGGAGGGGGGGAGAGAGAGGGGGGGUAGGGUGCAUUGAAUGAGGGCAGGAGGUGUAAAGUGCACCUUUUAGUCCCCAUGAGCAACCAUAAGCAGCCCAAGAGUUGCUUAUUUGCUUAUAAUAAGCAACCUCAUAAGCAAGAGUGAUUGGUUUCAUAAGCAACUUAUUUGCUUAUUUUAAGUUGCUUAUGCAUAAGCAUGUGAAACCAAGCAGGUCCUUAACCUAUGGUUGUGGCACCACACAGUACAUAGUAUUUAAUAAUGCUAUUCGUUUGGUAUGUGCACAAGGGCACGCAUGAAAUGUCUGGCCCACGGUAAACAAGUACGGACGCUGCAAAUAAUCUACUCUGCUCGUCCAGUCCCUAGCCUAUAAAUAGAUGCCAUGCUAGCUCUUGUUGUGCUCACAAUUAAUCCUGACUACACACGAGCUUCUCUCCCUGGCCAAGACACAAUCAUAGUAUGAUGAAGAACAUGGCACUAGCCGGCAAUGGUAUGAAGAACUUAAUCCUCGCUGUUCUCUUACUGUGUCUAGUUAUAGGGCAGAUACAAGUGGAAGCUAAGAGCUGCUGCCCAUCCAUUACUGCAAGAAAUAUCUACAAUGCCUGCCGUAUCACGGGUACAUCCCGUCCAACGUGUGCAAAACUGUCAGGCUGCAAAAUUAUCAGCGGGGACAAAUGCAAGCCCCCUAACGACCACCUCACCCUUGACCCGGACACUGGUAAAUAAUAAAUUUAUCUCACUUGAUUUCUUCGUGUUUUGAGUCGUUAAUGUAUUUUCCAUCUGAUGAAACGUAUUGGUUUUGCAUUGAAGAGGAAGUUAAUGUGCUUAACUUCUGCAAGUUGGGGUGUGCGUCGUCUGUGUGCAACAACAUCAACGCUGGUAAGCACCUUUUGCUCAGACGGAGAAAACAAUAAUCAUUAAUUAGCGGCAGCUAGAAUCCUAUAAUCUAAUAUAUUUAUAUAUAUAUAUAAUUUUAUCAGCUCUGGGAAAUGAAGAGGCGAACGAUGCCGUUGAGAGUUGCGACCAAGCCUGCUCUAGCUUCUGCAACGUGCACGUUGGCGCUGCCACCGUGGUUGCUUAAGCAAAUGCAUCCAACUGGAUCGUCCUUGUGCUAAAUAAUUGGAUAUCGUAUCCACUUAAAGCUGCCUUGUGUAGUACGUUUUUGUUUGUGUCUCUCUUUAUAUUCCAAUAAGGUCGGUGAUCUUGAUGCCACACACUCAGACGUGUGUUCAUCUCCAGAUACUACUCCAUGCUACCUGCCCUUUGUGUUUUGUUCAAUAACUGGGUAUCAUAUCCCAGCCAGUGUGCCAUCUGUUUUGUGUUUAUUUCCUUCUAGUUUCAAAGGGGUUAUCAUGAUGUUACCUUCUUUCGAUAUGGUGCUUUGCAUGACUACUGUUGUAUGGUACCAUCUUGUUGGCCAAUAAAUACAUCUUAUCCUAUGACCCUUUGCUAUGACCCUUUGCAAAUAAGUACAAGAUUGUUAAAUACUCGGUAUAAAUUGACUACUGCUGUGAGUUCCCUUUCAGCUUAUCGUAGGCAUACAUUAUUGCUAGCACGGUGAAGACAACCAACACGAAUGGUCAAGUAAACGUACCGGUACUUUUGUAUACCAACACCCUUGCUUAAAUGUACCGGUGUUACUCCCCACUAGCACAUAUAUUCUUAUAUGCUAGCCGGCUUGAAAAUUAACCGAUUAAAAUAAUUAUUUCAAGACAGAAAUAACUUAUCGGCUUCUCGAAGCAUGUGUAAUGUGAAUUCAAGGACUUGAUGGAAGUUGAAUCGCUUAAUCUAGAUUGCUUUCAGGAUUUUGGGUAACUAAAUUUAACAUUUGCACAUACAAAUGUUAAUGUACAAAUAUUAAAUAUAGUUACCCAAGCAGAAUAUGAAGAUACUCUAUAGUAUAUAUAUACUAUAUAAAUCUAGUUAACAUUUAGUCUAAAUGUUAAAUCUAGUUACCUAAAAUCCUGAAAGCAAAAUGUAUAAAUAUAUAUCUUUUAAGGAAUCCCAAAGCAAGAGUUCAGUGGCAUUCUAUAGUCCCAUGCUGCUAGUUUGAGUUGGUCGAAGCCAACUUAAAUAGGAGAGCUCUCUCACUUCUCUAAAUACGUAACUGAAGGAGAGAAGGGGGCUUGGUUACACAACGCACGCACGCACGCAUAUUUGCGUUCUUUUCGCGUAACCAACCGCGUGACUUGAAACUUGCGACGUAGCGUGCUGCCAAGUCAAGUUGAUAUAACCUUUUUGCCGUAGGCGUGUAAUCUUUUGACAACGGUCAUUGGAGGUGAUAAGCACGCAGUCAAUACCUUAAUCCUGAG